UUUUUUUUUUUUUUUUUUUUUUGUCAAUACAGAAAGUAUCCAACUUUACUGGACUAAUCUUCUUGUGUUUGUGCAUCCCGCCUCCCAAAAAUACAUAAUAUGAUAUGAGAGGUAAUUCGAACACUCUACCUCAGGACCUAAAGAGACUAUUCCGAGACCAUCGGAACCAACUCCAAGGUACUGCAGCUCAUCCUCUCGCUUAGACAAAUUUAUGCCUUGGUAGAAAAGAAAAACAACCGAACCAAUUGGAAGGAGUAUUAAAUAGUAAUAAUAUAACAGAACAGAAAAUGUAUUUUUACCGAAUAUCUUUCUGCUCUUGAUAUGCUUAGUUUUAUCCUGCCGACAAACACAAUAGUUAGGCCAAUGCUACAUGAUUUAAGCAUCCAGAAACCUGUGGCAUGAGCUCAUUCUCGAGUUUAAAACUAUCAUGACUUCCAUAAAGAAGCUGGACCGAUCGAAAUAAACAAAAAGCACUUUCCUUUUCAUGGAUGUUUAGUCUUUAAGGCUUUUGAGCUGUACAACUUUGUUCUUGUUCCCAUGGAGAGGGGGUUCUUGUUCCCAUGGAGAGGCCCCCUCGAUAGCUACCGUAGUCCCAUUAGUCAAUAGCAAAAUGGAUUGCAUGAGAUAUUCGAAUACAUAAAAUUGAAAUUAUUUCACGUUUGCAUCAUAAAUACAUUUUCCAACCCACCUUUUGAUAUUCAAAAUCACCUAUUUACCUCACAUACAUCACAUCACAAAAAGUACUAUAGUACUUAUUCUAAAUAAUAUUUCAAAUAAUACUCUAUCCAAACAAAUUGUUUGAAUUGCUAUUUUUAAAAGUUUUUUUCGAUUGUUCACUUAUUAACGGUACAGAAACUUUAGAUGUUCUCGUAUUACCAACAAAGGAAAUUUUAAGUAAUCCCUUUGUUGGAAAGAAAAAAACUUUUUUUUUUACAUUGUAAAUUCAUUUUCAAUUUUUUUUUUACCACCUUCAUAUCACAAGUAGUGCUCUAGUAUUAUUCUACAAAAAAAAGUUCUAAAUAAUCUUCUAUACAAACGCACUAUUCAUUAUUCAUAUUAUUUGCAAGAACAAAAUUAGAUAUUUAAGCAGAGUUUUUCGAAAUUAACUAAACAUUUUUCUAAGUUUAUAGCAAAUAAUAUCAAACACCGUGACAAAUUAUAAUACUAUAUUCAUCCCGAAACUGAUAAAACCUAAUAGUGUGCCCAUAUUAUUUCGUUAGGUUUUGUUUUGCGUCAAACAAGUAGUUGGUAUUGGUAAUGAAGUGACACAAUUCAUGUCGUCAAAAUCACGAAAAGCAACCACUAAUGCACUACUGCUGAGUCAAAAUGUGAAAUUAUACUUGCACCCCCUUUUUGAUCUAAUAUCAAAGUUACAAAGGGAAAUAAAGGUUAUCUUUGUUGCAUUUACAAAUAAUUGCCUAAAAAAGGAUAGGUUUAUUCUUCUAGGCAUCCUUUUUUUUUUAAUGAGAAAAGAAGAAAGAGAGAACAACACAAAAUAUAGAAUAUACUAAUAAAACGGCCUACACAUAUUGGUUCAGUUGGUAAAAAUAUGUCAGUUCCUCAUAAAAGAUCGUAUAUUCAAAUUUUGUUGCUGAUGUGAGAAUUGUAAUAUUGAUAAGUAAUCUAUAAGUAUUUUUAUAAGUGACUUAUAGUUUCAAGAAAUAUAAUCUAAGGGUAUGUUCUACUGUGGUGGUGGUGGUUGGAGUUCAAACCAUCUAAAUUUUCAACUAAAACAAGUAGAAUAUACUAGUCUUAUAAAAGUAGAACUGUUAAAUAAACUAACAACUUGUGAGCUCAGCUUGACUCGAAUCAUAUGAGUUCGAGUUUGGCUCGUUUGUUUAAUAAACAAGCCGAGGUCAAGCAUCAAAUUAGGCUCAUUUCUAAAUGAGUCAACUUGGUUCGACUCGCAAAUAGUUCAUUUUAAGUUCGUCUAGACUCGUUUAUGCAUUUAUUCAAGGUGGUAUUACUAAUUUUUCUUAAUAAAUAUGUAGAUUUAUCUUGUCUUGAUUGUUUAGGAUUUUGUUUUGUUUAAAUAUUAGGAAUCUCCUUAUAUUUGGUGAAAAUUUUCUCAUUCAAUAUGCAAAUUAAAUUGGUUAUAUUUUUGGAAUUUCAAUAUUAUAUAAGAUAUUUAAACACAUUUAGGUUUUUUUUUUGAGUUCAAGCACAUCUGAGCUCGGCUCAUUCGUGUCAUAUAAAUCGAGCUGGGGAUAAUUUUAAUGAACUAAAUGCGAACACAAUUUUUGACUCGUUACAUAAAUGAGCCAAUAACUUAAUGACCCCAUCUUGAAUGCCAAAAGUUCGACUCAACUCGAUCCGUUAACAUCUCUACUUAGACCGGCUCUACGUGAGAGUGACUCAGAAAAUGAGUGUUGUGACUUGUGAAAAAAAAAGGGAAAAAAAGGAGAAGAGUGCUGUGACUUGUGAGGAAUGAAUUGCUUGAGGACCCGGCCGAAGGAAUUCGUGGUCCCAUAGUCACAUGCAUUUUGAUUACUUUUUUUUUGGGCGUCAUAUUAUGUGGGUCUGUCUCCGUCAUCGCAGUGGUUUACACUUCGGACUGUUGUCGUCCACUCGUCCUUAUUGAUUUUUUAAUGGGGCAGUAGUCUCCGCUGUUUUAUUAAUCUGAAUGAAAGAAAUUAGUCAGCAAAAGACAUCGACGUCAUACGUAAAAUGGGAUACAAUAAUGAGAUUCUGGAUCAUGUGAUUUGUCAACGUCGGUGAAGUUAUUCUUUGACCAAUUAAAAAUUACAACAAAAUUAUUAAGGAUUAAUCUUCGAGCUCUUGUACACCGACAAUAUAUAUAUACUUUCAUUAUUGAAUGUAUAACAAAUAAUUUAAAUUUAAAUUUAAAAUUUAAAUUUUGCAUAUGGAUCAUACAUUCAAAUUUAAAAUCGAUCAUUAAAAUUUACUCAAUUAUUAAUUGGCUUUAUUUGAAUUAUAAAUUUUCUCCAAAAAAUUUUGAUUUUUUAUAAAUAUAUUUAUUAAUUAUCUGUUUACCUCACAUAUAUCAAAUCGGUACAAUAUAUUUUUCUACACAAAAGGAAAAUAAAACUCAGUGAAUCAGCACAGCUUUAACCAUUUUGCACAACAACAUUUGUUUUCCAACUCGCCGCCUCUUAACUUUUAUGUUUUUUUUCAAAAAAAAUCUAUAACCGGCAAAAUAUUAAUAUGUUCGGAAUGAGUAACCUUCUUUUUUUUUUUUUUUUUUUUUUAAAUGAUGAACUUAAAAAUUUAUCCCCUGCCAAGAAAGGCGUCACUUCUAGUUACAUGCUAACAAUGAUUAUCCGUGAAGAAACACCUAUGCCAGUUUGUAUAGCCGACAAAGGACAUGCAAUUUUGAAGUGGAGGUCUCAAAAAAGUAGGAGGCUGGAACCUAAAAAUAACAAGAUGAUGCUUCUGAGAAAACAUUCCUAAUUUUUUUUUUGUCAAUCGAAACUUGUCUAUUUUACGCCUACUCCUACUCUAACCUAUACUAAAGGGGAGGGAUUAACUGGACAAUGGGAGAAUCGACAGAGACUAAAUUACUAUCGGAUCAGAUAGGUAUACUACGCACCUGUAUGAAUUUAAACCAUUUAAAGUGACAAACACAUAUAAUGGCAAGUGAUGAGAGGCUACGGUGGUGGCCAACAGUUGAUUACAAAAAAGUUACAUCAAAGAGUACAGUACAGAUGAUGAUCAUUGGAGGAACUUAGGGGGCGUUUGGUAAGAGGGUAUCGGAUUCGGGGAAUGGAAUGAACCCCAUAAAUGGUGUUUGGUUCACUGGAAUGGGAAUUGAAAUCUUGGAAUGAUUUCUAAAAAUUUGGUGUUUCUCCAUUCCCUAGUAUUUUGGUGGGUUUUGUCCGAUUCCCAAGUUUGAUUCCAAGAAACAAAUCCAAUUACAUAUUAUAAUUAUACAAUGAUAUAAUUAAUAUUUAUAUAUAUUAUAUUUAUUAUAUAUUAUAAUAUAUACAUAUAUAUAAUAUAUUAUAAUUAUAAUAUUAGUACAUUAUAUAAAUAUAUAUUAUAUUUAUAUAAUAUAUAUAAAUUUAUUAAUAUUAUGUAAUAAUAUAUUUAUAAUAUAUAUAUGUAUAUUUAAUAAAUGCAUAUUAUAUGUGCAUAUGAUUAUAAUAUACACAUGUAUAUAAUAUUAAUAAAUUAUAUAAUUAUAUUUAUUAUUUUAAAUACAAUAAUAUAUAAUAAUUACUAUAUCUAAUAUUAAUAUGCAUUAUACUUAUAUAAAAUAUGAGUACAAUUAAUAUUUAUAUAUUAUAUAAUUAUAAUUAUGUACAUAUAUAUAAUAUAUUAUAAUUAUAAUAUUAGUACAUUAUAUAAAUAUAUAUUAUAAUUAUUCAGUUAAAUAUAAUUAUAUUUAUAUAAUAUAUAUAUAAAUUUAUUAAUAUUAUGUAAUAAUAUAUUUAUAAUAUAUAUGUAUAUUUAUAAAUGCAUAUUAUAUGUGCAUAUGAUUAUAAUAUACACAUGUAUAUAACAUUAAAUUAUAUAAUUAUAUUUAUAUUUAUAUUUAUUAUCUUAAAUACAAUAAUAUAUAAUAAUUACUAUAUCUAAUAUUAAUAUGCAUUAUACUUAUAUAAAAUAUGAGUACAAUUAAUAUUUAUAUAUUAUAUAAUUAUAAUUAUGUAUUUAUUUUAUAGCGUUUGUAUAAUUAUAAUUAAUUAUAUAUAUAACAUUUAAUUUAAUUAGUUACAAACUUACAAUAAUGAUGUUAUUGUAUUAUAUAAUUAUAUAUUAUAAUUAUUUAGUUAAAUAUAAUUAUACUUAUAUAAUAUAUAUUAUAAAUUUAUUAAUGUUAUAUAAUAUUAUAUUUAUAAUAUAUAUGUAUAUUUAUAAAUGUAUAUUAUAUGUGCAUAUAAUUAUAAUAUAUACAUGUAUGUAAUAUUAAUAAGUUAUAUAAUUAUAAUAAUUAUUAUUUUAAAUAUAAUAAUAUAUAAUAAUAACUAUAUUUAAUAUGUAAUAUAUAUUAUAUUUAUAUAAAAUAUUAGUAUAAUUAAUAUUUGUAUAUAUUAUAUAAUUAUAUAUUUAUAUAUUUAUAUUUAAUUAUAUAUAUAAUAUUUAAUUGAAUUAGUUACAAAUUUAUAAUGAUAAUAUUAUUAUCUAAAUUUACUAAUACAUUUAUACUAAUAUAUUUACUAAUACAUUUAUACUAAUAUAUUUAAUUAGUGAAAAUUUCUUAUAUCUUAUUUACAAAGAGCCAAUAAUUAUCAUUUACGAUGUGGUUUAUAAUAUAUUUAUUAUAUUCCAUUCCGAAAGAGUCGACGAACCAAACAUCAACUAUAGUAAUGAUACACAUUCCAGGUACUUGAACCAAACAAAUAUAUUGGAAUGAAUGACCUCAUUCCAAACCCAAGAUAUCCGAUUCCGAAUCCAAAUCCGAUUCCGACGUGCGAACCAAACGCCCCCUUAGUCACAUGGUAUAUGUAAUGUUACACUGCCUUUGCUAUAUAAAAAUGAAUCAAAUAAAAGGCAAGAUAAUGAUAGGAAAUUUUUUUUAUUACAUCAUAAAUACGUCUUUAAUCAUAUUAUGUCACAUACAUUAUAUUAAUAAAAAUCGCAACAUUGUUGUUUUAAAGAAAAUUUUCUAAUAAUCUUAUAUCCAAACACUUGAGAGCAUAACAAUCUAAAAUCAGAUGAACAUGCAUGUUGCUUGAUACCCCAUAUGGGUAAGAAAUUCACCAAGAAAUAAUUAAAGGUCUCCCAACUCUCAUGUUAGAUUCCAAAAGGAAACCAAAAAAAAAAAAAAAUUACAAAUUCAUAUUAAAGCCAGCAAUACCUGUAUAAAGACUUGCCACAUUUAGGUCGAAUAGAACUGGCCUAGGGCAACGUAUUCAAUUUUGAGCUUCUUGUUUUCAUUUUUUUUUUGGGUCAAAUUGUCAUUUGUAUUCAUAAAUAUUUGAAAUCUUACAUCAGUAAGUACAUUAAUGGCAAUGGCCGAGCAAAGACCCUAAGGUAAUAUAUAGGAUGCAGUAAUAGUGAAUUAAAUUAAAUGAAAGUUAUGCCUGGUGGAUGUGAUUACAAUAGGAAUUAGUGGAUGAAAGCCCAACAGGUAUCAUAGAGUUGGAUCUGAACAUAAUUCAAUCCAUUUGACAUAGACAAGAAAUUAAUAUGGGAGGGAUCAACUGUACGAGCUCACACAGACAAAAUCAAGAAGCAUGCUUGGAUUAAGUAUUACUCCUCUGAAAUUUAUUAACAAUGUUCCAUUAAUUCUCGGGUGCUUUUCAGGUCCAUCUCUGUGGCUAAUUUAUGGCUUUUCUGUCGGUGGAAUCCGAAUGUCUCACAUGAUUUACCCUUCACAGGAAUCACAACAGCGAACAAUUUGUUUUUUUUUGUUUUUUGUGUGUGUGUGUGUGUAAGCAAGAGGACUCGAACCUGAGACCUCAUGCUUACACUCUUUCCUCUCGUACUGCCCAACCCAUCCCUCCCCUCACAGCGAACAAUUGCUUGUUUGCUGCUGAUAAGGAAACUUAGACUUUAUUUGAUAAUUUAGUUUAGUACUUAAAUUUAAAGGGUUCAGAUUUUAACAUGUUCAUGGAAACUUAGACUUGUUUGAUAAUUUAAUUUAGUACUUAAAUUUAAAGGAUUCAGAUUUUAACAUGUUCAGAUGAACAUGUGUUCAGAUGAACAUGUGUUCAGAUGCGUUUGAUAACAAAAAUAGAAUAUAUGAAUUUAUGAAGUGACACUGAAUUUUCUAAAUAAAUUUAUUUCAAAAAAUAAGUGCUAAGUUAUUAUUCACUUAUUACUUAACGUGAUAUAUAUUCAAAUAUAUCAUAUUUAAUACUCACCAAUUUAGUAGUAAAUUAAUGAAUUUAGAAUGCAUAUUUCAAUUUCAGUUUUAUCAAAUACACCUUAGUGUAUUGCAUUGAGUGGCUUUGUUUAUAGCAAAAGUUCAUGAAGCCCAUUGAUUAGUUGUUAAACAUAUGCACCUUUAUGUAUUGGGUCAAGCACCCAAGCACCUUGGAGCAAAUGAAUUUGGGUAUACCACCGAAUAUGGGACAAAGGUUUGUUUCCAAUCAGCCCUUACUACUUCUCGUUGGGCCAACACAGAUAAAAAGAGAGUUCGCAGCAUUUCAAUCAUCACAAUUCAGGCUUCCAAAUCCUGCAAGUCCGUGCUAAUUGAGCCACUCCUGAAUCUCAACUCUUUUUGAGUUUUAAUAGCCAAAUUCCAGACAAUGAAAUUGGGCCAUUGAGUUACAAAAAGUAUUUUCAAUUUUCCUUGAAGUUCAAAAUGAACGGUAAAGUUUUUUUUUUUUUUUUUCCCACUCUCAAUAAGAAACCAAUUCAAGGAUCAAGAACACUGGAACAAAAUUUGAUGUUUUAGAGGCCAAAUAUAAAAACUUGCAAGUGAUCAAACAAGAAUAAAACUUGCGGGAAAACCGCACAACUUUGCAAUUUGUAUGAUUUGCUCUUAAGUAGUACAAAGUUCCAUUAAUUAAAUUAAAUGGGAUAUCCUGGUCAAAUCCUCAAACAACCACUUUUCCAAAAAUCUAAUUAUGGCCCUAAAUAUAUGUCAACAAGCAUACAAUCAAAACAUACCCCAGAAAAGAAAAACCCAAAAAAAAAAAAGAAGAAAAAGAGAAAAAAAAAUUUUCAACAUCUUUAGACCUCCUUCAAAUUUUUAAGCAACUAUAUGUACUACGGCAUCUUCUGCCAUUGUCCCGUGCCACAUUUCACCAAAUUAUUUAGCUCUUGCCGUUGGCCUCUUCAGUACUUUUUUCAUCAUUGCCAACGAUUCCAUUUCCAUUUGUUGCUGUUGUUCUUGUCUUCCUGGCUUCAUUCUGAUCAGCCUGAUCAUCAGGUUCCUUGAACAAUGGCACACCGCUUGCAGACAAAGAUUGGGGCGCACACAUAGCGUUAGUGCUCCAGCAUAUACCAUCUGCACUGCUGGAGACAUUUUCCUGUUUGUACUUGUACCAUGAAGCCCAGUACAGAUAAUUGAAGAAAUUGAGGAGGCUCAGAAUGGCCAAGAACCAAAAGAAAUAAUCCAAAUGGUUCUCGUCCAAAAGCUUCCCAUCUAACCAUCCACGUUUGCUAUGUGUUGUCCUCCUCGUAACAGAGUUGAUGAUAUCCACGAAAAUACUGCUCAAGAAAUACCCGAAGGACUGUGUUAGCCAUGUAAAUGAUGUGGACAGCGAUCUCAUCCCCACUGGCGCCUCUUUGUAGAAAAAUUCCAGCAAUCCCACGAGAGUAAACAUGUCUGCAAUGCCGAAAAUCCCAUAUUGAAAUGACAGCCAAACCACAUGUACGGGCUUCCCGUAUGUCAGGUCGUGGUUUUUCCUCUUGACUUCAACAAAUCCAGCUACGGUCAUUGAGACUACUGAGAGAACUAGCCCGACCCCGACACGCUGAAGCUGCGUGACCCCGGAUGGAUGGUUGGUGAUCUUUCGGGCGAAUGGGACGAAGAAGAAUUCGUAGAUGGGGAUCAGGAUGCUUAUGAAAACCAGGGGAAUCACGGGAACUGAUGGUGCGGGUACUUCAAAGGAGCCGAGGACACGGUUCAUGUAAUAGCCUUGUGUGACUGAGAAGGUUUGGAGUUGCGCCAUACAUGUGUUCAAGAUGAUUGUGCUGGCUAUGAUUGGCAGCAUUCUUGUCAGAACCUUAACCUCUUCGACUUGGGUAACUGUGCAAACUGUCCAGGGCGCUGGCUUGGUAUUGCUGUCACGAAGUAUUGCCGCCUUGUCGAGCCACCUGAUUCGAUCAAUAAAAUCAAGAAACCAUCAUAUGUUUAGAUAAACCUUAGAGGGAAUACAUACAUAUAUAUCAGGCUUGCUAGAUUUAGCAUCAGGCAUUAAUCUGACCUGAAUUGUUCAGUGUGCUGAAUCUUUUGAUCUGUUGAAAUUGAUGAUUCUUUGUCCUCUGGCUCGUAAAGUUCUUCGGGGCUACUUGGAUGUUGCAAGCUUCGGUUUUUAAUUGCCACAACUAUAACCUGUAACGCCAAGAGAAGUCAAUUUUUCACUUAAACAUGACAUAGCCCAGAAACCAAUUAAUUCCCUUUUGCGCUUCAAAUUGUGGCAUUUCUUUAAAAAUUAAAAUUUUAUCUUUUUCCGAUUUUCUUCAAGUGAAUGAAUGAGGAAUAACUUUUGAAAAGAAAAUUGUGGUCCUCAAUGAAAAGUGUAUCUUAAAAGGGCAAAGAAAAAAAAAUAAUCAUUACGGUCAAGUAGCAUGUAUAACAUUAAUAGUCAUACAUACCCAAUUGUGGAUUUUCAGUCAUGCUUGGCUAAUCUUAGAAAGAAAUAUGCCAAUUGGCCAUAGCAACUCCUCACUUUAAUUAGCUGUUAAUGCAAAAUACCAGCAGUAUAUUUUAGCCUUUAGGAAUAAGAUAUCCAUGUCUUCACAGUACCAUCCUUUAGAAUUUAGAAAUACUAGCAUUUUACAAAUACGUCAAUGCGAAUUACUAGCAUAUUUUAUCCUUUAGAAAUCCAUGUCAUGCACAGCUCAAAGGCUCAAAUGAUGAACAAAAUUUUAACAUUCAAUUACUAAUUGGUGCAAACAUGAAACAGACUAAAAAUUCAAGGAUUGCAUAUGCAAUUAAAGGUCAGACUGGAAACUGUAAUCAAGAAGUUAGACCCCCUUUCUUUUUUUUUCAAAAUGUGGGGCCGAAUUCAAGAAAUAGUACGAUCAGACUUGAAAAAUAUCUACUAUGAACUGAUUGAUUGCAUAGAAUUGUCAUGAUUCAAAGGACAAAGAAGGACCUGUAUAACUCUUAGGAGGGGGCUAUCUCCUGGAAGUUGAAGGCGGUAGAAAGGCUUGCCCAACACAAGAAAAAUAAAACCAACAAGGGUUGCAAGGAGGGAUAUCAGAAAUCCAGGCCACCAAUGUCUGUUAGUAGCCACCCAAACAAUGAUUGUGACUCCAAUUGUUGCUCCCAAGGUAGAGCUGAGUAAUAGAAAGUUGAAAUAAGUGGCAAGAGCUUUGGAUUCCUUUGGAUCUUUCUGAUUAAACUGGUCCGCACCUAGGGCAGGAAGAGCGCCCCUUACCCCACCUGUGCCCAUUGCUACCAAAGAAAGUGAUGCAUAGAACAUCACUGCUACUCUACCUGCUAAACAACUUGACUUCCCGCAAGGGCUUGGCUGCAAAUCCUUGUAACGAGCUUGAACCGUCAUCAGCAAUAAAGCCUGCAGAUAUUAGAAACGUAGAAGUACAUUGGACUUAAAUGUCUAGUCAAGUUAAUUUAUCGUUGGAUUAAGCAACAAUUUUGCAUGGCGCAAAUGAAGUAAUUAUAUACGUCCAGUUUGUUUGUGUUGUUGAAACUUACUAAUCUCUUAAAUUCUUAAUUUUAAGGAAUCAUAAUUAGUCUCUGAGAGGAAAUUAGAGUUGAAUGGUUAGUGCUGAUCAUGUCAAUUAUCAAUAUGAAGCAAUCAAUGUCUUAUGAAGAGGUAUUAGAAUGGUAGAAACAUACCGCUAAUUCAAAUACUCCAAAAAUCAAACAAGUUUUGAACCGGUUUAUGUACGUGUCCGAGAUAAAGCCACCAAAAAUGGAAAGCAGGUAAGUUGAACCCAUGAGGUUGGUGACAGUGUUGGCUGCUGCAGACACCUUGAAAUACAUUUGGAGUUGGAAGUACAAGACGAAGCUCACCAUGUUCGCAACAAAACCCAUGUUCUCCAAUGACACCAAGGCUACAUUAUUGUUAAAACGACACUUAAAAAAUUAGUAAAAAACAUAGGUCGAUCGAUAACACAAACCAAUUAAGGUUGUCCUAGCUGUAAUUGAUCGCUAUCCCAACUCCCAUGCGUACCAUAAACAAACGAGGCAGCUCUAAAUCCCCCUUUCCCUUUCAUGUUCGAUGAAUCUUGAUCAGACUUCAUAGCAUCCUCCUGUACAGAUCACAUGACACAACACAGAGAAAACUAUGCGAUUAAGAUGAUUAAUAUCCGAUCAUUUAACGAUGGCAUUCGUGUCCCUCAUUAGAGAUUGGAAGGAGAAGAAGACUCACCAUGGCUGCUAGGACUUGGUUGAGUUUUUUCACUUAGCAGUUAGAGAGAGACCAACUGCUGGUGGGAUUUGUGGUGAUGGUGUUGGCAGGAGGGAAAUGCAUGUGUUUUUGAACGUAUGCUAACUUAUAAUAAGGCUAAAGGGAGCUUUGUAUAUAACGUUCGAGUUGGACGUGCAUCAAAGUGAUUGCUAGCUAGCUCUUCCUUGUUUUCACAUUCUCUCCAGUCUUUUCUUUCUUUUUCUUUCUUUUUUAUUUCUCUCUCUCCAUGUUCACGAUUCUUUGUUCAUGAUUAAGAUAUGGCUGGCAGCUGAGCUAAGUCCGUUGGUUCACUUUCACAAGAGGCCUCAGUGGAAAAGGGAGAUAGAUAUGUGGGAUGUGGGCACUAGCCACCAAUUACAGUUGUUUGUUUGAUACCCCAUAUCAGGUAUCUUUUUUUUUUUUUAAAUGCUUUCAUUCAAAUAAAGGGAUUUCUUUUAAUUUAUUUUUCUCUGAAACAUUCUCUAUUUGGUCAAAUUUAGGUCCAUCUUCGUCUAAAUCAAUAGUAGCAUUCAACUGAACAGUGAAUAAAUCUAACAGUCUUCGAUUUGUUCAAGUUUUUUUUUUCUCAUUUUGCACUUGUCAAAUUAAUAUUGUCACCUCCAAAUUCAUAAAUGGUGAACAAUCUUAUGUAUAGUCAUAAUUGUAAGAAUGUCCUGAUAAAGAUCGCAAAAUUGUAUGGUCGGAUGAUCUCUCCAAGAUCUCUCAGUACAUAAACUGGAUCUGAUUUCGAUGAAGAAUUGAUGGCCUAACAUGAAGGAACCAAUCCCUUUCCAUACUCAUGUUUGUUCAGCAAUCCCUUUCUCUCCAUUUCUGCUUGGUUUGAUAUUUUGAAGUCAAAAGAUCUUGUCUUCGAUCACAAGAAAAUGACUUGUUUAAAUUUUGUGUAUAAACCGUAACAACUUCUCCCCGAAGUGUAAAAGUAUUUUACACAAGUUCUUUUUACGUUUCUUGCACUAAUUUCAAAAUUUAAGAAAAUCUCUUUGGAUUGGCCUAUUUUUCACAAACUAGAUUUUCAAAUAUAAUGUUACAGUAAUACAUAAACAAAACAAUUCUAAAAGUAUCUAAUCCAUACAAUAUAUUAAAAACAAUUCACAACUAUAUAUAAAAAAAAAAAAUUCUAUCACCCUUUUCUUCUUCCACCUAUCACCACCACCACUUGCCGCCACCGUCACUACCACCUCGUCCCUUCUCUUCUCUUCUCUCCUUCCCCUUCCCCUUCCUUUUCCUCCCCCUCCUCCUUCCCGCCCCUCCUUUCCUCACCUCACCUCAAUCUGGCUGCGAUCUAGUCAUGACUAGAUGCAGAUCUGGUUGGUUGGGACAAGAUUUGCAUCUAGUCACUACUAGAUAAGAUCAGAAUGAGGGAAGAGGAAGGAAGAGAGGUGGGAUUUGCGGGGAAGAGGAAGGGGGGAGGGAGAGAGAAGAGAGAGGAGAAGGGGUUAGUAGCUGUGAUAGGAGGUGGUGAUAUUAUUUUUUAUUUUUAAAAAAUACUCCAAAAGAAAUAUAAAUUCUAAAAGUACCCCAAAAUACAUCUCCACAACACCUCUAAAAACACUUUAAUAACAUACAAUAAAAGUUUUUCACAUGUAUUGUUACAGUAAAAUUUUUUAAAAAUGUUCUAAAAAACAACUAAUCCAUGCAUCCAUACGGGGCCUAUACAUAACAAAAAAAAAAAACACACACACACAAUUUCAUGCGCACAUAUAUACUUAUUUGCACAUAUGCACAGAUGAAACAAAAUGUAUACAUAUUUGCCCUUCAAUGACUUGUGUAGAAUCACAAUAAUAUUAACAUUUUCAGGUCCCUAUUGACUUCCACUCAUAGUCUCAUUCCUCUCCUGUGCAUGUUUGGAUUACAGUUUUCUAGAGAAAAUUUUUUACGUUUUUUGUAAAUAUAUUUUUCAAUCACAUUUUACCUCACAUUUCCCGAUCAAAUAAUUGUUACAAUAUAUGUUUCUAUAAAAACUCGUAAAAAUUUUUCCUUUUUCUUUCAAUGCUAUAGUACUAGGACUAGACAGAAAGAUUUUUGGCCUAGUGGAGUGAGAUGCGUGCACAUAAUUUAAAUCUCUAUUUAUGUAGGAACCAUACCUGUGUGCCAAAACGACACCUAUGUGCGGACAAGGUUAGGGAUGGAUGAAACAUGAGACCCGUUACUGUCAAUAAUUACUCAAACAUUUGAAUGAAGGUAAAGUGAGUAUGAUAUAUGACCAACAACUAUUGGGUGUUCUAGACCAUCCCAAAACCAUCUUUCAUUAUUUGAUAUUGGGACCUUUGAAAGAUCAACAAAACAAACAAGAAAAAAAAUAAGAAAAUUAAAAUAACAAAUCUUGUUUUGUUCUUCAUCCGCGUGAUCCCACCAAAGGAUAUAAGAUUACAUCCUUUUUCUUCGUAUAUUAAUCUAAACUAAUCCUAAAUGCUUGCAAGUGAGUGUUACAUCUUUGCCAUUGCAACAAAUUAAGCUAAUAUAUAAUCUCUAAAUUUUCUCAAGGUUUGAACAUUAGGCGACACAUGACUUGUAUCUCAAUAUUUUCAAUCCAUUGUGCUUUGAAUUUGAAAAGAGUAUUUUGAUCUCUAACACUCAAUUAUUAGAGAAUUUAGUCAGUUGAUCAUGAGAUAAAAUAAUUGAGGCCUAAUUAAAAAAAAAAAAAAUCUUGCACUCCUUGUAAAAUGAACAUUUUAUCUUCUACUACUAAACUUUGUUGGCCUUUUGCGGGAGUUUCUGGCUAUUACUGCAAAGCUACUUGGCAAACUUUGAUUGCUUCCGGGAUACCAUCAACUUUUGCAGCAGGUUGAAUCUUGAAUUUAUAUGCUCAACAUUACUUUUCUUCUUAGAUUUGAAUACCAAGUAUUAAUCAUAGGAUGGUGAUUAUGACAUUUUGUGGGUUUAGUGGGAAGGUUGAUGCCUAAUUUUGUAUGGUGGCUUUGUGAUCAACAAGCUAUCUUUUUGGUAACCAGAAUAAUUUUAAUAUCAGGACCCCCCUACUAAAGAUAUGUCCAAAAAAGACUUGGAAAGGUUUCUAAUUGAAGUCAAAAGGAGAACAAUAGCUGGACAUCGACCAAAUAAUUGAAGAACUAGACCCGCGAUGCAAGAUGCACACAUGCAAUUCAUUUAACCCGGUAAAACGACAUCUUGUAUACCUACGCACGGGUUCUCAACCUGUUGGGAUCCAAACGCGGAAUAUACGACUAGCAAAUUUCCUAACACAACUCUAUUAAUCCGUCAGUCUACGUUCGGCCUCUUGAAAAUUUUCUCCUGUUUCAUGCCAUGUAAGUAGCAAGUCUUGAAAUUCUUCAUCAGAUAUAGUAUUCCGGUCUUUGUGGCUUGCCCCAGUAGCCAAGUUAAACUUGAAUUGAUUGCCUUAUCCAGAUUGUGGAGGAAGGGAUCGUUGUAGUAGGGACAUUUAAGUGCAAUGGAUUUAGCACCUUUAGCGCCCACCUCUACAUGGGAUGUCUAUUGUCACAAAAGCUAUUCCCUAAAGAAGUUGUUUGGGGCCAAAACAUGAGCACAUACAGGAAAAAGCUAAUGAAAUGAAAGGAUGGAGAACUAAAGUUGCUCUUCUUCUCUCAUCACUCUGGACCACCUUCAACCUAAAAUGGAUGUGGUCUUAACCUUUCCUGUAUUAACAAAUCAAAUUAUUAUCCAUUCGUGCAACUAUGCAAGUUGAGCAGUCUCUUUCUUGGGCAAACAGGAAAAAAAGGGCUCUCCUGUAAUCACAGGUAUACAUGCACCUCCUUUUUGUUAGGAUGAUGCUGAUCGAUGUUCAUCUUCUUCUUAAACUAAUAAAUGCAGUAAUCCACAAAUCCCAUUCAAUGGAUCUUUGUGAUUUCGAAUCUAAGGAAGUUGAGAUAUUGAGGUCAAUAGCUAUUUGGUGCUUCAAUAAUUCAAACUCAUAUAUAUUUCUAGAACUUAAAUUACGACACAUUGCACACGUUGUAGUUUUUUAACCCUUCAUUAUGACAGUGUAAAACAAGAUUAUAAGGACGAAAUCAAUUAUAAGAUAAUAGCUAUGUGAGAUAAAAAGGUAAUUGGGAAUGCGUUAAUGGAAAACGCAAAAAUUUUCUAGGGAAAAAUGGCUUUCCAAACAAAGCUAAGUCGUGUCAAAACAUGCAUGAGUGAAAACUAUGUUGUAUACAAUUGAAAGCAAUGACAACAUAUAAAUGAGCAGAUGCAGCCAUAGCAUUGUGAGUUCCAUAUAUGCCAGAAUGAUGGAAUCUGCCUCUUGUGACUCAGUUAAGGACAAUCUCACUCUCAGCCCUUAUUGAUAUCGUCAUCACAUAGGUGCUGGAGUUCUUGGUCAUGCUCUAAUCUGCUUGAUUUUCACAUAGAAAAGCAUAUUUCAUAGGUUUAUUUACUUCAGUUAUAUCAUCAGACAUUUGGGGUGGAUGACCUGUCUUUUGUGCAAAUGGUCAGAUGGAACAAUGUACAUUCAGGCAGCUACUGCAAUUCUUGCAGGUACUAAGGUAGUUGGAUGUAGCUUUAGUGAUAAAUGUGCAAAACAAAAACGGUCUGCUAUAACAGAUAAUCCAACUCACUGACAUGUACACCUGCAAUUAUAUAUGAUAAAAAAGUUUUAGGCAUUUAUUUGCUUUGACAUCUGUACCUGGAUCUUGAAACUGCAAUUCUAUAUAAAAAGUGCUGUCAAAACAGAAUCAGAUGCCUCUUUUAUCGAGCAGCUUUUACACAUUGAAGUAAAGAAGAUCUUUAAAAUCAUCAUUGCCAAUUCAUGAUCUGGUGCAAUGACUAACAUGUUAUUUGUCUAUUCAACAUUGUACAUUUCUAAUUGGAUUGGCAUAUAAUUCGACAAAAUCUUACAGAUCAAAAUCUUUGUUAAUUUUUAGUGAAAAAUCAAGUUGUGCAGAAAUGUAAGACUUGAAUAUUCUGGUCAUCAACAAUGGUAGACUAUUAAAACGGAAAAGAUAAUUAAACUGUUGAUCCAGGAUUCCACCUUAAGAAAGAAAACCUGAAUAUCAUUAGGAUCUAGUACCUGAUGAACCUUUUCAUGCCUUUUACUUUUCAGAAAGCAAUCCACAACCAGCUUGCUCUUUGCUUCUUUUUCAAUUCUCUGAGUCAUUCUUUUUUUUUAUUCCCCUCUUCGGAGUUCUGUCGGUUGGAGGAAGUUGGAUUAUCUAUUUCUCUGCAAACUUGUGCAUCUCGAAAAGAAAAAACCAAAAUGGGAAAAUAUGGUUCUGAUCAAGGAACUUUUACUGCGCCGGAAAGAAGUAUUUUGUGUCAGACCUUAAAAACCAAUUGUGACAAUCAAAGAGACAAAACUGAGCUACCCAGAAUCAAUCUCAGACUUGAGCAAAUGUAAAAUGAGACAGUCUAUCUGCAGAAGGCACUUUCAAGUCAGAUUUGUUCUCUCUCACUGCCAUUCUAAACUAUGAACCUGGAAAAAGUACACACACACACACACAUAUUCCUGAAUUUGUUUUUAUGAAGAAUGCUGUCAACAAAACCGAGUACAAGAUAUAUAAAAAUCCAAGCAAAUUAAAACUUAGUUUUUAAGCCAUGCAGAAAAUCGAAAAAGAAAGAAAUGAAAAACCAAUGGAUAUGAGGUUGCAGAAUAAUGGUUGAUUACAGUUUUUAACAAUGAGGAGCACAUCAGGGGAUGGAAUAAGGAUUAGCUGCACCAUGGUAAAGAAAAAAGAAUUUCGCUCGUUAGUUUUUUCCAUCGCAAAUCCUCUCAAGAAGUUGGACCCAUCAAUCUAGUGCAUAAACAUCUAGCACAACAAUGAUCUUAAUCCGGUAAAGAAUUCCAUAUCCUAUCAUGUGGUCCAACAAUAGUAGUUGUUUUUUUUAAGUAGUAGUACUUCUUCUUCACCCCACUAACAUGCGCAGACAUCCCCACUCUAGUGAUGCAUCUUAUUAUAGCUUAGCACGUUUUAACUUUCUUUCUGUGUUUCCUCAUCCAGAAUCCACCAUGAUUUUAAGAGAUUGAAGGCCACAAGAUUUCGAAAUUUCAUUGCCCUCACUUUCCACUAACUUUAUCUUUAUCAACACAAUUGAUCAAAUAAUGGGCUUUCCUCCUGUAGCUGCACAAACUUUUGAAAUUAAUAUUGCUCCCUGCGGUCAUAAGAUUUCCUAGUGACAUGCUUAUAAUUGGUUCCUAAUCAUGAAUAAUUUCCAUAUAAACUUUUGCUUCUGUUCUUUUUCUCACUAACAAAUCUUGACAGGUGGGACGAGGACACUUGCAUCAAUAAUGGUCAUUGUUACAGUGAUCAAUUCUGAAUAGACAGUAAGAAAAUGCCAAGAAAAUUAGGCAACAUAUCACUGUAUUUAAGAACAUCAUGGUAGUCAGAUUCUCAAUAAUAGAAGGUCACAUGAAUGCAUUAAAAACAACAAGAUCAAUUUGGCAAUUAGCUAUGAAACUAAUAUCAGUCGACUAUGACUUGAUACAAUACAUUGACAGACCUAGAAAAACAGGUGCGGGAAGUGUGUGAAGAAAUUAAGGAUCAGGGCUCAGCACAGCACAUUUAAUUUUUUUUCCUCCCAAAUCAUAAAUGAACUCUGUAGCUCCAAGUAAUGGCAUACUUGUUGGAUUUAUCCCAUAUCGUUUCGACUUAGUUAUACGUGUGACCUCACCCUUGAGUUAGCGUUUGAGGUGGAAAGGCCCAAUAACACCUAAUACUCCUAUCAGAGUUCAAUUACAACAACUUCUUCUCCCGAUAAAGAGUCCAAUAACUCCUUCCAAUUAAGAUCCAAGUGUAAAUAAUCCACAAUUCACAAAGGAAAAAUGUGCAAAAAUGAAGAAUGUAUAGAGAGGUAUAUGUUUUCAUACACAUACAAUUUAAUGACGACACUCAUAACGUUCGAUGCUGAUAGCCGAUAGGUGACAUGAAUUUCUACAAGAUGGCAUACUUUGGCAAAAUGAAAUAGACAUGACAAGAGGAGUAUCUGGCACUCCUAAGACCGAAAAGGAAGAAAAGAUUGGAAUAAAGGUGAUCAGAGAGCACAUGGAGAUUCCAAGCAUAUGAAAGCUGGUUCAUAUUUUGGGAGAAGAAAAAAGAACUAAUUCAAUUACAUGCGAGAGGAAAUGAGCACAGUUUAUAAAAGCUGAUUCAUCUCUUGGCCAUCCUUGUAAAGCAUUCUCUCUUUUAAGUACUGAUUCAGAACAUAUAGUUGAUGUAACCUUGUACUCGACCCAGUUCAGAAAAGUGCAACAAGGCCAUCAGAUAAACACAUGAAUUUCUUUUAUUCUUCAGAAAGAUGGGGCUACUGCCCUCCCUGCUGUGAUUUUGCUUCUCACUGCCGUGAUUUUGCUUCUUACAUAUUUUGCCUUUCUCAGCUUUUGAUCACCUCUACUAUGUAUUAAUCUGUGUUGCCAAAGAGAACCGGAAUAAAGAAUCUCUCCCCUCCCAGUGCUUUACCAUGCUCUGAUAACAUUUGUUAGUCAAUUAGUUGAACGAACUUUCUGUCCCUUUCUCUUCGAACAUAUGUGUAGCAAUUGGAGUAGAUCUUAAUUUCAGUAUGAAAUAUGCCUUAACAGGUUCUCUUAUUUAGACCUAGGGGAGGUGAAAGAAGAGGGUGUUUUCUGUGGACUUGGAGGCCUCUUUGACCUUGAGUUCCAAGGGUAAAAUUAUCUGUCCCUCGACUAAAGAUUGGUUCUUUCGAACAUCAAACAUCUAUAUGAACCUUCGACGCUUCUCAAAAAUCAAAGUAGAAGAAGAAGAAGAAAUUCGCACCUAUAAGUUAGCAGCUACCCGAGUAGAAUUUUUUUCUUUUCACCGCAGAUAUAUAAAAUCUUACUGGAUCAUUCCUGAUUUACUAAGUUUUCUUUAGUUGCUGAGUGGAGCUAAUCCGAUGGACAUCUUGAUCACUUGAUCAACAUAACUUCAAGUUUAUUUAGCAAAUCAACCAUGUUAGAAAUUGGGAAAAGUUGACCAGGCAACUUGUGGAGCUCACAAUUAUUUGAAACUUUCCAUUUGGAUACAAUAGAUCCUGUAAACUUGUAGUCAACUUAGAAUGGCAUGAAUCGUCCCCAUUUAGGACAGGAAUAUGAAUUUUUUUGGAGUAUAUCCCAUUCGCAAACCACGUAGCUUUCUGAACCUGUUCCCUUUAACUUGUUUUCAAAGAAUUGUUUGCAGCCUUAUUGUACCAGUACUUUGAGAUCAGACUGAUUGCAGAUGAAGGCCGGUACAAAUGUAAAACUGUUUUGACUUUAAUUUACCAUACUCCCAUAAUCUUUCCCCUUCCAUAACAAAUUAACUACAAUCUGCAUUACUAACCAGGGGGUUGCUUUUUUUUUUUUUAAGAAAGAAAAAAAAGGCCUUACCGAGGGCCAUUGCUGUACUGUGUAUUUACUACGUCUAAGGAAUCUCUCUCAACUCAUGAUGCUCUUGGUAGGUUUAUAUGCUGUACAGAGUCUCGCCGAAAGAAAGUUAAAACCCAAACCAGUAAAAGGUGCCAUUCUCCUAUUGAAUCAUUUUUUUUUCUUAAUAUUUUUUUAUCCAUCGUUUUCGCCUGUCAGUUGCUAUGGUUUAAAAAAGGCCCAAGAGCUGAGCUGCAAGUCCAUGCAAAGACACUGAUCUACCAAGUCACGCAGCACAGCCAAACACAUUUGAUUUGCCUGCUAAUGUCUAUGUUGUCAUCCAAAAGAUUAACAUGGGAUGGGAGAUUAAAGUCCCUCUUGAAUGUAUCCACAUUGUAUUCUACCAUCCAUAAGAACUGAAGACAUAAGCAGGGUUUAUUUUCGAGAGCAGAUCCUCUGUCCAAUAUUUUGUGUCCAAUUUCCUGUCUAAUGUGAAACUACGUAGUUUCACUUAUUAUAUUUGCUGAUAUGACAACUAAAAAUAGGUGGCUGUUUGGCUGCCUUAUACUUCUUUUUCUUUCUUCUUUUUUGAGUUUCCUUUGUUUACACAACUUUAUUACAAUUCUCAUCUUUUUUAAAACAAAGUAUCAAGGAUUUCAAAUACAAAAGAAUAUUUAAAAAAGAUGGGAAUUGUAACAAAGUUGUGUAAACAAAGAAAACUCAAAAAAGAAGAAAGAAAAAGAAGUAUAAGACAGCCAAACAGCCACCUAUUUUUAGUUGCCAUAUCAGCAGAUAUAAUAAGUAAAACUACGUAGUUUCACAUUGGACAGGAAAUUGGACACAAAAUAUUGGACAAAGGAUCUGCUCUCUUUAUUUUCUCCUCCUCAUCCUCCUCAAUUUUAUGAGUAUGCAAGUCUAGACCUCCAGGACAGUUGACAAAAAGAACCUAAAACUACUCCCUACCGCAGCUCUCUAUUGCAGAUCAGUAAUGCCAUGCAAAACUUUGCAUUCUAUUGCAUAAUAAUGCAAAGAAUGCUCAUUAAAUUAGAAAAACUUUGGAAUAGAUUGCCAACUGAACUCAACUCAAAGCAUUUUUUUCCAAGAAUCAGACCUAGACAAAAAUUUUUGCUAACAAAUGGUAUCAAGGUAAAAAGCAGAUAAAUUUCAAGGCCAAGACUUCAAGAGAAACCCUUUUUUAACCUAUAUCUAUUCCUUUUAAGGUAAGGCAAAGGGUUGGAUUGGACGGUAAUGUGGGGGAAAUUCUUACCUAUAAAAAAAAAGGAGAGGAAUGAGAUUUAAGGGGCGGAGAAGGGGAAGGAGAUUAGAACUUAGAAUCUUUAAAUCUUGAAAUUUUAACCUUCAUCACCAGAUCAAAGUCUUGCUUUUUAAAACAAAUGUUGAUAAUUAUUCAAACAAAACACGUUUGUGACAUGAAAACUGUCAUGAUACCGCUUGCCUGCAGAUUGGGCUUGUUGUCCUUAGUUCGGCCUAUUAUUACCACUUGGAGUCCUCAUUCAGCCAAGAGACCAGACGCUACCAUACACUAAAAACAGGCCUCUGUCAGACAUGGACCGGCCGAAUGAAAUAGAGCACCACGAAAAAGGAAAAACAGCCGAGUUAACGCAUCAUAUGAAUGAAUGAAUUAGGUAUUUUUGAAAAUUUUAAUUAUAGGGAUAAAUAUAAUUAACUUUUAUUGUAGAUAAUUAAGUGUUCUUAAGAUGUUUUUGAGGGUGUUUUCGAUGAUUGAUUUGUUUUAAAAACAACCAAAGGAUGUUUGUUUGUUGAUCAUCUUCCACAUUGCAUGAAUAAAAUUUCAUGCUAUUUUACUUGACCGCCUUCCUCAUGUGAAAUGUAAUUCAUCUUGAAAAAAAAAAAUCAAACUCUUAAUAAAAUAUUUUUCUACAUUUAAGACUUGGCCCCUACCCAAGAAUCCGGACUCCAGCAUUGGUAUUGCUUUAUCCGGGGCUAUGUUUGGUUUUCUACAUUUUGCGCUCAUGUGAAAUCUUAAGAACUCUCCUUUCCUUGUUUCCAAGAUGACACUACUAUUAUUCUCUUUGUCCAAAAUAAGGAUGGACACACAUAAAAUUUAGAGAUAAGGAGAUGUAAUAAUGAUAGAUCAUAAGCGGAUUAGUACUUAAUUAAUAUCUUUUGAGUUUUUCUAACCCGUGCCCUACAAAUACCCGUUAAUACACAUAAUAUUCACCUAAAUUAUCAUAUAUAUAUAUAUACACAUACUAAUAAUUAUGAUCAUUUUUUAUAUUUAUAUAUAUUUUUUAUUUAAUUUUACCUACCAUUCCUUGUAUUUAUUUACUUCCCUUAAUUAAUAUUAUAUUUUAAAAAAUAUAACAUAUAAAAUAUAUUUUAACGGACACUCGAUGGACAGACCGAUAUUUUUUACUUUCAAACUCAUAUUUUCUAACUUUCCUAUUUUCCCAAACCUAAUAUUAUCGAGUAAAUGUCUUAGGUAACUUUAGUAAAUGAAUGUUUCUAGUACUCCAACAAAUCACUUAAAAUGCUUCAAUAAAAAAAUAAUCACUUAAAAAAAAAAGUUAGAAAGGAGAAGUGGAACCCGGGCUACUAAUUAGUAAUUAGAGACCAAUAAGUCAAGAUUAAUCAGAGCCGGUCAAUGGCGGGUCGGGGAAAGAAUUCAAGUCGGUCAAAACCGGCAGCACCGGAAACUGACCCGUUGGCCACGUAUAAAAGGCUAAAGAGGCGGGAAGAGUUUCCUUAAAAACCCUACCUUUCAGGAGUCACUCAGCAGAGGAUUUCUCCCAAUUUUCAUCCCAAUUUCUGGCACACAUGGGCAUAAAGGUUGUAUGUCGAUCUAAUUUCUGUCAAUGUAUUCUGCGAAUUGAUUUCUUAAUUUUGCUUCAUAACUUUCUGUUUCCUAAUUUUUCCUUUGAAUUGUUUGCUUAGGGUUUAACGAAGCUUUUAGCGGAUAAUGCUCCGAAGGCGAUGAAAGAGCAUAAAUUCGAAAGCUUCUUCGGCCGAAAAAUCGCCAUUGACGCCAGCAUGAGCAUUUAUCAGUUCCUUGUUCGUACACUAGCUACCCCCAUUUUUGUUGUUUCUUGGUCUGUGGAUAUAUAUGCAUUUGGCUAAGCUUAAAGCCUUAAACUUGCCGUGUAAUUAAUGAAACUGUAGAUUGUCGUUGGGCGAAGCGGCACUGAAAUGCUUACUAAUGAAGCUGGAGAAGUUACUAGGUAACUCACAUUUUACAUUUUUUUGGGACAAUAAUGUGCCGAAAACAGAAAAUUAGCAAAUUAGCAAAAUAUGCAGAGAGAGGUCUUUGGAAAAAAAAUUUUUUUUUCUGUCGUUCAUGCUAAAUAUUUGUUGAAUUUUACUCUUAAACAAAAGUUUACCAGUCUUUGGUAGUUAUAACUGUUUGUUGAUGUGGUUUUGCGUUCUGUGUUUUAAGUCAUUUGGUAGGAAUGUUCACGCGGACAAUUAGGCUUUUGGAAGCUGGAAUUAAGCCAGUGUAAUUUGUUAAUCUUCUCCUUACUGAUUUUUGUGUUUCUUUUGUUUUAUUUGGUCAGAAGUUUAUUACAUAUGCUAAAACUUGUUAUUGCCUUCAAAUUUUAGCUAUGUGUUCGAUGGUAAGCCACCAGAUUUGAAGAAACAAGAGCUUGCUAAACGGUAUAUUGUAUUAUACUGUUAUUCAUGUUGCUUGUGAAGUUUUUUUUUUUUUGAAUGAAUGCUCCCUCCCGGAAAUCAAAAUUUGUGACUCUGAUAUGGAUAUGCAGUUUUUCUAAGAGGGCAGAUGCAACGGAGGAUCUAGAUGAGGCUGUGGAGGUUAACAUAACAGAACUAUAAUUUUGCCUCCAAUCACCCUGCCAAAGAAAAAAGAAAAAAAUUCUUGACUUUUAUACUUUGCCCUUUUCAUAGCAUCAUUCUAGUAUCUUGUCGUUUUAAGAGCUGAAUUCUCCCCCACAAUUUCUUCUUGCAGACUGGCAACAAGGAAGACAUUGAGAAAUUCAGUAAGAGGACAGUAAAGGUGGGCUAUUAACAUUUUAUGGUUGUUAUAUGGUGUAGAACGGUGUUGUCAAUCUGUACUUAUUUGGUCUUUGAUCAUUCUGCUGUUUAUGAAAGUUUCCAACCCUUUUCUCUGGCAGCCUAUAGCAGAGAUAGUAAUAAACAAAAGAAAAAAAGGAAGAUUAAAUACAGAAAUCAUUCUUCAGUUUCACAAUUCAAUGCAUUUGUUAGAAAAUGCCAAGCUUUAGAUGAGGUUGUAGUCACUGUUGAAUCCAGGGAAUGAAAUAUUGAUUUAUUGGGUUCAAUAGCCGAAGUUCAAUUUGCAUAGAUUAAUUGUUUUUGAAAAUCCCAAUGAGUAAUAAAUGCAUAAAGCCCUUCCACCAUACUGUUCACUGUUGAGAUUAGACAGGUUGUCACAGAGGAAAGUGUAUACACUUCUGAUAAUAUAAAUUGCGAGUGUACAACAGUAUUGUGUACCUACAGAAACUAUUGAAGUUAGAAGCUCCUGUACACAAUUCUCAGAGUUAAAUCGAUAUUCAGUAUCAAUAAGAGCUAACCAAUUCUUCAAUUAGGUGCUUAUGCAUCUAUUUUUAGGGUUAACAGAUGAUAUUUGUAAUUGCUGAUAUUCUUGUCCUUUCUUUUAAAACAAGAAGAUCUAAACUCCUUGAAGUAUAUAGUUAAGCAUGUUAUCAGUUUCAUGUUGAUUUUGGUUGUGUAGGUUACAAAACAACAUAAUGAGGACUGCAGGAAACUCCUUAGACUUAUGGGAGUACCUGUGAUUGAGGUGAGCCAGUGAAACAAAAUAUUUCUUCUCUAAAUUGAUGCCUGCCAGUUGCAUAUAUGUGCUGACUUUUCUCCUAAGAGCACGACAAGUUAUAUCUUUGACUAUAGUGCCUUCCACUCUGUUGUUAUGUCAGGCCACUUCAGAAGCAGAGGCACAAUGUGCUGCACUUUGCAAAUCAGGAAAGGCAAGUAUCUUGGUCUUAAUGGUGGUCUCACAGCUUGCACCAACAUAAAAUCUUUGGGAGUUAGUUUUCUUUGAUUGUGUCCUUCCAAUAUAUCCAUUUGUAUAUUGCUUCCUUCGAAUAUAUCCAUGUGAACACCUUACAUGGAAAUGAUUAGAAGGAACAAGGAAUUAAUGCUCCCUUUGUUAUGAGAUUGGAAAGAUCAUACAUCUGUGAAUGUCAGGUUUAUGCUGUGGCCUCUGAAGACAUGGAUUCCUUAACUUUUGGAGCUCCAAAGUUUCUUCGACAUCUAAUGGACCCUAGCUCCAAAAAAAUCCCUGUGAUGGAAUUUGAAAUUUCCAAGGUAUCAGAAUCCCGCUUUACAAAUUUUCAACAUUGAGACAUCAACUGAUGUACUUCUCUACAGGUUUUGGAGGAGUUGAACUUUACCAUGGAUCAAUUUAUAGACUUGUGCAUUCUUUGUGGAUGUGAUUAUUGUGACAGUAUUAGAGGUAAUGCACAUUUCACUGAUACCAUCAUUGUCAGGCUUCACACAUCUCAUUGAUACCAUCAUUGUCAGGCUUCUUAGAAUUUUUAAAUUAAAAUCUGGGUUUCUUCUGUUUGUUUUGAAAAACACAUCAGAAAGGAAAGCUUAACAUACUUCAGACAAAGAAUUUUUGCUGGAAACAUGAAUUCAUGAAUGUGACUGGGAGGUUUUGACCUAAUGAAUGUUUUGACAUCACAACUUGCACCUCUAAUUCAUGUAUCUUGACAUGAAUGUGACUGGGAAGUGUUUGCUGGAAACAUAUGCAUGUAGGAAGAUGGAUAUUUUCUGGUUUGCGCACUCUAAUCUUUCUCUUGCUGUAGUAACAUCAGUUUUAAAAUGCUUUUGUUGUUGCCAAACUAUGGAAAAUCCAUACUGUGGGAAAUGGGCAUAUCUUUCCUAGAAUUUGUCUUAGUUUAAAGGGAAAUGUGCACAAGAAUUCAACUGAGAAGUUUGUAGAUUUUUGUUUAGCUUUCUUUUUCUUCAUCUUUCUUUUCAAUAAUUUCACAUGGAUAUCUAAUAUAUGAGCAUGUUGUGUGCAUCCCUGGGCUAUCUAGGAGCAAAAUUGCAUACUUAUAUUGGGCUGAUUUUCAAUGCAUCAGGUAUUGGUGGCCAGACAGCCUUAAAGCUCAUUCGCCAACAUGGCUCAAUAGAGAGCGUAAUCGAGAACAUAAACAGAGAAAGGUACAUAUUUAUAUUGUCACUUGAAACUUGUCAAAUUGUGGUUUCAGGAAAAGCGGAAAGCCAGGAGAAUAUGUUAUCUAGAUUUUGGAUCUUAAGAUAUAGUUCUCAUUUCCUAGAUCUCAAAGUUUGAUGUUCUUCAUUUGCAUCAUGUUCCUUAGUUGACUGCCUUUCACUUCUUCCUGCAUUCAAUUUACAAGCGGUUGCAUUUGACUUUGCAUAUGCACUUGAAGUUCAAUUUCACCUGUUAUGUUUCAGAUACCAAAUCCCAGAUGAUUGGCCAUAUCAAGAAGCUAGGAAGCUCUUCAAAGAACCAGAAGUUGUCACAGAUGAAAACCAACUUGAUUUCAAGUGGAAUGCUCCAGAUGAAGAAGUGAUUUACUUCAAUUAACAAUUAUAGAUUGGUCAUUAUUGUCGUAUAUAUCUAUUUAUUGAUCAGCUUAGGGAUUAUCUUUGGUUUCAGGGACUUAUAAACUUUUUGGUAAAAGAAAAUGGGUUCAGCAUCGACAGAGUUACAAAGGUAUGCUUAUGAUGAGAAUUUGGUUGCUUAUGUUUGAAUUCAGUCUUCAGAAUUUGUGUACAUUACAAACUCAAAUGUUGAUUUAUUCAGUCAAUAGAAAAGAUCAAGGCAGCAAAGAACAAGUCUUCGCAGGGGAGGUAUGGAACUGACUGACUGAUUGGUGAUAUUGUUGCUUUAGUGAAAUCAUGACUCAUUAUUGUCUUUCUUGAGCAGAUUAGAAUCAUUCUUCAAACCAGUUGCUAACACAUCAGCGCCUCUUAAAAGAAAGGUAUUAUUCGGCGUUGAGACCAUUUGUCUGUUGCUUGUUGUCCAUGUAAGACCUUCAUUUGGCAGUCCCACAAUAUUUUUCGAUAAAGAAAAUCAUGCGCUGGCAAACUCAAUGUGAUGUUGUCCUUGUUUUGUCCUUUAUUCUUCUGCUCCUCGUGUGGCUGUAUGAGCAUGUUUAACUUUGGUCUCCUAAUACUUUUGCUUAAGAUACUUGGUAUUGAUGCUCGACAUCAGAGUGCUGCACUUACUGGAAUUAAUUUGGAGUAAUAGUAAACAAAAUACCUCAAAACAGUCGUUAGGGAUCAUAAUUAAUAUACUAAUUGAAAGUUUUAUAUCUUUUAUAUGUAUUACCUCAAGUUGGUCUGAUAUAACAUACCUAGAAACUAAAAGCCCAAGAAUCCAGUACUUUAUUCUGCAGACCACCUUUUGAGAUCAUAGUGAAUCAUUCUUUGAUUAUACUUGCCUCUCUUCAUUGCUUCUUCAAAAAAGCUGAAAAUUAGAUAUUUUGUUUGAGAGUUUUUCUUCGGAUUGUAAUGUCAUGAGUUUACUGUUGGUUACAGUAAUCUCUUAUGUACUGGUUCACAGGAAACCAAGUGCAUCCUUGGAUCUCCUAAGUCUCAAGUCAAUCUUAAGAUGAUUUUUGGGAAAGCAACUCUGAAACACCGGCCCAGGGUCAUUGGCCGCUUUGGCCUGCCAACUCCGAAUAUUGGCUCAAAGCAGUCAUUGCUUUUAGCAGGAGUUGGCUUCUUCGGCACGUGAACCUGAAAAACCUUGGUGAACUUAGCUCUUGACUAUUCUCUAUCUUUAUUUUUAAUCUAUAAAUAAUUUCUGAAAUUAUGUUCAAGUAAAUCAUAUUUGUGGUCAAUAUACUAGUACUGAUUGCUAUAGAACAUACUGAGUUGUAACUUGCAUAAUAGAUGAUCUGCUUGUUAGAUUUAGGAAUUUUAUGAGGAGAGAACUUAGAGUUGUAAGUUUGAGGCCAAGGUGGGGCAGAAUAGUGGGCAGUUGUAUUAUUCAGGAGCUGACAUUUAGGAAACAAAAAGGGAAUGAAUCAUCAAGAGAGAAAACUAUACAGGUACAAGACUCACAUUUUCUAGUUGAAAUUUGUGGUUGAGUAGAGGCUUGCGCUCAUUGGCCAGCUCUCUGCAUCACUUGUGGAGUUAAGGACAAACUUGAAGGAAUCUCAAUUUUCUCUUGAAAGGCUAAAUGUCAACCUGGUAAUAGCCUUUAGUUCAUCUGCAAAUCAAAUUUCUUUUGCAGUUUCAGUUGGGAGAAGCCAGACACUUUAUGCUGGAUACCAGUCUCUUUUGUUGCCAAUUUUCCACUCAUUGACUGAUUGAUCCUCGUUCUUGAUAUUCUUGAAAUAAAACAAUCGCAGGCGGUAGAAUGACUUGAAGGAAGCCCAUUGUAGUGCACAGAUAGAUUUGAACAACUAUGGUUGCAAAUUCUUGAGCAUUUUAAUCAGGAUUUUGAUUCUGACAUUUGAGAGAGUUGUUGCUAGGCGGUAACUACCCAUCAGAUAGUAUUCCAUCCUUUAUUUAGUGCGGCCAAUUCUGGCCUUAUGGUUUUUGGAAACAGUGGCUCUAUCUUUGGAAUUUCUAUCAAGUGUUCUUGUAAGUUGUGGGACAUGUAUUUUUUGUAGCCAUGAAAUUGACAUAUGGGAAUCUGAAUGCUGAAAAUUUCUUUUUCUAUCCCUUAAGUUUGAUAAUUUCUGUGUUGACUUUACCAAAACAUACAAAAUACCGUCCUCAGUAUGAAAUGAUCGCCAAUUUGUUUCACCUUAUGAAAAAUUUUCCUGUUUAUCUUUUCAAGGCUAUUCAUUUGCUUUCAUUUCCCAACUUGAUCACAGGAAGCAGCGGAGAAAAUUGAAAAGGAGAAUACAAAUAAGAAGUCGAAGUCUGGUGGUGGAAAGAAGAAGAAAUAAGUCAUUUUUUUCCUUUGAAGUGCCAAAUUGGUUGGUGGAGCCAGUUCUAUGCUGGCAAGGUAAACUUGUUUACAACAAUGAACAUUAGUAAUUAUUUCUUUUUUGUUGCUUCUUAAAUUUGUCAUAUCUUUGCAAUGAGCAACCUCUCGGUAGAAAUGUGAGUGUGCUACUGUAGAAACAUCUUAAAUCUAUUGUUUAACUAGAAUACGUAUACAUAUCUUUGCAUGAUUUAUUCAGAAAAGUAAUUAGUAUACUUAAUAGCUUUAACUGGAGAGUUCAAAUUGUGGGUCUAUGGAAAUUGGAACGUGUGUGAUUUCUUUUAAGAUGCUGUUUAAGUGACAAUAAACUUAACUGGAUAGAGUUUAGACAUGAUGACCGUGAAAAAUUAGGAUCUAAAUGGAUCCUGGUAUACAUUUCUUGGAUAGCUGGUGAAAUACAAAUGAAAGAUCAAACUAUCAAGUCCAAAAAUUCGUGUAAUGUCAUGCUUCUUGAUGAAGCUUUUUGCGUCAUGCCUUCUUGUCUGCACUUAAUUAUCAUAUCUGCUGUUGUGCUUUCCACUUACCAUGUGAAUUACACCAAUCUCUUCUUUCCUUCCAUGUACUCGAAAAUAAUAUCCUUUCCUGUUAAUUCCUCUCUGUGCAAGCAUGCUUGGUUCAGAGCAUUCUUCAUCAUUGGCCGAUACUUGCAGUAGUCUUUGUGUUAUUGCAAUUUGUAGUUCAAGAUAUUCCACUUUAGGCUCUCAUUUCUAUAGGAUUGGACUGAACUUAUUAUCAUGAUUUGGCCCACAAUUUUUUCUGUUUUUUUUUUUGUGUUUGUGUGUGUGUGUGUUGUUGGGCCGGGGGGGGGGGUGUUGUUUGGGUGGUGUUGGAAUUUUCCAUUUUACUGUGAUUUGGUUUCUGCAGGUGAGGAAUUUCCAGAUGCCGCAACAAACUUGGGAUUUCCAGAUGGUGCGACAAACUUGUGUUUCUUCUUGUGCUGAAAAUGUCCGUCAAUGAGAUGUGUAAUAUGACUGCAGGAUGAUGUGUCUCUGGAUUGGUAGACCAUUUUGUCAUCUUGGCUUUAAUUCUAGUGUACAGUUGUUCACGAUGUCAGAGAAUUUCGUCCUCUAACUGCUAGUCCUUUUGAAUAUCUAUUGAGAAUUGAGCUCUAUAAAUUUUCAUACCAGGAAGGCAGUUGCUGUAGCCAUGUUAAAGACAAAAUGAUUUGCUCGCCAAAAUAUGCAACUCCUAGGUUACGAAUGGAGAAAUGGCAUGGUCCUUGCACGUGGCUUCUUCGCAAGGUCAAUGCGCACAAGUCCAGGAGUCUUCCAAAUUUUUGUUAAUUAGUAAUCUAAUAACACUAAGAAUUUAAUGCAAGUCAGGCAUCGAUUUGUCUGCAAAAGAUUCUCUUCACUCGUACCAAUUAGCUUCGUCUGUUGUUAUGCACACGGGCUCCAUGGGUUAAGACUGGCUAAGGCGGAUAACAAAAGGAGAGCAUGGCCAUGGAAUAGGAGAGUUAGCAAUAAAUUCCAGGUGCCUGCUUUUAAUUUCCUUGGACUACGAUCACUUCCUAAUUGUCACGAUCUGCGGCUCCAUCACACGGAAGACAAUCUGAAAGCAGUCACUCCUUAAGGUACAAGACCUUAUGAGCUCCUUCAACUCAAUUGUCAAUCGAACCACCACGGGUACUUUGGUGGGGGGAAGUUUUAGAUGAAGUUGGUAAUUAGCGUAUUCAACCUGGGGAAGGAGGUGAGAUGAUUGAUGUUCAUAUGUCGGGUUACACUUCAGCAUUUCAUGAGAAUGAUACGUACGUACUUGCGGUAAUUCUCUCUCUGGAUACAUAUUGGCUUCUGAUGCUGCUGCCAUUGAACACUGAUGUCUUAGGUCUAGAGUGUAGAUAAGCCAGCACUUCUUUGUUCUGAUCUAUUGCUAUCUGAUACUAUUUGAUAAAGAGGGUGCAAUUAUCGGCUUUUGCCCAUUAAAUAGAAUGAAAAUAUGAGUGCAGCAUCUUUUGUUCAUCUCCUAAAGUCCAAACCGCAAAACGAUCUUCUCAUGUUUUCCAUUAGCAGCUGCAGCCAGUUUGAGAAAGAUACUGAACAGGAGAAAAUAUCCAUGCCAAGGACCCAAUAUCCUUCCUGGUGGAUAUUCUAAGCGGACGCCCUACUAGACGUGACCCCUGUGUCGAAGGGUCUGCCAAAGAUGGAAGGCCUUAUCAGUUAACAUCACAUUUUCUUGAGUUGCAUAUGAAACAUACUCUUCCAUCCAUCAUUACCCAGAACAGGUGAAGGGAUGUAUGCUUGGUUAACAAAUGGCCGUCAGGAGUAACAAAAAAAUAACCCCAAAAUCCCCACUAUCUACCUUCAGCACCGUAGAUGCAUGGAUCUCCGAACACACAAACAGUUCAUCAUACUCAAUCCUACCACCGAGGAAAUAGUUGAGAUACUCACCCCACUUCGAACUCGAAUUUAUGCAGUCUUUUCCCACCCCUCCCUAUAUCAACCCUUUGUGCCAUAUGUGGUAAUAUUCAAGAAGGAGCCGUGCAAUUCAAGUUUCUCAAUCUGGGAUUAGAUUCUUGCUGAAGAAAGCUUCGAUCAACUCGUGCAAGUUCACACCAACCCCGGCUUAAAACUAUGCUGUGAGGUGAGUCCAACUCUAAUCUUCUUCUAUUUAAUCUCUUGGUCGAUGAUUGCUGAGUUGAGGCAUGCCACAUAUUUAGAUCCUAAUAUUAAAAUUUAUGUGCACCAUGUUUUAUACAUUAAAAAUAAGGGAUAAUUUCACAAACCUCCCCUGAAGUUUUUAAUAAUUAUAGAGAACUCCCUUCAAAUUUUAAAAAUUACAUAUGCCUCCCCUACUUUUACUGUUUAGCAACAACUAGUUUUGUAAGCCUCGCGCAACGCGUGAGGUUGCCCCCAGCUUGUGUUGAUCUAAUUUAAUUGAUGGUAGGUAGUUUGGGGUAAAACAUUUGGGUUGUCAAAAUGUGGUGAACUGUGGCAGACUAUCAUGUGCGGUGGCAAGAUUGGUUUUGUUUGUGAAUGCAUGGGUGCCAUAUAUUUUUAUUGAAAUUGACACUUGGUAGUUUGGUUCAUAGUUGUGUGACAACUAUUAUGUUAUAUGAUUUUUUUGUGAAUUGACGUGGAGGUUUUGUUCUAUAAGAAUGUGGAAUGUCUUGUUAAAGGAUGUGGGUGGGUGGUUGUUCAUUUUCUUCUCAAGUAUUUUGAUGAUAGGUUUUUCUAAUAGUUGGUAAGAAUAUAACAGUAUUGUAGUAGUAUAUUUAUAAAAGAAUUAUUUUGAUAUAGGAGUUUUGGCGUAGUGGUUUGCAAGUUUAUAAAUUUUUUUUUUUUUUUUUUUUUUGCAUUAGUAUGGAGAUGAAUUGUGCGUCUAUUAAUCAAUUAAAUGAUAAUAUGUAUGCCUGGGUUAUUCGGAUUGUGGUGGUAGAAAAAAGCCUUAUUCGACAUGCUCAUUAUAUGCGACGUAGAUAUCAGCAUUAUGUUUUUGCUGAUAAUUUGGUAAGCAAGAAUUGUUUUUUUUUUUACUUUAUUUUAUUUGUGUUUAUGUUUAAGACUUACGAAAUUUUUGUUUGUAGGGUGAUCGGAUUCAAGCGAUUGUCUAUUUAAAUGAUGUCUAUGUCUUAGACGAGUCUAGAAAGGCGGCGAGCCAGGGAAUGAACCUUGCUAAUAAAACUUCCAUACUCUGCAACCAUGGAGUAAAGGCCAAUCUCGACUGUUGCAACUUUCUUUACUUUUUACUCUAGCAUUUGAAUUCUGAAAUAUGACUCAGCUUCAUAAUUACAAGAUUCAUUUCUUAAUGUUUUCAUUUGAUUUUCUGCAACAGUUUGCUUAUGAUAUUUGGAUUGUUUCUUUCAUUCUUUCGUUUUUUGGCGAUACUAUAGGUAACAGUUGUUUGGUCAAGGCAGUCUAUAUACUCGCUACAUACUCCAUACAUAUUGUGAUAGCUAUCAAAUAAGAUAGAAGAUUCAGCUAUGUUUAAACAUUUCCAUGCUAGUUAGCUUCUAGAGGACGAGGUUUCAAUUGCUUACGAUAAGGCACACAGUGAUAAAGUAAUUCUAGUGUUCCAAAAGUAUUUGAUCAACAAAAAAAAGUUCCUAAAAGCAAUUUUUGACAUAGGAUGAAUGUUAAUCAAGAAAAACUUUGUGUUAUACAUUUUCAAUAUUUUUUGUUCUCAAAGCAAUGACCAACGUGUAAUCAUCAAUGUAGGUCAAUCAUAGACAGGAUUUCUUUGUAUACGAUAUUUUUUGUGGAGUUUGUGUGUUUAGAGAAAGAAGUAAGCUGUCUAAUAAGUACUUUCACAUUGUUUUCUAUUUUUUCCCGUGAUAAUGCAACAUAUAAUUGAUCAUGUGAAAAUACAGGUUCUUUUAGAUAUAAGCCAAUGUAAUCUAACGUCUGUCUUUGUGUUUUGUUAAUUGUCAUUGCAAAACAUAAUCUUAAAGGGAAUUGAAUUCUUUUAAAGGGAACGGAGCAAAGUUCAUCAUCUGAACAUUUUAAAGGAAUACGAGGUAUGAAAACUGACUUAUCUGUAAAUGAGCCAAAAGAAAUAUCUGCUUGAAUGACAUUAUUUCCAAACUCUUUGCAUAUAAGUCACGUGCCAUUUGAAAGUCCUUCACUUGGUUUUAUAUUUCGGAUUAACAUAACAGGACAGUUUUCUUUCAGUUUUAAUUCAUGUGGAGGCAAUCCUUUUGGUGUAAGUGUGUUCAGAAAAUCUUGGUUUUCUAGUUGGUGUGAUGCAUCAAGAGUUUCAUCAAAACUUAGAUAUGUUUUCCGAGGACCUGGGAAUUUGUCGAUUAGCAUAUCAUUGAUUUCAUGAACAAAAUCGUUUCGUGUCAUUAAGAUAGCUCUAUUAACAAUGGAGGAUGGAUUAUUGUUGAAUGCCUCCAUAUCUGGGAAUACCAUACUCACUAAAGUCUCUACUGAUGAAGCUUCAUCUAUAAAGGGUACAUUCAUUGGUGUUGGGAUCUUGACUUCAUUCAUAUGAUUUGAUAGCUCUGUCAUUACCAAUUCGAAGCAAAAAAUUGCUGAAAUUUUUAUCGGAACAAGCUCGCAUAUUUCCCGUAGCUUCAGUUUUGUUAAUUGUUGCCAUAUAGGUGACAUGACUAAGCUUGCAUUCAUAAUAUCUUUCUUAUAGCCUUGUGUCACAACUGGUAAUGUUUGCCGAAAAUCUCCUCCGAAAACCACAGUUUUACCACCAAAUAACGCAUCGCAACCAAUGACAUCUUUCAUCAUUUCAUCAAAGCGUUCGAUUGAUUUUUGUUUUGCCAUACUUGCUUCAUUCCAUAUAAUAAGUUGUGCAUCUCUAAUUAACUGUGCAUUGUGCAAUUGUAGUUUGCUUUCCAACGUGACAACUUUGGAAUCAUCAUCAUGUAGAGGUACCUUAAAUCGCGAGUGUGUAGUACGACCUCCAUGUAAAAUUGAAGCUGCAACGCCUGAAGUUGCGGUUGCAAGUGCUAUACCACCUGUUGAUCUUAUUUUAGCAAGAAGAGCUCGAUACAAAAAUGUUUUCCCUGUACCUCCUGGUCCAUCUACAAAAAAUGAUGUUAAGCUACUAUUUAUAAUGGCAUUUAAGAUCUGUUCAUAGGCAUUGCUCUGAUUCUUGUUUAAUUGAUCAAUUGCCGGAAGAUCAUUCUCAUCUACAGGUAUAUUUCUCUCAGUUUCUAUAUCUUUUGCUACUACUUCUUGCUAAGAUUGUUGGAUUUGUGGUGUGUUCAACUGAUAAUCAGCCAAACUUUUUUCCAUUGAUUGUAAGUAGUUGUCAAUGCAUUGUAGCACUUUCACUUCUACAAGAUGAAUUGGGAUUGAAGAAUCUCGCUUUAUAUCUUCAGAUAGAAAGUCUUGAAAUUGUAGCCAUAGUUGAGCAGGGUUCCUUGGACUGCAAUAAACUAAGAUAGCAUCAAAUAAUUGACGCAAUGAAUUUGGCAUUUGAUAUAGAACUGCUUCUGAUAAACAUAGCUCGCUGCAUUAUCUGUUUGUAAUAGUCCCAUCAUAUCCGCAGCUUCACGGAAUGAAGUACAAGCAUGUCCAUUCAUAGUUCUUAAAUCUAGGAAUGAAGUCGGUUUCCUUACAUGCAUCAAUAACAUUCGUAAAUAAUACCUUUCUCCUUCUGAUAGAUGCGCACCUAAAAUGCGGCCAAUCACUUUCCUUUGCUUACGUUCCUUCCAAAUUUUUGAUUGCUGGUUCCAUUUGAAAUAUUCAGGAAAUUCUGCAUAUACACAAUUCAAAUUCUUUGCAUAGUUGUCGUACUUGUUCAUGAGAAAAAACUCUGUUAGCAUGGUUUUUUGUAAAGCUCGAUUUUUUAGAACACUAUGGAGAGAGCUUUUUUUGGAACUGUUACUGGUUGUUUAUUCUCUAAAUGUACUUGUAAAGUCAUGACAGAUAGAUGUAUUUGAUUCAAAUCAAAGCCAAAAAUUCGCCACAUUGCCUCAGGAGGGGAUACCCAUCUUGCGGCAACAUAAUUUUUUUAUUUCAUCUAUAGUGCUACUUGUCUCAAUAUCACUCAACUGAUACAAAACUCUAUCAUACUUCUUGUAUAUAUAUUUAUAUAUAUACUUGACAGCUUGAAUUGUGGAGCAUAUCUCAACAUUAAUAUGGCAAUUAAAUUUUGCUAAGAGGUAAGCAUUAUAACGUACUACCCAACGAUUAUCAAGAUAAUGGCCAUGUAUCUUAACUUUGUUCUUGUCAUUUUGUCGACGAUAUACUGGAUAUGAGUUGGUUGUAUGUAUUGUUGACUCACAGAAUUGCUUGGGAUACUUGUCUUUGCAACCGAUAUGCUUACGCAUACAAGCACAUGUAGAAUUCAUAGCACCACAAGGACCAUGCAUCAUGUGUUUAACAAUGAGACCAUGUAAAAAUUCAUGCUAAUUCAUAUCAGGCAACUCAGCACAAACAAUUCAGUCAUAAGCUUCAGGAGAAUACAUCUUACUUCCUUGUUUUAGAAUAAUCAAGAAGUGAGCAUGUGGCAGACCUCGUUUUUGGAACUCAAUAACAUACGUGUAUGCUGCUACCUUUCCAAAAAUAUUCUUCUUGAAUAGUUCAUUUUUUAAUUGUUCCAAUUUUGCUCUGAAUACACGAGAAAUUAAAUCAGGCCGAUUCUCAACUUUUUCAGUUUGAAGAAGGAAACGUUUAAUUUUAGGCCAGUUUCGAUUACAUGUCAUUGUUAAGAAGAUGUCUGGUUUUCCAUAUUGUUGGACCAAUGACAUUGCAUCCAUGUAACGACGCUUCAUAUCAUGAGAUCCUCCAAUGAAUGAUCCUGGAAGAACUAUUCUUUUUCCAACAUUGGAAGACGAAGAUUCUCCCUGCGAGAGACUAUCAAUAAGGCCUUGAUAUAAUUUUGUUCGAAGCCGCGUUUGAUUAUCAUUCUGUCUAUAGAAAUCCAACCUUGUUGAUUCAAUUUUGACAUACAUAUCUACAACAUAUUGCUGUAGCAAUCUCCCUAUAUGCAAUAGCAUAGAUUGGUCGUUCUCUCUAAUUUGUAGUCUGUAACAAUAGUACUCUCUACAAGAGACCAUAUUGCGCUUUCGCUUGUUCUUUCAAAUUGCUGGCCAAUAGUAGUUAGGCACAAGUAAGGUUUAGUUUUAUAAUACAGUAUCAUUUAAAAGUAAUAAAAAAAUUAGAGUAAGAAAUAAAUGAAGUAAAUAAUUUGCUUAAUUAGUAUAAGAAAAUCCUAUAUAAACUUAUCGAAAAAUAUAGAACAUAGCAUAGAGUUAAUUACCUGAAUUCUCAGCAUUCAUUAAUUGGUUUGGUGUUGUCCCAGCACUUGGAGUUAGCUUUAGUUCUUCCUCGCAAGAAGUUGCUUGGCAUGCAUUUGAAUUUCGUGGAAUACGUUUUAUGCCUUGAUGCCAACCUGGUUCACCACUUGCAAAAACGAGUAGAUAUUGUAAUAGAUCAUAAUAACUAAAGUAAUGUUUGAUAAUUUGAGUUUUUUCAUUUUUUCCAUAAACUUGGAUAUGCUUUGACGUCAUUUGUUCACUAUCACAAUUAUCUGUCCAAACGGCACCAACUUGCGAUAUAGUUGGUUUGUUGAAUACUUUUUGAUCCACUGAAGGGCUAGAUUCUAAUAUUAUUUUAUAAUUUUCUAUGCUUGGUAAAUUUUGAAGGCCUUGAAAAAAUGCAGAAUAAGGAUUAAUCUUCAAGAUUUCCUCAAGUUUGGUAAUUAGGCUCUAUUGAAAUCUAGUAGAGAUGGAUAACCGAUUUACUGUUUCAUGAUCAGUAUAAAAAACAUAUAGUUGCACAUUCCUUGCCUUUUCACCAUCAUUAGGAAUUAAUUGAUUUAUAAAGUGGUACAUUUUGGCCUUGGAUUCUAAAGGUAUAUAUUUCAUUAUAAGACUGAUUCAAUGAUUUGUCACAAUUCACCCCAAUAGAUGUGAAUGCAAACAUAUUAUUGUAACUUCUAACGCAGUUGCGAAAUUCAACAGCCUCUUUAGAAUCCUCAAGGUACAACAUCAUCAGUUCUCUUGGCAUUUCAGUUGGGAGUAACUGGAUCUCACCAGAAGAACAACAAAAUCUAGGUGGUUCUAGAUGAAAUUUCUUUGCUUUACAUGCUGGCAAUCUGGAAUAUCAGGUAAUAUAUCAGGUUCAGUGGCAAUAAUUCUCAAUGGAUCCAUUGCUAAUCUCUUACGUCGCCUCUGUCUUGUAGCAUCCUGUUGAGCUAACUGAUAUGUUUUGUCUGGUGGCAUAGAUAGAACAUUACUAUCAGUAAUGAUAGGUAUCGAGCAUGUAUCUCUUGAAUAAUUAGCAACACUGCUCUUAGAAGUUGAUGCUAAAACUGUUGAUUCUACAUUCAUUCCUUUUACACAUUCAUGCAUUCCUCUGACGGAUGUUUCUGCACAAUCUUCUUUUGUUCUGUAAUCACUUACAUGACUGAUAAAACUACCUUUUGAAUGUGAAUAGGUUGCUAUAACAUACUGCUCGUCUUGAUUGUUUAUUCCUUCAGUGUUCAUGCUAACCUUACCUUUAUAUCUCAAUUCCAUAGUUGAACGGCUAUUGAAAGACUCUUUGAUGGACACACGAAAUUGUGUUGUAGCAGCAGUACCUAUUCAGAGGAAUAAAUAUUUCAUUGAUCUUUGUAUUAGCAUAAUUGAUAUCUUUAAAACUUGGCACUCCUCAUACCAAUCGUAGCCUAACAGAACUUGGACAAAUUAGCUAAAGUAGCAGUAUUAUUAGAAGGGUGUGACAGAGAGUCUUUUUUCUAGUUUAUUUAGUCAUCUUCACCAAAUAGACCAGGAUGACUGAUAUAUAAAUUGAUAUAACAUGGGUGUCCUUACUGUGCACAGCUCACAUAUGGUAAAUGCAUUUAUAGUCAUAGCACACAUGGCUUGAUAUUUACCAGAAUUAUCCAUGGUACUCGCAUUGGCACGUCGUUCCCGUCUUCUUGCAUUCUUCCCUCUAUAGGCUUCUUCUAAGUUUGCAUAUUUCGGUCGGCGACCCAUUAAAAAAGCUUAGCUAUACAUAAGUAAGAAGAUUUCAAUAAAAAUGCAUGCCCAAUGAAAUUAGUAGUAGAAAGGCAAUUAAUAAACAAAUGAAAGGUACUUGUACGUCUAAUAUGCCAGUAAGAAUCAUCACAUAUUCAUUAACAUGGUUCACUGAAGUAUUAUAAUCGUGUAAACAUUUCGACUCAUUAAGCCUUUCAGUAUAAAGACAAAACUACGAAAACGUAAAAAUAAACCACAGACCUCACCUUGCAAAAUCAGACAAUGAAAGUUUUCAAUUGGGAAAAAAGGUUGCCUAUGAGGGAAAAAAAAUACGACAAAGUGGCAAAGGUUUAAGCAAAGAAUGGUGCGUAAAAAAUCAAGAAAAUCGAAUACAUGCAUGGCAUAGUAACUGAAAUAUAAGUGCUAUGUAGAGGCAGUUAGCGUAAAAGAAGCACUAUGUUCUUAUAUACAACACGACGGCAUCACUGAAUUAUGAGUAAAGUCAGAGCAAGAAGUAGAAAGUAGGAGUACAAAGGAACAAUAAUAAAAGACUCACUCUUGCAGCUAACAGAAAAACACUGGCAUGACCUAAAGAAUCCAGAGAAGGCUUUGUAUAGAAUGAUAGUCUUCUAGUAUGCUGCUAAAUAUAUAUCUUUCGAGUUGGGAUUUCUACAGGAAUGAUAGUCUUCUAGUAUACUGCUAAAUAUAUAUCUUUCGAGUUGGGAUUUCUACAGGUUAGUGAGUACACAAAUGCACCGCACGAAAAAGCAAGAGAAGAUUACACGUAGCUUAUAAACUUAGUGAGUACACAAAUGCACCGCAAAAAAAAACAAGAGAUGAGUACACAAAUGCACCGCAAGAAAAAGCAAGAGAAGAUUACACGUAGCUUAUAAACUUAGUGAGUACACAAAUGCACCGCAAGAAAAAACAAGAGAAGAUUACACGUAGCUUAUAAACUAUGCAUGAUGCAGUAUAGGUGUCCGUGAUAUGAGCAGUUUACAACUGAGUGCAAAGUUCCCUCAUGGCACCGCAGACAAACAGCAAAUUGGUAGGAAUAAGAGGAAACACGCCAGCGAAGAAACACGCGGACAGAAGCAAAUUCCCAGCAAAGCCACUACCACUGAAUGACAAACGACCAAAAUGCCCCUCAAGCUCACACAAAUAACAGUAUAACCGGACCAUAAGGCACUGUUCACAAUCCCAACUCUCACUUUUAAUAUAGUAAGGAUAUAAGUCCAACAAUUUAGAUUUUUUCACAAAAUUUCUAAAUUACCCUUUAGACUAACAAAAAUAUAGUAUACUCAAUUAUUUUUUUUCACACUUUGCACAAAUCAACAAACCUAAUUCCUAACAAUCAUCCAAGCAUAAGUUUUAAAACCAAAAUAGUCAUCUAAAGGAUCCCAAAUUACAUAUACAGUAUCAAUACUUGCUACGUAAAACACACACACACACACACACACACAAACCCUAUUGACAAUCAAUUUUAUACUCCAAAAUCAAAUAUCAAUGCUCAAAUAUCUUUUCAAUACAAAUUAAUCUGACUUAGAACCGCUAUUACAACCCUUCUAUGGUUUUGAAAAUAUUAAUAUCUCAAAAAUAGAGAAUAAAUCCUUCCUCCACAAUAAAAUCAUAAUAAAAAUUUCUAAUCCAAUGAAGGAAAUCCUUAUGUAAUUAUUGACAGUUUAUAAAAUUUUUUCUUGACAACGAACAAAAUAUGAUAAAUUCAACAUCUUUAGUUCUUCUUCCCAUUUCAAUCAUCAAUUUCAUUAUUUAUUUCUCUAUCAUUGCGAGUCUCUUUAUUCCCUUCUAACUUAACACAUAAUCUGAUUCCUCUGUUGAUUUUAUAAUUUCAAUUUGCUAAUAUCUACAAAAUUGAAGAUAAUAAAAAGAGGUUAUAUUAACUAAAAAAGAAAGGAGUGAAAAUAGACAAGAAACAGAAAAAUAGAUUUUUUUUGGGGUUUGUAAAUUUAUUGCCUUAAAUUUAAAAUUUUCUACCAAGUAGAGGGCAUUAUAGGUAUUUUACUAUCUCAAGAGAGGUAAGUGUAAUUUUUUAAACCUGAGGGGAGCCGAGUGAAAUUGUCAAAAACAUCAAGGGAGGUUUCUGAAAUUAUCCCUAAAAAUAAUUAAUUCGUUAAAAAAUUGAGGGAGUAUCAAUACUGAUACAGUUGUACAACCGCUACUUGUAUUAUAGAGCACACCAAUAGCGAUAAGGAUCAUAGGCUUGCGAUUCUUGAAGGAAGGGAAAGAACCUUCAUGGAUUCAACUGCUAAUUCCUUCAUAUUCCUUCCUCUUUUCCUUCUACCGCCUCUCUUCUGGCUCAUCCUAAAUUACAUCAAAAGUAGAAACCAAUCUCUUCCUCCCGGCCCAAAGCCAUGGCCGAUUGUUGGAAAUCUCCCACAAAUAGGAAGCAAGCCUCACGUUGCAUUAGCCCAACUAGCCCAAGAUUACGGCCCAUUGAUCUCCCUCCGGCUAGGGAGUCAACUUGUGGUUGUUGGGUCAACCCCGGCAGCGGCCACCGAAAUCCUCAAGACCCAUGAUCGGAUACUCUCCGGCCGGCACGUCCCACAUGUUUCAUACGCCAAGAGUCCCCUCAUGAACUAUGUUUCAGUCGGCUGGACUUAUGAGUGCACAGACCAAUGGAAGUUUUUACGUACACUUUGUAAAAGUGAAAUUCUGGGUGCAAAAGUGAUCGAAAACCAGUCCCAUUUGAGAGAGCAAAAGGCGAAUGAGUUGGUCCAGUUUUUGGUUUCAAAGGAAGGCCAGAGGAUCACGAUUGCAGAAGUUGUAUUUGUUUCUGUAUUCAAUUUCUUGGGACAAAUUUUUUUCUCCAAGGACUUCUUAAGUUAUGAUGAGGUAGAAAAUGGUGGUGGAAUGAGUGAGCUUAUAAGGGAAGUCAUGGAGCUGUGGACUGCCCCAAAUAUAUCAGACCUGUAUCCAGUUUUAGGUGGACUGGACCUCCAGAGAUUGAGCAAGAAGGCUAGUGUAUGUCACAACAAAAUCUGCAGUGCAUGGCAAGAGAUCAUUAGAGAGAGAAGAGGGAAGAAAUACCAAGAUUCAACGAGGCAGAAAGAUUUCUUGGAUGUGUUGCUUCAGAAUGAUUUCUCAGACGAUCAGAUUAAUUACUUGCACCUGGUAAGAACUCUCUUUCCUUCCUCUCUUUCUCUUUAUCUGGUCAACAACAUUAAAAAAUAGGGAUAAUUUCAGAGACCCCCCCUGAGGUUUACAAUAAUUGCAGUCACCUCCCCUUAAUUUUUAAAAUUACAUCUACCUCCCCUACUUGUACUAUUUAGGUAACUACGUAGACACGAUAUACUACAUUUCUCUUCAAAAAUCCUAAUAUACCCUUAUUGACAUAACAACAAAGAGAAAAGGUUAGUUUAAUCAUGUACAAUUUCUUUUUCUAAAACCACCGCAAAUUUGCCACCAUACCAAGCCAAUCGAGCAAACUAUUAUUUAUAACUCAGUCUUCAUUUCAAGUGAUUUUAACAAUAUUUGCAGCCUUUGAAUCAUUUUGCAUCCCAAAGGCUUUCACUAAAACCUACGAGAUCAAAUAUAACCCCACUUAAAAAAAUCUAAAAGCUUGCUUAUAAAUUUUUCAACCUCCUAGCAAUAGCUAAUCUAGAAAAUUUGCACAUGCUGCGUAUAUCUAGUUUCACUAGCAUAUAUAUUGCCAAUAUAUCAAAGAUUAAUUCAUCUUGUAGAUCAAGACAUCAAUCUAAACUCUGGAGUCAAAAAGUAUAUAACUAGCGUUCACUCACGAAAGUAUUAAUAUUAAUGGUUUUGUUUGGAUAGAGACUUAUUUGCCAAAAUUUAUUUGCUUACAUCAUCAUUACAAUUUUCAAUACACUUUUUUAUCUUCCCAAUUACCUUUUUAUCUCACAUACAUCACAUCACAAAAAGUGCUACAGUAAAAAUAUCUCAAAUAAUUUACAAUCCAAACAGAAUUAACAUUUCAUCACAUGUUCCACUAAGGUUUAACAUUCCGCCUUGUAUGCAUUAUCAAUUUGCACGGAUAUGUCCCAAUUGAUGUAAUGAAAUGCAGUUUCCUAUGCACCCCCCCCCCCCCCCCCCCCAAAAAAAACCAAAAAAAAAAAAAUGGAAACCUAUUACAACUCUUCAGGUUUAAUUUUUCGCACAUGCCAUUCUAUUCAAAGUUCAGUGGAUAGUUAUUACUCCAACAUAAGUGAAUUUGUCUUAUAAGAUGGAUGGAAAAGAAAUUAUUUGAUUUUUUUUCUUUUUAAGUCAUGACAUACAUUAUUGAGAGAAACGAAUAAUAUGUCAAUAAGAAUGGCAUAUGAAUGGGACAGAAGACUACUGCUUUUCAAAUCAGCCUUGGAGGAUUUAAUUUUAUAUCUGGUGGGACAGGAACUGUUUGCUGCAGGGUCAGAUACUAGCACCUCCACGGUUGAAUGGGCGAUGGCCGAAUUAUUAAGGAAUCCCAAGUUCUUAGACAUGAUUCGGCAAGAACUUGAUCAGAUAGAAUUCUCAGGGGAAAAUUUGAUAAAGGAAUCAGGCUUAACCAGGCUUCCUUACCUACAAGCAUGUGUUAAAGAAAUCUUGAGAUUACACCCUCCCGCCCCAUUGCUUCUCCCCCGUCGUGCCACGGAAACAUGUCAAGUUAUGAACUACACUAUCCCAAUGGGGACUGAAGUUUUGGUGAACGUAUGGGCCAUUGGAAGAGAUCCCAACAUCUGGGAAGAUCCAUCAAGCUUCAAUCCAGAGAGGUUUCUCAGUUGUGACUUGGAUUUCAAAGGGAAUGACUUUGAAUUCUUGCCUUUUGGUGCUGGAAGGAGGAUGUGUCCUGGAUUGCCUAUGGCAGCUAGGCAAGUAUGCUUGACCUUGGCUUCUUUGAUUUAUCAUUUUGAGUGGUCUCUCCCAGACAACAUGCUACCUCAACACAUGGACAUGAGUGAAAAAUUUGGAAUAACACUGCAAAAGGAGCAGCCUUUGGUCAUUAUGCUGAGCAGCAGAAAAUGAAAAUCAGUGAACAGAAUAAUUUACAGUAGCAUUUUCAUCAUUAUAUGCAAGAAAAUGGACUGUAAUUUGUGUACACAGUUUGGAGGUUGUCGGAGUUUCAGUAAGUUCACUGUCCAUUGCAGAAUUACUAUCUCUAUGAUGUAAAAUUAAGUGUCACGUUAUUGCUGUGCCAGCCAGGAACAACAAUUUUAUGUACCAAAGUAACAAGAAGAAUAACAACAAAGAAAAUUGACUGAUUCAGAAAUUUCUUCACAAAACCAAAUACUAUCAUUAAGCACCGAGUGAAAUAUAUAUAGGCACGUAGAUGAACAAAGAUGGGAAACGAACCAUCAAGAACAAACGUGGCUUCGUAAUUGCCAUCAUUCAAUGCACAUGACACACCAUUGUCAUCUUACUGCAUCAUUCUCAAUCCCAUAACCCGUGAAAAGAUUUGGUAUUCAACCUUUUUUUAUAUGCAAGCAGAUAUAAAGAACGUAAGAGUAAUUCUAACAUUUGAAUCAACCACGUUUGUAAUUCUAUUUUUUUUCCAUUUUGACAUUCGCCUGAGCUCCUAGAAUUUAGAUUUCUCCCAAUCAAAAAAGUCAUGGCAUGGAUCAUCUAUCUAUUAGUCUCCGUAGGGUCCAAAUUCUGAAUUUUGAAGCACAAGACAUGUAUCAACACCCACUGGCAACAUUUGUAUAUUUUUGAGACAUUUGAAUGAACAGAAUUGUUUUCAUCAUCCAAGCCAAGUAUAUACAGAAAAUUUCACACAAUGUUAUUAAUGAUAAAACCCAAAAAAAACCUGGACAGAUUAGUAUAAAUGUGAACCGACCCCAAUAAAAUACAGUAGGAUGUGAAGGCUCACGUUUCUAUCCAAGUACAAGCAGAAUGGAACUGGUCAAUAUAAUAUCUACCGGAAAACAUCAAGGCAGGCAAACAGCAUUGUCUAAUCAGCUUCAGACGCCAAAAAGCCUCAACUGUAAAGACAUCUCGUACAAGGUAGUUAUCAUCUGCUAUAACACUAGGAAGAGUUUGUUCGCCUUCAUGAUGAAUAGAUCAGGGAAUGUUCUUUCACAGUGCUAGGUUACUGACUUCUCACAAUGAUGGCCCAACAGCCCUUCCCAGCUUCUCUCUACCUAAAACUCCCCUUCCCAGAGAAACCAAACUUUGAUACCAACAUUAGGCAGUAGAACAUCAGAAAUUUUAUGAUGGGCAAGAAUUUAACCUUUACAUCGUUGACUUUUUAAGCCGCUUUUGCUGAGAAUCAGAUAUGUGGAACAUAAGCUGCAAUUACCAGUUGACAGGUUAGUUAUACUCUUUGUAUGAAGGAUUUAAGUCAAGCUUAAUAACCAAAUAUUCAUAAGUUUCUUUACCUUAGUCCCAAUAUAGAAGCUAAUGAACAUGCCACCAAAUGUAGGUAAUCCUGCAUUAUCAGAACAUACCAAUUAAAGUUGGCACUGUGAUGUCUCAAACAAGAUUAGACAGAAAAGCAUUAACCUUCUUUAUGGAGAAACCCAGAAAUCAACCAAUUAAUGCCUGAUGGCCCAAUGACAAAUCCAACAAGAUUCGCCACCUGCAGAACACAAUUUAAAACUUCUGUUGCAGGCUUUUCACGUAGCAAAAGCUUAUAAUUCCAAAGGCAAAAUAUUAGAAGACAAUAGUACACAGCUAGGAGAGUAAAUCAAAGUCAUUUGACAUAAGGUGCUGGAUGAACCAAUCAUACAACAGUCUAACAGUAUUCAUCGUAACUCUCAUGAUGAAUAUUCAUUGGGAUUAGUCACAGAAGACUUGAUCUAAUCAGACCGGUAACUUGUAUUACAAACCUAAUGAAAGUCAAAUGUCUUAAUAUUUGGAAGUGAAGCAAGUAGUUUAGCAUGUGUUACAAAUCUAUUGUUGAGACAAAUGAGGUAAACGUCAUACAUACAUUACCAGGAAAAAAGAAAGAAGCCCAAAAGAGACGGAAACCAUGCACAGGAGCAGAGGUUAGAGUAAGCAAUUGUACCAUUUCAGAGAUUUUGAGGGAAAAAUACUGCCCUACAAUAACAGUGUAAGAUAGUUUCAUCUACCAUCCUUCUCUCUCAUCUACCAUCCUUCUCUCUCUUCUCACAGUAAUCCAAGUUUGAUAGCUAAAUAAUCAACAAUUUCAACACAAUUCACAUAAUGUAAAGCACCAUCAGCAUAAAUUUUGUGUAAUAACAUACUACUUUAGCUCAAGCACGAACGAGGAGAAAACAGACCAUGAGACAAGUGAUGGUAACAGCACCAGCAACUGCAUUAAGUUCGCGUAACAAGAAUUCCCCAAAAACACUCUGCACCUGGUGACAGAGAAUAUGAAGCUUGAGACGACAAAUCACGAAAAAAAGUUGCUUCCUAAUUCCAUCACAGUCCUUUUUCUUAGUCUCAUAAUGCUUCCAGAAUGGAAAAGUAAAUGUGAUCUGACAUGAUAUCAUUUCUUGUGAAUGAGAUAAAGUAUUUAAUUACUCUAGAGGCUACUUUUUAGUUUGUUUAAUAUAACAUCUCCCUUUGCUGAAUAGUAUGUCUUACGGUAAUUAUGCUGAUACUUUCAAAUACUCUUGAUUUGCAAGGCUGGAAGCUAGUCCAGUCUUGUGUCACAAAGAUAAUAAGGAAGUUUAGAAUCAAAGACGGUAAUACUGUUCUCCUCAAUUCAAAUGGUUAUUGCACAAUUGAGUUUUGCAGAAAAUUCUCACACCUUAAAAGUGUUAGCUGCUGACUUAACAAGAAUCUCUGGUAUGAAGAAUAGACAAGUCAACCAUGCCCAGGAAAGAAGUUUCCUGGAUCCAAAGAUGAUUAUCAGUCACAGGGGAAAGGUCAAAAGACACAAAUGAUAACUUGCAAAACAUUAAAGAAGUAAUACCACUCUAAAUCAUGCCAUAUGGCUACAAAUGUGAAGACAACCCAAACAUUUAGCAGCUUUCUUUGAGCACCUCCAAGGGGAAUAUACAUGUACCUUUAAGCAUAAGCCAAGUACUAUAUCAGCCCAGAGAGAGAGAGAGAGAGAGAGAGAGAGAGAGAGAGAGAGAGAGAGAGAGUACAAUAAAAAAAUAAACAGCAAAGCCAUCUACCUCACAAGCCACUUGUUGUAGGAAGCAUGCCAAUUUUUCCAAAAAGUCUCAAGAUUGUAACAAUUAUUUAAGCACCUUGGCAUAUUCUCAGGGGCCUCAAUGCCACUGAUCUACAUGGAUAUCAUAGCAAAGUAGAAAACCAUGAGGCCAAGAAUAUAUCAUAAUUGAAAAUGCUAAAAGGUCUAGAUCUAUGUUCUUUAAAUAUCCCCAUACAAGAACAACAUGAGGCAUCAGCUAUGAAGAAACAUAUAUGCAGGCAUAUACGUAUUAGCUUCACAAACGUACCAGUGACCAGAAUCGAAAAUAUCGCCACAGGAGAAAGAAUUUCAGCCACAUGAAGUUAAGGACCUGCUAGUAGAAGUGCAGAUUGUCAGACAUGUUGCAGUUAGAAGAUAAAAGAUCUAAGCUUCUGAAAUAUCACUCAGCAGGAGGAUUAGACAAAUUUUGCAAAGAGGAAAUAUGAAAAACUUUCAGGAAGCAGCACUCUGUUUGGCUUCAAAGUAACAAAUCAAAGACUAAAGCACUCUCUAUAAGUCAUCCAUGAAUGUUAUAAUGGCUAUGCUAACCGUUGACUCUGAUUAGUUUCAGCAUUGUCACAUUGUAACCUAGAAAUCAAAAUCAUAUUGAGGCUUCCACCACUAGGUGAGUAAAGCAACCCACCGAGGGAAUAAUUAAAAAGUACAUAAACCGGACCAUGGAUUCAUUUCCUUCACCAUAUUGUAUAAAUUUAGCUAUCACAAAAAGCAACCAGAAACAACAUAAUUACUGAACCUUCUUUUAUCUCUUGCAUAACACAAUUACAGGAUGACUUAUUUGCCACAUUGCUAUUCCAGCUAAGGAGUAACAUUUGCGAUUCUUGCACUACUUAAAGAACCUUGGCCCUUUGAAGGAUGACGCCAUAUCUGAGCUGGGCAUGUUAUGGGAAUUGGUAAUUGAAAUGACCGAAAUGUUGAACAAUAAUGCUCUGAUAUUACAAUAGCUCUUAAAGUAUCACCAAUUGUGAUCUUUUAAAACUUGCAUCCACUUAUUGAUGUAAUGGACAAUAUCCUGAUAUGUCAAACAUGUGGUUGAUAAACUUUGAAGAUAAGUUUGAUGUAUGUUUUUUAGGAGUUUACAUUAUAUUUGGAAGCAAAAGUACAGGUUGAUAAUACAAAUUGAUAUUGGUCUUUAUAGACCUUGCUUGGAAAUGAAUAAUAUAAUUAGGUCUGGUUCAAAUCCAAAAAAGCAUAAAAUCAUUCAUCACAGUUACCAUUUAAACAUUUGAAAACUUUGUUACUGAUUUUUUGUUGGCAUCCUUAGCAUUUCAUGUCCAUAGUUUCAAAAACCCCUUAAGCUUGUAUAUGAUUUCCAAUUUAUAUCCAGCAUGCACCCGAAAUACCCAUCAAACUUACUAACCUUUUGUCUUACAAUGAGGUCACUGUUUCUAGGAAAAGAAGUCCACAUAUUCUUUUGUAGUAUGAUAAUAGAACAACAUGGUAUCAGAUAACAAGUAGACAAUUCAUUAAUUCUCACAUCAUCAGAACCAUAAUUACAAUAGAUAUCAGCACUUACCCCGUAACCAAUGAUAAAGUUGUCCAUAGGAGUUAACUGUUUCCACAUACCACUAAGAAGCGAAAUCAAAAAAUACAAUCAGACAUAUACCAUUGAAUAAAAUUGAAUAACAGAAGUAUCGCCAUCCUUAAUCGUGCAAACCACUAACCUGAUGGCAAAAGCAUUGUAGUAAAAGAAAUGUGUCAUUAGUUCCAUCAGGAAAAGGCUUAGAAUCCACCGGAAUCCAUACCAUACCACUUGUUUAGAUGAGUAAUUCUUUUGAGGAGUAUCCAACUGAAAUAACAAUAUAUCAUGUUAGGAUCCUGCAAAUCAUAAACUUCAUGUUGAUUUAUGAAUCCUCCAAAAGACAUAUUUCAUAUGAUUCGCAAGUUGAGGUACAUUCCAAUUACAAGUAGGGAAUGCCAAUAAAAAUCUGUGAAUGUCAGAUAAGAGUUAAAAAUGGAAUGUGGGCUUUUUUUACUUUCAAAUUAAUUUCUAGGAGUCUAGCCAUUACAGACUACUCAUUUCGCAAUCUGCACUCGAAUGAUAUAUUGCCAUGACAGCAAAAGACAAUAACUAAUUAAGUUAGAAUGAGAUAAUGCAAUAUAUAGCAUGUUAAGGAGGAAUAGUAAUUAUAAUCCACCAAAAAUAAAUGCUUGCAACAAGCUAAGAGAAAAAGACAAUUUAAAUGAAAACCACAUUAAAAUCACCAACCUGUGAAGCAAAUGCAUUAAAGCUAAUAAUUGGUCCAGCAAUAUAAAGAGGUGCAUACACCAGAUAACACAAGUACACAGCAAAAGAGAAUUUGUCAUUCUGUACACUUCUCUCCUGACAAAGAUGGAAAGAAAUUCAAAACAAUAUUCAUUUUUAAAAAAAAUCUUGACCACAGCUGUACCACAGAUGAGUGUAUAACAACUCAAGCAAAACAGUAGAAGACCUGUAAUGACAUAUAGCAUAUCUUUCCGGAUGUACAAGUACUGCAACGUUGGAUGUGCUUCUGUCAUGACCAGCAAAUCAAAAAUUAAAAAGGAACUCUUUUGAACCUUGACAACAUAUCUAACUAAAUGAGAACCUAAUACAAGAGGCAUUAUCACUUCAAUAUAGGUGAAAGACUUGACAAACUUUACUCGACUUUAGAUGUAAAGUUACAUAAAUGUUACCCCCACCCACUGCAUUGGAGAGGCGCCUGGGUAGUGGGCCACCUAAAAACUACAAAAUGCCAAUCGCUACAUAGACAAUCUAGGCAAUGAAAUAGAGAAACAUCAUAUAUCCGUGACUCCAAAACAUGCACCUCUUGAUCAAAUCGAUUAUUUUGGUCCAUCCAGUGGUAGUCAUAACCAUAGCUUAUCAUGCGCAAUACAACUGGCAAGAGAAUGAACAAAGAAACGUUAAAAAUUAAACUAAAGAAAGGAAUCAAUUUUCCAUUUACAAAUUUGUGGAAGCCAUAACUUGAAAGAAUUAAAAAUGUAAAAUUAACAGCAAUCAUGAAAUAAACAUUUUCCUCUCUAGAAUCUGUCUCAAACUAAAAACUCUAUCAUUGAAAAAAAAAAAAAAAAAACUCUUAGGCCCUUCAAAAUUUCAGAUAGCAGCUUGAAUAAAAGAAUGUAUUUGCAUGCAGACCCCCUCCCUCAAAAAAUCACUCUUCAGUCUUCAUAAAACACAUAAUUAGUUGUGUGCUUCUAUGAGAUUAAUGCAUCACCUAGAAGACAGUGCUUAAACUGUGAUAGCAUUCUUAUCUUUACUAAAUGUUAUAAUAAGGACAAGAAGAUAAUCGAGUAGUCAAUAGAGCAGCCAAAAAACUAGAGUAUGGCUAUUUACGAAUUCAAUUGCUCAAUCUGUUGUCUACCUUUGAGGUUCAAUUUCAAAAUUAUUGACCUUAAAGAAGCAUCACAAACCUACUUUUUGAAGCUAAGAUAAUUGAGUUCUACCUCCAAUGAUAGGUCAGUAAAACAUGUUAAAAGAGUGUGCCCAAAUUGAGCAUUGAUACCAACCAAUCCAGUCUGGUUUCAAUACAUUAAACUGAUAUAUGCAGGAUCAUGUUUCCUUGACACAUUAAUCAUCACUUGAUUUUGUUAACAAGGUAGAAAAAAAAAAGAAGAAAAUACUAGUAAUUGGUUUCAGUUUCAAAUAGAAAAGGGAAAGCACAUACCAAAGUUAAAGCAGAUAUGCCAUCUAAAGGUACCACGAAAGUUGUCCAGGAAAGCCCAAUGUUGCCUGUUCAUGAGAACCACCGCCAUAAGACAGUUCAGUAGCUAAAUAUACCUUCACUGGAUUAAAGUGACUAUUUUAAAUCCUAUGGAACUUGAAAGUGAACAAUGCUACUCACCCAAAACUGGAGAAUUGAUAUCCUCCAUAUACACGAUUACAGACCAGAAAUGAUAAAUUGAAAGUCCAAAGCAAGUACGAGAAGUAUUUUGUCCUGCCAAAUAUCUGCAAAAGUGAAUAUCUGGUAAACAAGAACUGUAUCAGAAGACUCAUGUUAAGCUCAAUGCCUUUUUGAAGAGUGCACCAUCAAAGCAUGAAUACCAAUUCUGAAAAACUCUGUAUGUUAUAUCAUAAUAUGAAUAGUAAACAACAUCAACUAAAAUGAAAAUACUCUUUCAAAAGAAAGUAAGACAUUUUCGUGUGUUCCUUCAUAAAAGAAUUAUUGACAUAGAGAGCUAAAGUGAAGAAGUAAACAUCAUUUAUGCAAAAGUGACUUCCUACGUUCCUAAGAAAGAGAAUUAAAAGUGCAAACAUUUGAGUUACUUUAACUAGCAGAAAAUUCAAAAUUUCUACAGAAAAUAAAAUCCAUAAUGCAAUGUUUUAAAUCCCAGCAAAAUAAAGCACUGGUUCAAACAUAAAUAUUUGAAAUGGCAUAGCUCCAGCAGUACAUAAUUAUCAUUAAAACUAAAAAUUAUGAGGAUGCACUAUCUUGGGAACCGUAAUUGCUGAAUAACGGAAACACAAAAACUGUAUACACCUUCAUAUGAAGAAGUUCAAUGGAAUACAACAUUUGACGACAUACCUUGACAAGCAAAAAAUUGGCUGAAGCAAUGGUGAGAAUAAAUAUGAUGCUACAUGGCAAAAGAAAUUCAAAAUGUCAGAAAGGAGAACCAAUAUUUCCACAGCAUGUAGCAUAGGUAUCAAUAUUGCCAUAAAUAAGGAACAUACCAAGCUCCGUGUAGAUAUGAUAAGUAUGCCAAAGAAAUUAGGAGCCAAACAUAUGCCAUGCCUUUCGCCCUUAAACAACGGUAGGUUCUCAAUACAUUAGCUACAAGUGUAAAAAUUCCAAAAACUACAGUAAGAAUUUGUAGAUUCCCUCGAAAGUUCCUCCACUGGGCAUCAGAGGCAUCCUGAAGAGGAAAAAGAGCAAAGGUGAAGCCUACAUUAGGCAAAGAAACUUUUAAUUUAACUGUUGAAGUGUAUUAACAGGGAGGCAAUGGAAUAAGCACAGAAAUAAAACAUAUGAAAUAGAUUUCUAGAAAAUUUUCCUACCUGCAGAAGAAUAAUGAUUUACUGACAACAACUUCAAAAGUCAAAUUAUGAUAACUUGAACUCUACAUUGCAACCUUACAACUCCUCAUUCACCAAACUUGAAUCAUCUAGGUAAUCAUCCAAGUCCAUUUCACUUUCAAGCUCUAAUUUAAGCCAACAGGGGAAAAAAAGUGAGAUUGAUAUUUUGUCACAACUCAACACCAAAACCUCAGGACUCGAGCAUGACUUAGAUAAUUUAAAUAUAAGUCCUUGAGAACAACAUUUGUUUACACAAUUAAUUCAAUUACUCAACGCUCAAUACUAAAAUUUGAGUUCAAGCUUUGCUUAGGGCCCCAACAAAACAUUCAAAGAGAUCGUUUUCAUGCUGCAGCACAAACAGACGCACAUAAUAAUCAGCCAGAGCUAGAAACCAAACUUAAUGAGAUCAAAAUAGUCAAGAUAAGCUCAAUGCUUGGAUCAGCUCAGUACUAAGCCAACAACACAGAUAUUUAAACAAAAAAAAAAAAAAGAAAACUUAGCUGAUCAUAGUUCAUGCAAAAUGCUUUUGAAUGCCACGAUAGAAAACUCAAAAAACACAAAAAUAGUAAGCUGUUGCACUAAAAAAGGAUUACUCUAACCCAAAAAAAAUAAAAAACUAAAAUUUGCAUACAUUUAGGCGAUUAGCGAUCCAGCCAGGACGUAAACCAUAAAGCUUGGUAUAGUAAUCUGCAAUUACAAAUCAACCAUAUCAGUAAAAGAAAAAUGUGUAAAUAGCGCAGGCGAUGAAUUAAAGUAAUUUUGCAAAUAAGCUCGACAUAAAUAGAGAAAUGGGGGAGGGGGGAGAGUAAAGCACCAUGGGAGAGUUGGAGAGAGCGACGGAUGACAAAAGCGUAGAAGGCAACGGCAUAAACAAUCAGAAAUGCAAGCUCUCUUCGCCGCCAAUUGCUCUCCGUCAUCGUAUUUUUAUUGGACCGGAAUUAAUUCCAGCGCCGGAAAAAUUCUAAGAUCGCUCGGAAGAAUCUCAAACGCCGGAGAUUGUUUUUUGUUCAAGUUGUUUUCAAACGUCAAAACUUUGCAAAUUGCUGCAACGACGACGUUCUUAUGACUCAGAGUUCAGGUGAUGGAAUAAGUGUGGGAUAAUUUCAUAAACCUCCCUUGAGGUUUUUCAUAAUAUAACUUGUCUCCACUGAAUUUUUCAAAAUCUCAUUUAAAUCCCUUAAAUUGACAUAUCUCGUAACAUUUUAAGUCAUUUGAAGGAAAUACAAAAAAAUAAAACUUUUGUAUUACCCAUGAUUUUUGUCAUCUCACCACAUCCCGACAUCGGUAAAUAUGAACCAUUGUUAGAUAUUAAUUUAUUUUUUUAAUCUACAUAUUUUAGUUUCAAAUUUUAUUUUAUUUUAUUUUUGGUUAAAUAGUUAUUAACAGCAAGGGUAAUGUUAUUAAUUUGUUAUAUUUGAUAGGAAUAUUUAGUCUGGUCAAGUUGAUAGGAAUGAUAAGUAAAAUUUUAAAAAUUUUAGAAAUGCUGAAUGAUAUUGUAGAAAUCAAAGGGAAGGUUUCUGAAAUUAUCUUAAGAAGUACUUAUUUAAGUGCAAAUAUAUACGAUGUCGUUUUCUCCUUUAAAUAUUAAAUUAAUAUUUAAUAACGAAUUGGGAGAUUUGGCGCGUAGAAGUUGGCUUUCAAAGUAAGCUACUGGGUAGCGUUGUCCAAACCGCUUAGCCUGAAUUUAAAGCUAACCUAUACUGCAGAACUCUUCACCGUCUCUAUAUAUAGGGAAGAGAAGAAGAAUCCGGUGGAAGGGACCCAUUUCAUCACCAGAUUCUUGUCAACGUCUCUACCCUUUUUCCUACAACACAAAAGAAGAAUAUGAAUAUCCCACCAGUUUCUUGAAUCCCUCAAGUAUCUCUCUCUCUCUCUUUUUUAUCACGUUGUUUGAUCAACUUUCUUGUCAAGAGCCUUUUCAUACGAGAAUCAAACAAGAUGUUCAAUUCUUCUCCAACAACAUAUUAUUGUAAGUUCUCUCUCCCUCUUUUUAAAUUCUUGUUGUGUUUCUGCUCUUCUAUCGUGUAAUUGUAAGUUAAAAAGGGAUGUAUAAUUUUUUUUGUACUUUCUUGCAUUCGGCGUUGUUUACCCAAGAAUCUGCCAAGUAUCUUCUUCUUUUUUUACUUGUUCUGAUUCCGUCUUCGUUGUUCUUCAAUGCCUUUACAACAAAGACUAAUUACUUGGUGGUUUUUCGUUUCCUUUUCUUUUCUUUUUUUUUUCUCUUGAAUGAAUUCCGGAGGAUUGAAAAAUCCCUGCUUUACUUACUUCACUCCUAUCUUGACUAAUUACUUGGUUUGUUUUUCUCUAAUCAACAGCAUUCGGAUUCGGCCAAUCGGCAAGUGCUGCCAGCCCUUUUGGGUGUCAAUCAGGUUUUGGGGCAAACACGGACUUAAGCAAUUCGAACCCUUUUGCGCCAAGUGGUGCAACUCCUUUCGCUGCAUCAACAGGGGCAACCAUGUUUGCUGGAAAUUCGACGACAGGGGCAGGUGCAUUCAGCCAGCCUGCUAUUAGCAGCACCCCAUUUGGGUCUGCUUCAGUAUUUGGGCAAACCACAGGAUCAUAUGCUACUGCAACUGCUUGUGUUAGCGCAUCAACAGGGCUAGCUACGCCGUCCGCAAAUUCAGCAGGUAUUUUUAGUUUUAAUUGCAGCAGGAAAGAAAAGAAAAUAAAAAUCUGCUUUGUUUUUACAUCUUAUUAUUCUUGCUAAUGCGAUUUCUGUUCCUUUAGUUUAUCGCUUAAAGAAAGAUUAAUUAUUUGUUUUGUGUGUUUCUGUUCCUCUGAAGAACAGGAUUCGGCCAGUGGACCAACAGCAGCACUUAUGGGUCUCAAUCAGUAUUUAGGCAGGGUAGCAACUCAAGCAACAAUAACUUUUUUGGCACUGCUGCAACCCCUUUUGCUACAUCAACAGGGGGAAGCAUGUUUUCUGGGAAUUCAACCGGUGCAUUUGGAGCAUCAUCCUUUGCUUUUGGAAGUUCAGCAUCAUCCACAACUGCUCCUUUCUCAACCACCUUUGAAACUUCAGCCUUGCCUUCUACAGGUCAGUAUUUUUGUAAGAAUACAUGUUCUAUUACUGAAUUUUCAUUGUUAAUUGAAUAUGAACUAGUGGACUGUUUUAUGUUUGAAUGGUCACUGUUAAUUAUACUACGGACUUACAUGCUCUGGCAAAUAAUCCUUCAAUUCAUAUGCUAUUUUGGUUGAUGGAUUUAGUCUUCCAAUCAUUCCCCCCUUAAAUAUCAAAAUUGCCUCAGCUGUACAAAAAAUUUGCACUUGGAAUUUGUAUUGUUGUAUGCUUUCUUUUCUGUUUUUCAUUGUCUUAAAAAAGUAACUACCCGUUCUUCUAGCUUAAUGCUGCUGAUUAUGACUUUUGCUUUGCAUGUUUACUUAUUCAAUGAAAAAUGAAGUAAAAAUAUCUCUAAUUGGAUUUUGCUAAUGACAGUUUUUAGCCAGGCGCCUAGCAGUGCACCUGUAGUAUCUCAAUCAGCAUUUGGGGAAGUCAACAAGUUUGACGUUAACAAUUCUUUUUCCUCCAAACCAGUCACAGCAACUCCUUUUGGUAGCAUCAGUGGAGGAGCAAUAUUUGGUGGAAAUUCAACAUCCAAAUCACCAUUUGGAGUAACUUCAUCGCCUUCAACAUCCAAAUCACCAUUUGGUGAACCAUUACCAUUUUCUUUUGGAAUCUUGUCAACUACAACACGUACCGUUCCAUCUGAGGCUCUGGAAUAUCUUCCCAGCAUUUGAAAUAUUUUUGUGUUUAUAUCCAAAAAUGAACAUGAAUUCAAAGUUCUGUCAGCCCACAUUGAUUUCUGGUUCAGAGGGUCAUACCUUCUAGAUAGAGUUACAUGAUGUAUUUCAUCCACACUCCAGAGUUAAUAUAAUGUAUUUUAAGAAUUUGUUGAUAGGUCCAGCAAAUGGCAAGAGUCCCUGAACUUUUCAAAAUUCGGUUUUUCACUCUUUAGGUAUUUUGAAACUUUAACUAGAAAAGUUACAAAAGCAAAACUAUUUUAUGAUAUUGUAAGGCACAAGGAUCUCAAUUUGUCAUAUUGAAACUUCAAAACUGUUUUAUUUCUCUCAUCCAUUUUAACUCGAGUGAACUGUUCUCAGGCAGCUGGGAGAGAAAACAAACUACAAUCGACAAAAGAGAGUUACUUUUUUUUUUUGGUCAGCAACGAUACAUUUGUAUAAUCUACUCUAUCCUAAUCUAGGGGGGAGGGGGAACCUAAGGAGGCUGUUGUAGGGGCUAGUGGAUAUACAGAUCCAACUAGACCAAGGGAGUGCUAUGGCACAACCCUUAGAUUUUUUUUGCUGCAGGUGAGAUUCGAACCCUCACCUACAGCCCAAGGAGGGACCAGUGGUACGACAAAAGAAAGUUACUUCCCUAGCAUAAAGCCAAAAGGUAGAAGAAGAACUUUGUCCUGCCAUAGAAAACAAGAUCCACUUGGCAAAAGAAUGUUUCUUCCAUCACGUAAAGCCAAAGAGUGGAAUAAGUGUUCCAAUAUAUACAUUUGUUUGCUGCCAAUUGGCCCAGAUAGCUUUUAAAAUUUCGUUUCGACUCACACAGUUUUCAAAUGAAAUGAUUUUUCCAUGGGGGAAAGUUAGGUUUCUUAUUCAGCUGACCUUGGCAUAAAUGAUGCAAAACUUUAGCUUCAUGUUUAGGAUUAUUUGAUUCUUGUCUUUUUGUUUUUUUAAUUGGAGCUUCUAGCUUAAUGUACUUAAAAUGAAAGUAUGUGUCACACUAAUCAUCAAACUCGUUCUCUUUUCAUUGUUUGUUAACUAUUUGUUGAUUGCUUGCCAUUUUCAGGAGCACCUAUCUUCAACAACACUGGAAGUUUGAUUCAACCUUCUCAAUCUAAAUCAACUAACCAUGCCUUUUAUUCAUCAAGUCAAUCUGUUUUUGGGAGCAGCGGUGUGCUGGCAUCUGGCACAAGUACUUCGGUUUAUUCUGGCUUUCAACAUGGUGGCUCUUGCUCAAGGCCACCAUUUAGCUCUACUGGCCUUGCUUUUAGUUCAAAUGGUGCACCUAACAACUUUAACUCUGUAUCUCGGGGCGCAAUUGGAUCUUCCACCACUCCCAUAACUGGAGCCCCUAGCAACUUUAACACUGUAGCUUCAAACAACCCUGAACUGCAGAAUUCAAGGUUCACAUUUUGCCAGCCAAAUUCGCAAUUUAGUGAGCCAAAUUUACAAUUUGGUAGUAACAAUGGACCUACUGCUUGGGAAACAAAAAAGUUCUAUUCAGGUUAGUUCUAUUUCUGUUUUUCCUAUUAGUUAAAAAUUAAAACAUAAAAUAACAACUUUCAGUAAGAUAUAGCACAGAUACUUCAACACAUUGGAUAUGAUCCAUUCUAGAAUAAAUAAUAAGUUUCAGCUUUAACUUUUUCUACCAUGCAGCAUAUCAACCGGCAAGUACAAGCAUGAAAUCUGGACAAUCAGUUAUGGAUUGCCAACGUUAUGGUAGUAAAAUAGCAUCUUCUGUUGCAACUAAGGAAGUGGAUAUAGGUAGUACUGAACCUGCUGGAAAAUUGUUCUCCAUCUCUGCCAUGCCCUUUUACAAAGACAAGAGCCAUGAAGAGCUGAGGUUCGAGGACUCUAAUCAAUUGUUAAGGAGUAAAGGUAAGUAUAAGGUUAUAUAGUUGUUUUUGUCUGAUGAUCUCUACUUUUGUUCCCGAUAAAGACUUUAUGAACAUUCCUGCAGCUGCAUUUGUUCCACAACAUCUAUUACAACAUGUUUAGCAUCAGCUUUGCCUGCCUCUAAUUCUGUUACAUCUUCAGAUGCAGCUUCUGGAUUCAUCUUUCAGUCUAAUCAACCCUCAGCUGGCAAGACAAACGCUUUUUUAGGGCCUACUGCUGUCACUCCGCAUAGUCAACUAAAAACAUCAAGUGCAAUAUCAAUUGGAUCAGGACCUUGGACAGGCAAUUCAACUGGUUUUUCUUAUAUUGGUGACCAAUGUCGUGGAAGUAAAAUAGCAUCUUAUGUUGCAACUAGGGAAGUGGAUAUAGAUAGUAAAGAACCUCCUGGAAAAUUGUUUUCCAUCUCUGCCAUGCCCAUUUACAAAGUCAAGAGCCAUGAAGAGCUGAGGUUCAAGGACUCUCAUCAAUUCAUAGGGAGUAAAGGUAAGUAUAAGUUCGUACAGUUGUUGCAUUGGUCUGAUGAUCUCUACUUUUGUUCCCAAUAAAGACAUUAUCAUCUGUCCUACAGAUGGACUGCUUUCUCAGCAUCUAUUACAACAUCUUUAGCAUCAGCUUUGCCUGCCGCUAAUUUUUUUUACAUCUUCAGAUGCAGCUUCUGGAUUCAUCUUUCAGUCUAAUCAACCCUCAGCUGGCAAGACAAAUGCUUUUUCUGGACCUACUGUUGUCAGUCUCGAUAGUCAACCAGAAUCAUUAAGUGCAAUAUCAACUGGGACAGGACUUUUGACGAGCAAUUCAAGUGAUUUCAUUUGGCCAAAUGUAAAUUACUAUCAACUGGCUUGAAAAUAUCCCAUGUGUUCCUAUUUUCAUUUUAUUUUCCCAAAAAUCGUACCCAUAGUUUUCUCUUUGUUUAUGGUUGGUGAUUUUGUUCUACUGCUACUCUGUGAGUGGUUAGCACAAGUCUGACUUGAGUUGGUUCUGCUCUUAGGAGUUCAAGAGAUGCCUUGCCCUGAUAUGGAUUUAGAGGUCCAAGAUUUGUCUCAUUUGUCCUUAUUGGAAUAUCUGGAAAGAAAGAAAAGUAAUAGUUUGUUAAGAUGUUGAAUUUUGAGUGAUUAAGUUCAAGAGCUUCGGAUAAGUUACAAAAUGUGAAUAAGAAAAAAUUAACUCGUUUACUUGGUCUUUGGAUACCCAUCAAUUUAUCUUUGUUGCUGUUGCUUUAUAUGUCACUAAAGUUUAGUUUGAAAUGCUAAUUAAGCCUCUUUUUCAUAAUGAUAUACUGAAAGUGGAAAAGAGAUACAAGGGAGAACAGACGUAAACUAUGUAUUUUUCAUCAAGUUUGUGCUCCUAACUAUGUGCUAUGUUUGCAGCAUGAACCAAUUACAACUCCACAGAUAACUCAAAUUGUUGUAGCAACAGAUGGCGCUUCCACUAGCAUCUCACAACAGUCAAUUUCCAGUAAGAGCAAUGUUACAUCUAAAAUAAAUUGUUCUCUGUCAUCAGAGACAAAUUUUCCUUUGUUCCAUGUGACUGAUAAUUACUCUUUUCUGUGCUACUCAAUAAGCUAUGGAUGCAGGAACUUGUCGUCAGAGUGGUGGCAUGCAGCAGUACGUAUUACUGAACUAUUUUCAUGCUUCUAUUAGAUCGUUUUCCACAAUAGUCUGCUAAAACUCCAGCAAGUUCAGUAAGUUGAUCACUUAUUACUUUGCUUGUGAUUUUUCUCGUCAAAACAAGAAAACAGAGAACCAUUUCUUUUGUUCACCAAAGCAUUUUAUGUUAAGAUAAUCAUCACAGGAACCAUUCUGGUUUAAUUUGUUCUAUGUUUUCUUUCAACUGGCACACUGGACUUAAUAAACUGAUAAGCACACUUUGGAGAGCAAUAAAGUAUUUAAUCUCAGUUAGACUUAAUUAUGAACUAAUAAAUUUUUUUUAAAGUCACUUGCAGCCAUUCUUUUAUCCAUUGAUUUCCUAUCCUUUAACUUGUUCUUAGAAAUAGUGAAUGCUGAUAUUAUACUUCCACUCACGUGCAUUAAAUAUUGAUUUUCCACUGUAUAAAUCGGCUGACGUAUACGGUAUGAUUUCAGGUCUGAGUCUCAGAGCACCAUCGCUCUAGACCCAUCUGUUGUUGCAAGUCCUUUUGGAAUGGAGUCUAGAAUACAGAUGUCAAUGGGUGGUAGAGCAGCUACCACAACUGUUCAAUAUGGAAUUUCUUGCAUACCGGUUAGUCUUAUUUCUGACACCAGUAUGUGUACCUAACAGGGAAAAUUAAUCUUCAAAACUGCCCAUGAAUCUAAUUAUUUCACAUAUUUCUUCUCCUACAAGCUUAUAGAAAUAUGAUAAAAAAGAAGUCAAUCUGGAAGGACGUUUAUUUUGCUUCAUGUAACUUCUUUUUCUUUGUGCAAUACAGGUAUCUGACAAACCUGCUCCAGUGAAAAGAAAUUCAUUGUUGACCACUAGAUGUUUGUCUCUAAGCCAAAACUGGCCAUCAGUUGAGAAGUACCGGCCUAAAAAUGACAGCCAGAAGGUGAGAUUCAUGAUACUGGACGAGCGUGUACAAAUCAAUAUGGGCAAGCUAGACAAUUACAUGGUAAAGAUUAGAAUACAUAUUAGAGCUCUUUAAAUUCUAAAUUUUGCUCUAUGCAUCACAGGUUCCAUUUUAUGAAGAAAAAGUACCUGGGAUAUACAAAGUUGGCGCUUCCUUUAUUCCAAGGGAAAAUGCAAGAUCUUGGGUUCUAAACUCCAUGGUGGAGCGGCCUCUAAAAACAAAUUCACGGAAUUCCUCUUUACUGGAGGAGUCCGUAUCUGCAUCUGAGAGUGGUAUGCAUAAAAUUUUCAUUUUGUUCAUUUGAAAUGUGGUACAUCAUACUAAUUUGCAUAUCUGGGCUGGAAAAGAAGCUGUUAAAUUAUGGCCAUCAUGUUUGAUUAAUUAAAAAUUAGUAACUAGUGAUUUCUUCCCUUUGUUCUUUGGUUAGAGGAGAACCGUAUGCCUCUCUUGUUGUUUGGGAAGGAUGAAUAUACCGGUCCUGCAUGCAUCUACUUAGGUUUGAUGUAUAUUCCACUUCUUAACUUCCUACUUUUUGAUUAUGUAGGAAAUUUUGAGGCUGAUGUUGAAGCAAUACUGCCAAAACUCCAAUGCCCAGAUUAUUAUAUAAAGCCUCCGGUCGAGGAGCUAGCUGCAAAAGAAAGGGCUGAACCAGGAUUCUGUCGCCGCGUGAAGGAAUUUGUGGUUGGAAGAGAGGGUUAUGGAAGCAUCAGGUUUUUAGGGGAAACAGAUGUGAGAAAUCUUGACGUUGAAUCUGUUAUCCAGCUUAACCAUCGAGAGGUGAUUGUAUACAGGGACACGACCAAGAAACCUCAAGUUGGACAAGGCCUCAACAAGCCUGCAGAGGUAUCUCUUCUCAAUGUCAAAUGCAUCAACAAACGUACUGGGAAGCAAUACGUGGAAGGAACAAGGGUUGAUAAGUGGACAGAUAUGCUGAAAACGAAGGCAGAAGAGCAAGGUGCUGAGUUUCUAUCUUAUAAUCCAGUAACUGGUGAGUGGAAAUUCAGGGUCCAACACUUCUAAGGUCAAAAGAUGGUGACCAGCAGCUGAUCACAAAACGGGGAGUCAGAGACGAGUCAGAGACGUUUGAGCCCAUAGUAUAGGACGUAAUGCCUUGAAUAGCUUGGCAUUUACCAUUUUCUGUAAAUCCUUUUCUGUUUUUCCCAUCUUUGGUAACAUGAUAUCUGCUGAUAUAUUAUUGCUGGUCUUCAAUUCGUUAUAACUUGACUGAUGAGUUUGUUCUUCGUCGAAGCUUAGCACCAGACUGGUUUGUAGUUUUUAUGGGCUGCGGAUAUUGUAAAAAACAGUUGGGUGCCAAUCAAAAUUUCACUUACAAUUUGUAUAACACCUCAUGAAUGGAGAAGAAAAUAAAUAUCUAAAUGCUCAUUUUAAUCACCUGAUCCCAACAUCUGCUGACUCAUUUAAUCUCACAACUUAAAAUGGGCUAGGAGAUUCUUCUUCCUGAAAAUAUGAAUGUUUUUAUCUUUGAGAGAACACAUUCGUACCUUGCUUUUGAAUAGAGACCAUGUAUUGGGUAGGAAGUCUUUCGUACGAGCUCGCGACUCGGUUCUGCAUAGUGCAGUUCCUGGUUUCCAUCCUACCAAGUGCCACGUUUGAGUAAAAUUGCGGAGAAUUGAAAGUUAGGAUGGGGUGCAGUGAUUCAAAUCGGAAACCUAUGGGGAGCAUAGCCAAUCAAGUAUUAGCGAGUGCCACAGUUCAUGGAGAAAUUUCUCUAUUUUUUCAAGUAAAUUUUAAACUCAGGCAUAGUUUUCAUAGUUUUCAAGGUGAGUGCACACACCGAGUUGAUGAGAGAGAUUUCUCUAUUUAAAUCGCGCCAAUUAUCAAUCUAUUGUGUUGGUUUGGAGGAAGGAUCACAAUCAGAUGUACCAUUUGAACCCUUUAUCGUCAUCAUUUAUUCAAGUUGCACAUUUGGUUUUGACAUAUGAAUUCAUCGUGUAAGUAUAAGUCAAGACCAUACAUUUGUUUUGGGAAAUAAAAGAUUUAUUCUCUUUAUAUUUUAUUAUUAUAUAAUAUUAGGACCUCUAGUUCUUUAGUUUACACCAUUGUAAUCAUCACUAUUUUUGUCUUUGAACAUGCCAAUAAUUUAGCCAACAAAAGAAAAAUUUGUAUUUUCAUCAACUAAAUGAUAUGUGUAGUAUGAAUGGCCUAAAAUGAUAGGGCCAAAAUUCUCCAACGCCAUUCACAGUACAGUGAGUCGUGCCUUCCCCCCCCCCCCUUAAAUCUGACCUUAUUUCUGAUAACGGAAUUCGAAUAAUUUCUUUGGAGACAAUCGUUUCUACUUUCUCUUCUCAAGCGUUUGAAGCUUAAAGGAUGGUAUACUAUUUUUCUUGUGAAUUAGUUACCAGCCAGGCUUCAAAGAAUGAGAUUGUCGUUUUAUGCUUUACAAAUCGGAUGAUAAUGUCGGGGAUAAUGUUGGGGAUUAAGAGAAAUUCGCUACUUGAUUCAGCGGCCUUGAUUCAUUCUACAUCACCAAAAGGGACGCUGCAGGCAUCCGGUUACUUCAUGCCUUUAUGGCCUCAAUAUGCCUGCAUGACUAGUCAUUUUCGAGAAAACACAUCUGGUUGUUCUUUCUUUCCAGACAAAAAUACAUCAAGAAAAUGAAAAGUGCAGCACCGUCGGCAAGAAAAAGUAAGUUGUAGUGGGGCCAAUCUAAGCACCAUCGACAAGCUAAUUCUUAUUCCGGGCUUGCGAAGAAUGGCAGCCGUAGUGGGGUCAAUUCACCGGAACCACAUGUCAGUUCGGAUAUGGUGAUUUGUUAGCUUGGUCAGGUAUGGAGGCCAGUUUGCCCAUGCCCGCCGCCUCCUCACUAGUGGACACAAAACUACUGCUAAGAGUCCUAUAAAUAUAGCACAAUAAGACAAUACAAUGUACACCAUUUAUAGUAGUCAAUACCAUAGUUAUUAAACCCGGCCCUGCUCGACGGUCGAACCGGUCAAACUGGUGGACCAAUCAUUGGACCGGACUGGAUUUGGAAUCAGAUCGUUUGUACAAAGAGACCGUUGAUUUAGUCAAUGACCCGGCGGUCGAACCGGAUUAAAUCGGAAACCCGGCCGGUUUUGGCCGGUUUUGUCACUAACCGGAUUUUGUGGAAAAAUUGUAUUGCUGUUGUUGGAACUCGAAUUUCGGACCUCUGCCCCAACACUGCCGCCUGCUUACCACCAAACUACUUCCAAAUAUGUUGUCAUAGCAGCUUUAUUAUGAUAUAUAAAUGUUUUUUCAAUUCUAUCUUUUUUUCUUUAAAACAAAUUUAUUUGGAAUCUUUUAAUAAAAAUUUAUUACCCUCCAAACUCUAUAAGUUAUAAAAUGGAUUCCAAAAAUAACAUAUUACAUAAUUCAUUUAAAGACAAAUAUUAUUUUAAUAAUUUUUUACACUUAAAAUUCAUAAAUAAGCUAGAUAAUUACACUAAAUAUAGAUAAAAUUUUACAUUUGAAGUUUGGUAUAUUAAUAAAUAACUUUAUAUUUGAUUGAUUCUUAUAUGAAUUAAUUAUUUUAUAACAAAUUAAAUUAAAUGAACUUUUGUUAUGACAUUAUUUAUUACAAUUUAUAUCAUAUAUCUUAUAUAAAUAAUUAUGAAAUAUAAUAUUUAAAUAUAUGUAGUGACCCACCGGUUCAACCACUCACCCACCGGCCCACCUCCUUCGCCGGGUUCCUUCCCGGGUUGGGUUUAAUAACUAUGGUCAAUAUCAUUGCUCUAUUCGUAGCUAUAACUAACUUGAUCGUCGGAAUCACAACGGAAAGCUAGUCCCGCCGCUCAUUCUUUUGCAGGUCAGUUCUGGCUGCCAUUCGCUAACGCCAGUUCGUUCCUCUCAGUUCGCUCAGUUUGCUAGCUCUAUUCAGAUCGCGUUCUCAGCAGUCACAUCAAUUGGCGCUGUCUGUGGGAAUAAAAUCUUUCUCUUGCGAAACAUGUCAAUAACUAGGGGCCUGUUUGGAACCUGAGUUUUUUGGGAGUUUGUCUAAAACUUUACUGUAGAUCAUUGUAGAAGUAGUAGAAAAAACUUUUUACUGUAUAAGUUUUCUAAAAACUUUACUGUAGCAAUUUUUUAAAUUUUUUAACAAAAUUUUUUUUAGGUGUUAAAUAUUAACUUCCCUCCCUAAUUUUUUUUUUCCCUUUAUCCAAAAAUUGUGACCUAUAUUACUGUAUCAAAAUUAGGAUUACAUUUUUGUCAAUCCGGAAGCCAAGUUGCUUUCCACCCAGAAGCCAACUUCACCUUUUUCACUUCAUUUGGUCAUCUUUGCCUCCAUGUCCAAUAGCUACACACAAACAAUUAAAUUCUAUUAUCCAUUGGCAAUCUCAUUAUUCAAGUUCAUUCGUCUAAAAAAUCAUUGUCCAAGGCUUGUCUUUAUCAAAUGGAAGCUUGUCAAACUAAUCUUGAAAAAGAAAAACUAUUUCCAAAAUCUCACAAUUGCCGGGAAAUUCACCAAUCAAGCAAAAGAAACGCUUUCAACAACAUCAAAGACAGCAAGAAUAACAAGAACAAGUAACCCAAGGGACUCCUUAGCUGAACCUCACAUCCCACCAAGACCAAUCAAAGCCUUUAAAACUCCUUCAAAUACUUGCUCAAUCUUGUCCCGGAGCAACAGAGCAACACAGAGCAAUCAAUUAUGUGAAAAACCUUUAAUCAACGCAGCACCCAAAUUAAUUCUCACAGACCAAUGUUAAAGAAUUAAUUAACACAUUACCCAAAUUAAUCAACACAGAGCUUUACCCUCUGUCCGAACUUGAGACCAAGUGUAACAUUCCAAUGGAGGGCAAUUAACUCAGCCUUUCUCCAAAUGUUGGCUUAUUUAAUACCAAAACAAUAAAGAAUCAAUUAGCGCAGUACGCCAUACAAAGUGACUAAUCAACAAAAAAAAAAAUCCCAAAAAUUGCUUCUGGAAUGCCGCGGUUUCAGAGGCAAAAAAUCGAUGCGUGCCUUCCUCAAAUCUAAGUUACUGGCUGAAGAAAACUUACCUAAAUGGAAUGCCGCGGUUUCAAAUCUAAGCAGAUGGAUAUUUAAUUCCUGGAUAUUAAUCCAUGGAUUUUCCUCGUCAAGUUUCAAAGCCAAAGGGCACUAAUUUAUUUCACAGAAUCCAGGAUUGAUUCCUGGAUAAAUGCACAGGGACUUGUAUUGUUCUUCAAACCCUUGCCAAUCUAAUCAGUACCCAUUAGAACUUAUCGGACAGACAGUAACAUAAUUUGAUUUGGGGAUACAUGAACUAGGCCUUGUUUUGAUUGCAAUUUUUCUUCAAAAAACUUUUAUGUUUUUGCAAAUACAUUUCUUAGUAAUCUCUUGUAUUUCAUAUCUAUUAAAUCAUUAUAAUACAUUUUUCUAUAAAAACUCUAGAAAAUAGCAAUCCGAACAAGGUGGAAUUUCACUUUUCAUCACCUAAUCCAAAUGCUCAGAGAAUGUAUUGAUGGUUUGAUACCGUAGAAGACUACUACGCACUAAUAAUUGCUAUCCAUAACAACUAGGGAUAUCUUGUUGUCCUCUUCCCUUCCCUGCCUGCCGGGGUUCUAUCUUGUCCGUCCGUCAUUGAACCUAGACCCCCAGCAAUUCCCAAUAUUUGUCCGGUACCACGAUGUCAAUCGGGAUUCCAUUCAUUGGAGCUAGUAUAUAUUAUAGCUCUUCCAUUUUGUUUUUUUUUUUGGGAUCAGAAUUGCCUAAUUAUCUUGCCGUCCACAAUUAUCAUCUCUUCCUUUUUGUUUUAUGAAGUCCGCGUAUGAGUCCACUAAUUUUUCCAGACGAAAUCGCAGACGAAGUUAUCUUCAAAUGAGUCCAUUUUUGCAUUUAGUUGUCUAUUUUUAGCUGACGAAGUUAUGUCCUUCCAAAAGAUUAAACAAAAGCUGAAAAGGGGCCAUUGUGCAAUGCCGGCAAAUUUCCCUCGUUCACUCACUCUGCUUACAAGUCUUUUCCUAGUAGGAAGCUUAGCCAUAGUUUUCUUUUAUACGUGUAUGUAUGCAUCUUAUAUGUUAGACUUAGAUGCAGCUACCAGAAUUCCACGUUCUUUCAUCCCUCCAUGAAGCAAGAAAUUAAGCCAUAUGUGUAGUAUGAAUUGAAUGGCUAAAUAUCUGAUGGGCAAUUCUCCAGUGGAAAAGAUGCAAAACUUUGCUUGAAAUUAUCGAAUUUUUCUUCUGCAUAUUUUUUUUAUAGAAUAUUAUACGUGUCAAAAUAUCUUCUCCCUCUAUAUACGUUUUGUAGAAAGAUUUAUAGCCAUAUGUGUACUUUCUGCUUUUAUGAAACAAUUAUCAUCCCCAAGGAUUCUAAAAAGAGGCUAAAGAGCACUAAGCAGCUUAAAAGAUGAUUGUUCGGGAAUUUUAUCCUCCUUUUAUAUUAAAUGUACUAUAGAUGUAUUAUAUUAUAUUAUAUAUAAUACAUAAUAUAAAUGUAUUUAUAAAUUUAUAAAUUAUAAAUUAAUAUUAUAUAAAUGUAUAAAUUAAUAUUAUGUAUAAAUGUAUUAUAUUAUAUAUAAUACAUAAUAUAAAUGUAUAUUAUAAAUAUACAUAAAUAUAUAUAUAUUAUGUAUAAAUGUACAUUUAUAUAAAUGUAUAAUAUAUAUAAUGUAUAUAUUAAGUAAGGUGAUUGGGAUUCUGAAGAAUUGGGAACUUUCAGAAUAGGCCAAAAAAAGCAACAGAUGAGGUUUUGCAUUUCAGGGUCCAACACUUGCAAACAGGUUUGUUUGGAUUGCUUCAUAUUUUCCCAAUUUUAUUUGCUUACAUCAUCUUUACAAUUUCCAAUACACCUUUUUAUCUUCCCAAUAUCUUUUUAUCUCACAUACAUCACAUCACAAAAAGUGCUAUAGUAAAAAUAUCCCAAAUAAUUCCAAAUAACUUACAAUCCAAACAGUGAUUGGGAUUUGUUGACAAAGGUAAUUGGGUAUUUUCGUGCGUCUGGGAUUUCGUGCCACGUUGCGGAGAAUUGAACCAUAUUAGUGAGUGCACACACAGCUUAAAGGAUGGAAUGCAAAACCUCAGCUGUUGCUUUUUCCAUCGAUGAGGAAUGUCCCUUGAUUCAUUCCACAAUCUAUAUAUCUCACGAUAAGAAGCCGUGGGAGGCAGCAAGUAAAAGAAGUCUUCAGCUUCCUCUUCUUCCUUUUCCUUUUUCAGCAUGUCCAAAACCAAGUCUAGGAGGGAGCAUGACUACAAGAAGCUUCAUGAAGUGCGGCCUAGUGGUGAAGAUAGAGGUGGAUGGGUAUGCUUUGAUGAUCAGCUGUACUUGACUACAUGCGUUAUGAGUCCAUCAUGCAUGUUGCUGCUUUAUUUAAUAAUUUUUGUUUGUAGGUUUUAGUUUUGGUCUCUAGCUUGUUAUCAACCUGCAAAUUACUUAACGAAUAAUGUGAAAAUCCAUUUGUUUGUAUUCAAGCUUUGAUCUCUUCUCUUUGUUAACUUCAGCUGGGCAUGAAGGAUGACGACGAGAAGGCUUAUAAAGCGCGGCCUGGUGAUGAAGAGGGAGGUGGAGGGGAAGCUGAUCCUGAAAUUGAUAGGAAAGCAGAAGCUUUCAUUACUUCAAGAAGAGAAAGGUGGAAAAGCCCCGAGGUUGGCAACUAACCGAAGCUCAAAUGCUUUGAUGAUCAGCUGUUCUUGACUACUCCCAUCAUGCAUGUUGCUGCUUUAUUUAAUAUUUUUGUUUGUAGGUUUGAAGCUUAAUUUUAUGUAUCAGGUGUGCUAGCAAGCAAAAUGCUUAACAAUGGCUGUUUUCCAUCUAUAUAUCAUUCCAUCAGCUUCAAGCACAACGACCAGUUCAUAGUCGGCUGAUAUUGAUCUUUACCAAUCCUUGGAAAUUUCGACUCAAGUAUGCAAAAAAUUUCCGCCUUUAUAUGCAUAAUUUUGAAAUAACCGUGACCUUGAAUCUCUUAUUCACUUUAACUAUAAGGAGGUGAUUGUGCACAAGGACGACAGCAAGAAACCACCAAUCGGUCAAGGGCUUAAUAAGCCAGCUGAGAUGACUCUUCUUAUUAAUUAGACAAAUGAUGAUAAAUGAUAAUGUAUAAAAAGCUUGGCAAAUUCUGCUAUUAAAGCAAGGAGUUAGCUACGUGAAAUGGUUCCUGUUGGUUGCUAAUUUCCGGUACAACUCUCUGCUUUGUCAAUUUGGAGAAUUUUAUUUGGAUAAUGUGCUUGACACUUUUUUUUUUUUUUUUUUUUUUUUGGACUAUGCAUGCUAGUGGUCGCGUUCAAUUGUCCAUUAAAAUGUACAAUAAUCCUAAAGAAAAAUGGACAGAAAAAAAAUAAUUUGUCACUUAAGAAUAUAUUCAAGUAACUUAUUGUAGAUGGAUUUUUUAUUUAUUUAAUUUUUGUUUGGGGGAGGAUAGAGAUGGAUAUUUAAUUCCAUGUUUUAAAAAUUACAUUAAUCUUCCUUGAGAUUUAUUAUCUUAUAGUAACAUCUAAAUUCAAUCAACAAUUAAAAAAAGUGAUAUUAAGAAUUGUUGAUACUAAAAAUUUUAAGAAGGUUCAGAAAUCCCUUUGGCUUAGUCGUGGAAGAUAUGCCUUUCCGCGACACUGCGUUCCACAUACGUGAUUACAUCACACAACCUUUCCGAGACUUGUUGGGCGGCCUCAACUCACUUCAUUGUUGUGUGACGUAUAAUACUGAGACUUGGAAAGAAGGCAUGCUGACGUUUCGCUGUAAUCAUUGUAUGAGCAAAUUUCUUGGGAAUUAAUGCUGUUUGAGGAAGGGACAAUUUUGGGAAUUCUGUUGCAUGCAUUAGCUUGCACAGAUUUAGGAACACCAUCAGAAGCAGCUUCCCUUUCCAUAGGGUACCCCCUUGGAUGUCUGAGAAGACAGAUUAAGAUGUUUACUGUUUAGGUCUUUGGUGUGCAACUUGAAUGGACGAACUUUCAGGAACAGUAGGAGUUGUUGACAAUUCAGCUCCAGAAGAUUUGCCGGUGACAACUAUCUUAUCAGCAACUGUAAUGCUUUCCAUGCUUUGCUUGACGGCGGAAGAAUUAGAUGGGGAUAAUAUAUAGGCUCUUUAGUGUAUGACCUGUUACGCUGUUUCGUGUUUGCAACAGAAGUAGUCGUUGUUUGAUUCUUCCGCCGCACUACACAACCAAUAAAAGAGUCUGAUUUGCCUUGAAAAGUUGUAACUCCCCUCAAGAACCCAUAUAUUGCAAGAAUUACAUGGUACUUUUAAACUAGAUAAAAAAAAACAUUCUUUUUUUUCCCUUAAAUCGUGUGAUAUGAUGGUUCCUAGAUUAGCCAAUUAAAAGUGAUAUUAUGAGAGAGAAAAUAAUAUGAUUCGACUAUACUAUUGCCCCUCAUCUAAUAAAUUGUUUAAUUAAUCUAAUACCUGCCCAAAAUAUUAAAGAAAAUACACCAGAGAUUAAAUCGCAUAUAGCAUCAAAAAUAGUAUUUCAUUCUAUAUAUUUAAUGGAAGAUUUAAAUUGCUCUUUUUAGCUACAAACUCAUUGUCAAAUAUGAUCAACAACAAAUAAUCAAAAAAUCUAUGACCAAAAUAUUACAAAGAGUAAACUUUAAUAUCAUAAAAAUCUCAACAAAUACCCUUAAUAUGUUGACAAAAAUAUUUAUGAUGUUAAAAUUUGUUCUUUGUAAUAUUUUGGCCGUAAUUUUUUUUUAUUAUUUGUUAUUGAUCAUGUUUGGCAAUGGAUAUAUAAUUGAAAAGAGUAAUUUGAAUUUUGUAUUAAGUGAAAAAUAUAAAAUGAUAUAAUAUUUUUUGAUACUAUAUGUGAUUUCAUCCUUAAUAAUAAACAGGAAAAUUUAGUAGCUUUAUUUUAUAUGUGGAUUGGCAUUAAAUUAAUUAAAUAAAGUAGUAGAUGAGGGAUAAUGAUAGAAUCAUAUUAUCUUCUCUCUUUCAAUAUUACUUUUUAAUUAUUGAUUGGAUCUAAAUAUUACAAGAUAAUUAACUUUAGGAAAGAUUAGUAUAAUUUUUGAAACCUAAAGGGAGGUCAGUAAAAUAGUUAGAAACCUCAGAGGAGGUUUCUGAAAUUAUUCCUAACAAUAAAUCAAGCUAUUGCCGCCCACUCAGGCUAUGAGCAAAACUAAAACUUAAAAUAAUAACCGCAACCGCUUCAAUUUCAAGCUAUUGCCAUUGCCACCCGGCCUUCAGUUUUUCAGUCUUUCCUCUUUCUCAAAACUCUGCAGACGGCCUUCGUAUUCUUAGACCCCAUUUUGCAGAACCCCACAACUUUCAACACCCAUUCUCAAGUUUUAACCCCUUAAUCCCUUCAGACAGUGAUCGACGUGAAGCUUGUGGGUUUCGCAUUUGCAUUUGCAUUUGCAUUUGCAUGCCACUCUUGUUUUGUGCCAGUUUGAUCAAAUCUUCAAAGAUGGUCAAAUCUUCCAAAAAUAGCCGUAAGUCCUUCCUUUUCCGAAGCCCAUUUUGUAUGUUUGUGUAAAUUCGCUUUUACUGAAUGCAGGGGUGCAUCCAUGGUGAGGUUUCUUGUAAAUAUUUGUACUUUCUCAUGUUUCUGGAUGUUUAUCGAUUAGUGGGCCUCAUGAUCACAGCCUAUUCUUUUUUUCUUGGUAAUACUAUAAACAUCAAGAUCUCCUGGAAUGAACAUUACCGCCAACUGAUAGUCUCCUCUGAACAGUAUUUGGUCAGUCAGGCAGCAGCAGCAGCAGCCCUUCAGGUUCAGGGUCUUCAUCGGUCCAUGGGCAAAUGAACUGCCCUUCGUCUUCAGGGUCUUCGUUGGUUUAUGGCCAAAUUAACAACUCAAGCAGUAGUACAUCUUCCCUCAAUAGCCCAGGAGGUUAUAAAAAUCCCUUUGCUUCAUAUGAUGUUUUAUAUAUUUGGACAGGCAUUGUGAUUGCAGAUUGUUGUUUUUUGAUGUUGGAUUUUCAUUUUUACUAUUUACAGUUAUCACUUCUAAGAUAGGGAUUCGCAGUAGCUUCAUUGUCUUUCCUUUCCUGUUAUUUCUUAUUCUAAACUUAGAAGUCGUUGCAAUGAUGCAACUUGUGACCAAGGAUGUGAUAUGUAGUUCUACCUAGUUGAAUUUGUAGAGUAUAGAUAUAUAAUAAUCUAUAUCUGCGCUGCUUUAUUUAGAAUUUCGGUUGGUUUCUUUUUCUAUGUUCUUGUAGGAUAUUUUGCCUCUAAUCAGAACCCUCAGGAACCAUGUCAACAGACACAAGUUGCUCCCCUCCUUGUCACUUUUAGCUCGUCAGAUCAACCUGCUUUUGGAUUUUGGUUUGGUACCCGUGAAUCAGCAUCCAUUGGCUCUUCUGCGAGUGUGUCUAGUAGUAGAUCACCUUUUGGCUCUCGGAAUGUAAAGUCGAUUCUCGGGAACUCAGGCUCUCAAUUUGGAGCAUUAGGCACCAUCAGCUUUGGUUUGUCAAACAGCACUACCACUGGCUUUGGCCAGGUAUCAUCAUUUGGUUCUGUGCAUGAGAAUCCUGCUUCAAGCAACAUAGGACCUGGAUAUUCAAGUGCUCCUGCAUUUGGAGCAUCAGGCACCAGAAACGUCCGUCCAUCAAACACCAGAUCCUGUGGCCCUAGCCAGAAACCAUCAUUUGGCCAGUUAGCAUCAAGCUUUGGUGGGAGCAACUUGCCUGGGAAGACUCCAUUUCGGACUCAGAAUUUACAUUCUGGUAAGUAUAACCUAUGCUUCGCAUUAGUAACAGUUGAAUCAUAAAAUGACUCUUUCAAGCUUAGCAUAAUUUCAUAUCACUACUAAAAUUGAAGAUAUACAUGUGCAUCUCUUCUAAGCUGGGGGUUCUUGCCUUUUACUUCUGUAUCAAACUAUGUGUAAAAAUUUGUCAGUUGCUUCUGUAUCUUCAUUUAACUAACAUUUGACUUCUCUGCUCUUCCAAAGGAACAAAUGACUCUAGAGUGGCAACCCAAGCAGGUGGUCAGGUUAUCAAUGGGCUACAGUAUGUGCAUCCUAAAAACUCUCAAUUUAACUGACCAUCUUUCUUUUGUUUUCUUUUAUCCAUUUUAUGUGAAAAUUUUCCAUAUGAGCAGACCUUCCCUGUCGUAAUUCAACUUUUUGAUAAACUGUUUAUGUGAAAGAUCUUUGGCUACAUAAGUGCAGGUGAUUAUUUUUUUUUUUUUUGCCGAAUGUUUUCUCAAACCUUGAUAGAUAACUUUCCAUCAAAAUGCCUAUGAUCAACUCAUUGAGAUGCAUGGACUGCUGAAAAUUCUGGAUGAGUCCUUUUCAAUUUUACAUUGGCAGGAAGUUUCACAUCCCUCUCUCUCCCUCCCUCCCUCCCUCUCCCUCUCUUUCUCAUACAUGUACACAGGUGUAAGAAUAUGUUUUGUUUUAUUAUAUUCCCUUGUUUUGUGCUUUGUUCAGGAAGCUGUCUGAGCUUUUACUUACGGAAUGCUCUCCUAUGCGUUAGCUUGUUUUGUAUUGAUGGGUUUAAUUGCUAAUACUGUUUCUUCAGGACAGCCUCUCUGGCUGCUGAAGUCGUUCAGUCCAGCGGCUCAAACUCUUUUAGGUCACAGCCUGAACUGCAGAUUUUAGUUGAUGACCCUGGCUGUACACUAUCAGUCCAACUUGGGAAUCCUGGCAUACAUGUAAGUCUCAAAAUCUGAUAGCAAAUCUAGGGAGCAUGGGUAUUUCAUGAUGGUUAUAUUCUCUGUGAAUGUUUUUUUUUUUGUGCGGAUGAUUCACCUAAGGGAAACAAUAAGCACAUGUACUUUUGCAACUUAUUUGAAAAAAAAAAAUCGAAAGAAAAAACAUCAUUAACAUAAUUCAUUUUUGGAACAUAACAUUUUCUGUGUGGAUGAUCCACCUAAGGGAAACAAUAAGCACAUCUACUUUUGCAACUUAUUUGAAAAAAAAAUCGAAAGAAAAAACAUCUUUAACAUAAUUCAUUUUUUGUACAAGAUGAAUUUCAACACGAUGAGGUGCAACUAGCCAAUUUUUAAAUGUAAAACUGUGGAAAGAAACUCCUGACAACCGUAUUGACUUGUAAAACUUUCUUAGUAUUCAGAAUUAUGUUAAUUUAUUCUAGACUUUUAGCAUUCUCGCAAGUGUUUUGAAUGUCAAUUUGGAUUUCCAGGUUAUACUUGUGAACUAUUUUGUUAUGUUACGUUUAGAAGGCUAGAUAUCCUUAAGUACUUGGAUUAAGGAAGAUUGUUGUGAACUGAGACCAUUUAAUCUAGUGUCCUUACAGGAAAAAUUUGUAAAUAGGUAUUGUUAGUUUAGAACAUAAUGCUGAAGUUCUGCUGCAAUCUUAAUUCAAGCUGUCUUGAGCUUUGCUGACUGUAGUGAAAAGGCCAAGACCCUGCAUGUUUAGGCGAGUGUCAAUGCAUGAGAUUUUCAGAAGGCUACUGCUUUGUUUACCCCCAGAUUUGAUGAGAGGGAAUGCAUGAGGUCAAUAGGAAUGCUUCUUCAAUGGAGUUUUUGAAGACUUUUCUCUUGCAUGUAUCUGAAAAAUCCACUUCAGCCAGAGGAUCUAUAUUGAUGGGAAGUCAACAUUCUUCUCUUACUCAUAAUCGGAUAUAAUAUAAAGAUUACAGUUCCAAAAUUAUUGUUGAACGGUGAAAAUAGCAAUUUAUCGUGAGGAUACAAUUUGGAGAACCUGAACUUAGAACUCUCCUUUGCUCCUGGCAUCCUGCCAACACUUCUGCACUAAUUUCCAUCAAUUUUUGUCUUCCUAGGAGGAAGAAAGUAUAGAUUAAUUUACCAAUCCAUGUGCCAUCCGUGGUAAAGAAUGUUCAAUAUUUAACAGCCCUUUCUUGCAGGUUAAGGUGUUCUGUAAUGAAGAAAAGGUAGCAACUUUCAAGGUGGAUAAUGUGUUGAUUUCAAAGGAAAAUCCUGGGCCUCAGGUUUUUAAUUCCACUAAAGACUCUCCAUGGAAUGAUAAAGCAAAAGAAUCAUCAGGACAGCAGGGUCCAUCCAAUAAUAUGAAUGAGAGUGGUAUGCAUUGAAUAUUGCUCUCUUUUAUUCCAAGUGUACAUGAUACUAGAACAUGCAGAGUGCAUGACUCUGCUACUAGAGAAGAUAGGUUCUUCAAAUUGUUAAUCCUCGAAACAAAAUAUAUCAGUUUAUCUACCUUGUAUAAUAACUUUUCACAUUAUAGUAUGUAUAAUAUGAGUUAUCUGGCAAUGUCAGUCAGCACAAUGAACUGAGAACUUAUUGAAAAAAUUUUGUAUUACAUUAUGUACUACCGGUUAAUGGUUGCAUUUGGAAGUAAAAAGAGGGACAUGCCAAAGCAGAUUUUUGUAUAUCUAAUUUCCUUCUCCAGGCUGAUGAUUUAAUUAAUUGCCUUCCAUUCCUAAAUCCUUUCGCUCUUUGUUUCAUAGGAUUAUCAGAUCAAACAAGCAAUGAUGAAGUUGUCGAGAAUCGUUAUGUGGGAUCCAACUUGAGCACUAAUGGGGUAAUUUACAAUCACAAUCCCAUUCCAGCAAGAUGCUUUCAUAUUAUAGUAAAAGAAGAUGAAGAUGGAGAAGUUGCAGACGGUGAAGAGGGAGAAGUAGCAGGCAAUGCUGGACAGAACCCUAAUAUUGCAGCUAUCAUGCCAAAGAUCCAUAGUGCUGACUGUUAUACCAAACCGCCAAUCAAAGAAUUAGCAGCAAGGGAAAGGGCUGAACCAGGAUUCUGUGCUCGUGUCAAGGACUUUGUUUUUGGAAGACAGGGCUACGGCAGCAUCAAGUUUUUGGGGGAAACAGAUGUGAGGGAACUUGACCUGGAGUCUUUUAUUCAGUUUAACCAUGGAGAGGUGAUUGUGUACAUGGAUGAGAGCAAGAAACCACCAAUUGGUCAAGGCCUUAAUAGACCAGCUGAGAUAACUCUCUUCAACGUCAGAUGCAUUGACAAGAACAGCAGGAAAGCAUACAUAGAUGGACCGAUGGUUGAGAAAUACAAGGAGAUGCUCAGACAGAAGGCAGCCGAGCUAGGUGCUGAGAUGGUUUCUUACGAUCCACAGCAAGGAGAGUGGAAAUUCAAGUUUCAACAUUUCUAGGGAACUAUGACUCCAGAUAUGAGAGUAAAUCAGACCUUGCUCGUCCUGGUUGCAUCCUCUAGCUGUCUAGUAAAAUAUCAUGAUGCGUAGAUGGUUGUAAUCAAACUUGUGCAGCUCGUCUAUUAGUAUCUUCUUCAUAUUCAUUUAGCAUUACUCUAGGUCCCAGUUUCUUAUCAUAUAUGCUUUCAACUCUUGAAUGCAGUUCUUUUUUUUCUUCUUCUUUUCAUUCUUUUUUUUUUUUUUCAUUCUAAUUGUGGGAGAUUAAGUAUUGCAGAAUGGUAUUGAUCAUGUCCUUUUUCAUGUGGCUGGGAAUUUCUUGGAAAUAGAGAUGAAGAGAAAUGGUAAACGAAGCAGAUUUGCAGAGUCGUGACUAGUGGCUAUACUUCGUUGUGGCCUCAAAUACAUGUACGAAUCGAAAUUCUUUUCAAGAGAGAGGAGGUCGUCCCAUUGUCCCUGUCUAUUCAAGCAAUCCAACAAGCUUUGGAGCCCUUGACGGUUUGAUGACUUUGAGUUACAAACGGUUGGAAUCAUCUUAGAACGGAUAAAGCAUCUGAUUUUAGAACGGAUAACGUUUUUGAGGAAACUCAAAAAAAAAAAAAAAAAAAAAAAACAGACAUGUUCAUAAUCAGGGGUAGUUCCCUAUAUUUAUUGCAAAUAGAUGUCAAAGUUACACAAUCUACGUAUGCAAAAUCUUACAUGAAUACUUGAAAGAAAUCAACCGAGAAAAAGAAGGGGGAUAUCAUUUAUGGUGUAAAAAGUGGACAUGAAAAUGGUAACAGGGCACGAGCACUUGGACUCGUGUCCCACACCUUAGCUAGAGUUGUCAUGAGAGGUAAGAGUUAAAGAUUACAAAGACUAAGAGAAGCCUAAGUCGAAUUCAGUUGUUAAAGAAUGGAGCAAAUUCUGCCAUCAUCGGGAGCAUAGCUGACAACAACAUAUUGGCAUUGUGGACAAGAAAGGGGAAGAGGCUUUGGUGGAUCAUUAUCUGGCUUUUCAGGCUUAGGGGGAUCAGGUUUUUUGGGAGGUCCAACACUUAUAAUUUCUGCGUCUUUUCCUGUCUUCCUCACUCGAGUAAUUACACACACUGGAUCAACUUCACCAACAACGGUUAAUAUCCCCUUGGCCGCAUCCGCUGUCACCUGAUCAAUACCUGCACAUCCAUAAGCAAAAAGAUAUAUAUAUUCUUGAACCAUUCAAGAAACUGACAAGAAUUUAUGCUGCAGAACCAUUUCCCAUUUCACUCUUUACAUCUCUAAGUAAUCUGUCUAGGCAUUGGAGUCAAAAUCUUGAAAACACAGGAAAGCAGGUUAUUAAAUUAAAGAAAGAAAAGGGUCAAAACCUUGAAGCUUGGUAACUGCUUUCAGCACUUCACUCUUACAUUUGUGGCAGUUAAUGUUCACUUUCACUUCAGUUUUCUGUGUCAAGAAAAGAAAAAUCUGAGCCAAGAAAAUUUGAUGUAUCAUCUAAUAUAUAUAUAUUUGGGGUAUACGUAUUAAUGCAUUAGAAAAAUCUAAUUUAGGUGCUACAUAUAUGCUACCUACCUUCAUAGCAGAAGCAGCGAAGCAACAAAGGAGGAGAUCCGAAGUGACCUCAAAUUCCAGGUUGCGAAAAAUGUGCUAUUGGUUCAAUUUAAUUUUGGUGCAAGAAGACAUGUGUAUGUACUUAAAGAGCAGGAAGAAGUUGAUCAGUUUCAUGUAAGACUUUCUCCAUCAAUCAGCCAGCGAGAUUUGUUGACCCUUGGCUGUCAAAUGACGUUACGUGCAUGACGUACAUAAUCGAGCCAGUAAAAACGUAAUGAUCCAGCAUGACCAGGACUUUUUAAGUUUGUGGACUUCUUGUAAUUCAAUUACUAAGUUGCAAAAUCCAAAUUGGCUAAUAUAACAAUUACACUUAUGGCUGCAAAUGAAUCGAAACUAUUGAAGAAGAGUAAAUCUACCGUCGAAGAGGGGAAAGAAACUAUUAAUGAUUGACAUAAAAGGUGAAACAGUUAAAGAAUUUGAUACUCAUCCGUUCCACUUUGAUAGUCAUGUUUUCCUUUUUCGUCUGUCUCAAAUUAUAGUCCAUUUUUCAAUUUAAAAAUAUAGUUGUAUUUUAAUUUUCCUAAAAUACCCUUAUUCAAUGUAAGUUGUUGUUACUAUAAACCUACUCCAUUUAAUGAGAGUUUAUUCUUUUUUUACCAUCAAUUCAAGUUCCCAUAAAGUUGUACUCUAAUUAAUGUGAGGGUAUUUUACGAGAAUAACUACCUAAAUUGAUUGUUCCAACAAAGUUAACUAUUUUUUCUUAAACUGUGUGAAAAAAAAAAAUCAAAACUAUCAAAGUGGGAUGAAGGGAGUAUAAGUAAUUGAUUACCAUAGCAUCCGCUUGUGGUUGUGCCGAAAAAUGGCUAGUCGAAGUACGAAGAAGCAUGCUGAUUCUGAGACUCCUGUGAGACCUAUCACUCAAAGAAGGAGGCUGUGCAGCAGUACUGGUGGCGUUGUGAGUCGAUCUUGAGUUGGUCGAGUCAAACUCGAGCUCAAAAUAUUAAGCUCGUCAGCUCGCAAACUCGAAUAUAUAUAUAUAUAUAUAUAUUAAUGGUAAAAUUACAUGUAUAUCUUUAAUAUUUUAUUAUUUAUUAAGAAAAAAAUAUUUUUUAUUUACUUUUUAAAAAAUAAAAUAACUAUUUUUAUUUUUUUGAACUCAAAUUCGAGCUCGAAUUUCAAAAUUGUCAACUCAUCGAGAGGGCUGCAAAUGUGCCAAGUCAAGUCGAAUUUUGAUCUAAUCGAGCCGAAUCUUAACUUAAUUUUAUCGAAAUCGAACUCGAGAUUAUCAACCCAUCGAGAGGGCUGCAAACAAGCCGAGUCGAGUCGAGUUUUGGCCUAAUCGAGCUGAAUCUUAACUUAGUUUUAUCAAAAUCGAACUCGAGACUUAGUUUUAUCAAGAAAUCGAGUUCGAGCUCGAUAAAACUAAAUCAAGAUUCGGUUUGAUUAGGCUAAAACUCGACUCAAUUCGACUUGUUUGCAACCCUGAAUACACUGCAAUGUUUGCAACAAAAAUAUGCAGAAUACGAUUAUUAAAGGAUAAGAAAAAUCCUUGAAGCGCGAUCCUUCUCCAUUCGUCAGUAAGAUUAUCCGUUCUUCUUUCAACUUGUCGUAGAUGAAACUGUCUUCUACCAAUUAGUCUGUCAUUUUCGCUAAAAAAACGCAGCCUGCUGUGAAAUGAUAAUAAAUUUUUUGAUUAGGCAGGAUGGAUUACUAUUUUGUAUCCGUUUGGAUUACUAUUUUUAGAAAUUUUUUGUAGAAAGAUGUGCCGUAGUAACUUGACAUUUUCAAUAACCUCUAAUUCUCUCGCAUGUAUAGGGUUAAUUGUUCCAAAGCAUUCUAGCAUGAAUCAAUUGCAAUCUUGAAUCGUAUUUUAUUUCUUUUCCUUUUCCUAAAAAAAACAUUUAUUUUCUUCUACAUGUGGGUGAUCAACCAGCAAUAAAAAUUUUGGAUUCAAUUUUCCCUUGUCAUUUGCAUUCCAAUUGCUUAAAUCUCAUUCUUCUCCAAUUUUUUUUUUUUUUUUUUUUUUUUUGUGAAAAGGACAAUCGACCAAAAGGCCUAUGGAAAAAAGCUUUAGGUUUGGGCCAAUAUUGUAUUCCAUCUACUCUUCAUGAUGGCCAUCGUGCUUGACUCAUCAGGCAUUGCUUUUGAUUUCAAAACAGCCCAAGUUCAAACUAAGUCGGUCAGAUUGGGCUUAGUGCCAUAUCCAGCACCACACCCCUUUGAAAACUUAUUAACAUGGUUUCAACACUUUUGUACUUUUUUUCUUUUGGAAAUGUUAUUUACACUCCCAUUUUUGUUAUUCACACUCCCUCAAUCAUUUUAAUGAUAUAGUUUUCAUUCAUUAUACUAUAUGAUAAAACAAAUGGUGGAAGUACAAAUAAUAAAAAAUAGUAUAUUGGGAUAUUUCCCUUUUGGAUAUUUGGAUAUUUUCCUUUUAUUUUUUAGAAAAAUAUGGCUUCAACACAUUAAUAAUUAGGGAUGGCAACGGGGGCGGGCACCCGCCCCGUGGGGGGUCAUUGGGGCGGGGGCGGGGGAGUACCCACCCCCUGCCCCGCCACCCGUUUGAAAAAAUAUAUAUGUACAUAAUUAUAUAUAUAAUGAUAUUAUCAAUUAUACUACUAAUUAUACAUGUCUAUUAAUAAAAAUUAUUAAUUAUUUAUACUAAAUUUAUUAAUACAUUUAUGUUAAAUUCCUAACUACACUUAAUACAAUAAUACUUUUUUCUAAAAAAACACAAUAUUAAUUUAGUGAUUGUAUUUGUAUCAAAAGUGAAAACUUGAUUAUUUUAGUUAUAUUUAUUUUAUCAUAUUAGAUUGUAUUCAAAUAACCUUUGUUUAAUUAUUUUUAUGAGUUUCAAUUGUAAAGUUACAAUGAAUAAUAAUUUAGUAAUAUGUUGAUAUUUUAGUAUUUGAUUAUUUGCUCAAAUUUAAUUAUAUUAAAAUUUUUUAACCCCACGGGUGCCCUCGCAGAGGAAGCGGAGCAGGGGAAGCCGGGGGCUGGGGCGGGGGGAAUUAAAAUGCAAUGGGGUGGGGGUUGGGGAGGUGUCCCCCGCCCCAUUGCCACCCCUAUUAAUAAUGGAUGAAUGGAUGCAGGCCGCUUCUCUUAGGGGUUUCUAAUUUUUCAAGGGAUGAAUACAAAAAUUUACUUAAUUUUCACUUCAAAUCGAAUUUGUAAUUUAUUUGUAGAAUCGAAGUAUUAGACUACUAAUAAACUUUGUAUGAUAUAACAUCAAUCUGUUGAAUUAUGGCUUAAAAAAAGUAGUUUAUGGACUUAUUCUUUCGUUAUUCCCUCCUUAAAGGUCCAUGAACUAUACUAUAUAUGAAGCCACAUUUUAGCAGAUUCGUAAUGAAAUAAUACUGAGUGUACAUUUGAAAUUUAUUUCCCUUUUAGUUCCUAUUAAAAUUGUCAAUGCUAAAUAACAAAAUAUAUAAAACUGAAUAAUGUCAUUUGGAUCCCAUUAUUAUUCUUGACAAACAAAUCUUCAUGUCAAUCCAAUCUUCUUGACAAACACAUCUUUUCAAAUCAAAUUCAUGUCAAACCAAACACAUCUGAUGUUGAAAAUUCAUGAUAUUCCUAAUUUUUCAAGGUAUUUGUCUGUUUUCAUUAGAGAAGCCUGCAAUUAAUUUUUCCACAUCCUUGUGACAAUUCAACUGUCUCAUGAUUAGGCUUCAGACCUUACUCAUAGUGAAAGGCUACCUAUCUUUGCUAAAGGGACCUAAGUGAGCAAACAAAUCCUUCAAACUUUUCUAAAGAAUCCUCUCCUUUUUUUUUUUUUUGCCAAAUAGAUCAAUUGUGGUCUAUUUGAUCAUAAUUCUUUGCUUUUCAUAUCCAUAAAAAAUUAUUUAAAUCUGACAACAUUUCUUUUUUUAAAAAAAAAAAUUUACUAACAACUAUGACAUAAAUUGAUGUAAUACUUGUCACAGAUUUCAAUUUUCUUAGAAAAAGAAAAAGAAAAUCAUUUUCCAUCACUUUCCCUUGGAGAGGCAUAACUACAACCACCAACCCUCAACCCCAAAAAAAAAAAACAAAAGAAGGGUUCUUUAAUACUAUUCUGAUUUCUGAUCUAUUGAAGUAUAAUUUGUUACCCAAGGCUGCUUGUCCAUAUACAAGCAGUGGAAAUGUGGAAAUUAAUGAAAGUAACUUUUUCAAGCUUACGCAUAAAAUCUGUCAUCCCUUUAGGCCACCUUCUGGUCCCUCUGUGCUCUUGGUUGAUGGAACAAUUAAACAACUGCUGUGGACAAAGGGCUUAAACCUCUUAUUCUCAUUAUGUACGUACCAAAGACUAAUCAUCAUUAGAUAAUGAAUCAAUGAUAAUGAAUUGUACCGAGGAAGUAGAUCAACACUUAAACAAGACUCAAUAAAAAAUCAAUCUGAAAGUGGCCUUAAAGGUUAUACAUAUAUAAUUUCUUCCUCUUUUUCUUUUUUUUUUUUCUUUUCAAAACAGAUGCAAUGAUUUAUUGCCAAUAUAAAUUUGGUCACAAGUUAUCCAGUAUGAAGCAAGUAUAGGAAUUAAUUUGCCCAUUUCCACAAUGUAAAUUAGACAGUAGUAUAGUCCCGAGAUUUAGUGUACAGGAAAUUUGAUCAAGAAAGACAAAUUUUGGUUAACCUUCAAAUGGUAACUUAAUUAGAAUGCUAGAAUUACUGAUAUAUACGUGCUUAUUCUUGAAAUACUUGUACACCAGAUGGAAAUUAAGUUUAUUUAGUGCACAAAAUUAUAGUACUAAUUAUAAGUUCUUUAGUUAUACUAAUCAUAAUUUGUGCUUUGGUGCUAAAUUUUUCAUGCGAAGUAAUCAUGGCUUGAAUGCUAGCAGAUGAGACCUGAUGAUAGAUAGAUAGAUAAGCCGUCAACGUAGGGUUGUUGCAUGUUUAUAUACUCUACGUACAAUGCAAGAAGUUCCAUUUCUUGAAGAAAUAUUGGAAUGUCCCUUUUGCAUAUAAUUAUGCAUGUCUUCCUCUUCCUUCCUUGGCAGAUUUUGGAAAUGCUUUGCUGGCCCCAACACACCAAACAAUGACCUAUCCGUUCCAUGCAAGGCACUUUGACUUGGCCAACGCGUUAGAGAUUAUUAUUAUUACUACUAUUUUCAUCGCCUACAAAAAUCUUUAACUGCAUGCUUCUUGCCUUUGCUUUGCUUUGCUUUGCUUUGUUUUUUGAGGAGAGAAUGAUAAUAAUCAUAUUUUUGUGUGCAAAAAGACGGUUGGAUUUAUGGAGAAUGCGGUUUCUCUUCACAGAUUUGUUCAGCCAUUUAGCUUGAUCAAUUCUUUAUAUGAUUUGACUAUCUAUCUACUCAGUUACCUUACAACUAGUAAUGGUAAUUCUGAGUUCAGCAAUGACAUUAGUGAUUCAACUUAUUAUAUCCAAAACUGACCAAACAUAAUAAAAUUGUACAUGCAACUGAAAUAUUUCCUUUUUUAGUCCUUUUAGUGUCUGGAUAAUGCUGCCUCGGUGUGGGAGCCUUAUUUAGAAACCUCAUAUUUUGGUGCAGAGAAUAGAUAUGUUGGCAGCAGGGUACCCUUUGGGAUUUUCUAUCCCACAUCGGUAUUGGGAGGGGGAAGGGUUUGGGUAGAUAAGUCUCUCAUAGGAAUUCAAAAGUUGCCGGCUUUUGAAGUUACUGUGGGGAUUAAAUUUAUUUAAGGUAAAUUCUUACUUCUAUAAGAAAAAUGUCAGAAAGAGUAGAUAUGUUGGCCUUAAUUAAAGAGUAGUAUAGUACUACAGAGAGAUUGAAUACCCUUUAAGAUUUUAGGGAUAUAGUUUCACAAACCUCCCCAGAGGUUGGUCUUAAUAUCACUUAAUAUUCUCGUGGUCUCAAAAAUGCCUUUUACCUCCCCUCCAUUGACAUGAUUCGUAACAUAUAUAAUUUGUCACUACUCCUCAUGCUUUAAAAAAUUCAUAGACAAUGAGAGAUAAUAGUUUACUUCCAUUUGUACCCUCCCUGCUAUCCUUUAUAUAAAUAUUAGAGGAGCAAUUAAGACUAAAACCUACCUAAUAGGCAAAAGACAAAUUGGAAGAGAUGUAAGUGCAAUAAAGAGAAGUCGCAAUUAUAAAUGGUACUUUUGCUAAUUGUUGUCUUAAAUUUUUGUACACUUCAAAUUCUUUUUUUUUUUUUUUUGUGCAAACUUUAGUUAAUCAAUUAAAGAUUUCUAGAAGGAUAAUAUCAUCAAUUGACUACCUAGCUAUGACAGAGAAAUCUUUGUCUUGUCAAUCUGACAAGGGAAGCAAGAGAGCUUUUUGAAACUAUAAGAAUACUAAUUGAUAUUAAGAUAAACCUCAGGUGAGAUUUGUGAAUUAUCCCAAGAUUUUAUUGAGGACCAUUGGAGGGCGUCUUCCAAGGGUGGUCAAGAGAGAAAAUAGCCAAGCAGGGCAAUAACCACCAUCAAAAUUUUGUAAUUUCUUAUACUAUAGAAAAUCAAUAAUAGGCGAAAUGAAGGGUGGGAUUAUAUAAUCUUGAACUUCUCUUUCAAAAUGAAAGUUUUCAUUUGGCUUUUUAGAACUUUUUAUGUCAGGGAAGCAGGUUUCUGCUACUCCAAAUCCCAAAGUGCUUUCACUGAGGCAUCAUCUUUGAAUUUUCUCUUUCCAUCAAUUUUUUUGGGGGCGGGUCUCUUGGCAGUAUAAAGGAAGUUUCUUGUCCAUUAGUCCAAUAUUUUCAGCUAAUUGAGCCGUGUCUCAAAAUCAAAUAAUCAUCAACUUUGGCCUGUUCUUCCUCGUAAAUAAAAUAGAAGUAUUUUCCAUUUGGUAUAAUUAAGAACUACACCAGUCCCAUUUUCGUUAAUGCCAUUCUUGGCCGGCCUUGAAUUCUUUAGGUGUAAUUACACUGGGGAGGUGCUUGAUUUGUGGCUUUCACGAUAAGUUAACUUAUGAGUUUUAAUUUCAAUCGUACCCACAUACUAUAAUAUUUGUUUUAAGGUCAAUUGGAAUCAGUUAAUGAAUUUCAUAGAUUCCUUCUCGGGGGUUUCAUGAUUAACUAUUAAAAAGUGGAGUUUCACUUAUCUUAUUACUAGUAUUUUUUUGUUUUUUAGAUUAAUCUUGAAUACAUUAAUAGUGUAUAUGCUAAUACCCUUUGAUUGAUAAUAAUGCCACAUCUGCAAAAAACGAAGUUCGAAUUCAAACAAAAAAAAAAAUUAAGCGGCUUGCAUCUGAGGAGGGUGCUAAUGCAUACAUUUUCAUUAUAUACAAGAUUAAUCUUUAUUUUCUUUUGAUUGCUAAAAUCUAUUGCUGUAAAGUUAUCAAAUACUCAGUGGUGUUCUUAUCAAACCUGGUGUUUUUCCCCAAUUUACCAUAGUAACCGUACCUAAAGUAUAGUCAUAGUGAUUGUGGAAUUCGAACCAAAUAUAUACUAUUGAAACUAAAUCCCAUUUCUUGUCUCAAAACCCAUCUACCAAACGCACCCUAAGUGCUACAGCUAAAUUUACUACUGGAAGCUAAGUUUUAUGACAGAUCAUAAUCAGCAGUUGUAUCAUACCAGUUGAUCUCUCUCUAUUUCUGCCCUUUAUUUUUUUGGGGGUCAAAUGUAGAUAAUAGAUUAUCCUAAUGUUAACCUACUAGGCACUAGCUUUAGAUUAUGUACUUCUAGAACAGAUCAGAGAUGUAUUAGACUUUUCCAGUACUAGACUUCUCCAGCUCUGUUCUACCCCCAAAAAAGGGGGGAAUUUACAGCUCUGAACUCUGAUAAUGUCGGUCAAAGAAGCUCAAAAUUUUUAGCAAGAAUUGUCUGCAUAUGCAGGGACCCCAUCAAAUAAUAUCCCCAUCAAUGGCCCUAAUCUUCAUCCCUUAACUUUGGGUUGAAGGAGGCAAGUUUCGUGCUUUAACAUUCAUUCACACUUCACAAUUCACGUCAAAGAUUCCUCCAUAGUUUACUUUAGUCCCCUUCAAGUUCCCCUGAGUUACCUCUUCGCCCCAUCUUCUCAGUCUUCAGCUUCAAGGCUUGGACUUCUUUACUUAUAAAUAAACUCCCACUUUUGUCUUUCCAUUUGUCCCAGUGUCCCCAACCCCAACUAUCUUCUCACAUCUGUCUCUCUUUCUUUCUGUGCUUCACCUUUUUCCAGCUUUGAUUACUCCCUUUUGGUCUUUUCCAAUUAAUACACACACACAGAUACAUAAACCAUAAACAACUUUUGUUUCUGCAGCAAUAUCAGCAUGGCUCCUAAGUUGGUAUUCUUGAUGCUUAUGGUCUUCUUGACUAUAAGCUUCAAUCAGGUGUUAGCUUCAGAUCCAGACAUGCUUCAAGAUGUUUGUGUUGCUGAUCUCACAGGUACCCCAAACUGACUUCUUCUACCUUCUUUUAGAUUAUGGACUGUAACAUUAAUAACGUUCAUUGCUUAGUUUUUCAAGUUCCUUGAACCUUAGUUGGUAAUUGGCUUCAAUUCUUGAUCCAAUACAAGCAUUUAGAUGUGUUGGUAGUUGUUAGUUCCUUUUCACUUGUCCUUUUCUUGCACAUUUUGACAUUGACUGCUCGUUACUUUUCUUUCUGUGUUGAUGCUGAUCACUCUGUUGGAAAUCAACACACCAACUAGGAAGAUAUUUAUCAGACAUGUACUGUGUAUAUGCAUUUUAGCUGCUGCCUUGUGCCAACUACUUUCGCAGCUAUUCAACUACUCUGUUUGGGGUCGGAUUUAAUGUCUGUCGGACUGACACCUAAAUUUUUGGUCCAUGAGAAUUUAAAGUAGUGAUGAUUCAAUAUUGUUCAGUCUCAAACUGUACAUGAUAGGACCAAAGAUACAUUUAUGAUAAUUAAUGUUAUGCAGUUAUCUAUCCUGUAAAAGAGAAUUAAUCUCUGAAGCAUGAUAGCUGUAUUCUAGUAGUAAUUAUUAGACUGCGUGUGGAGGAAAAAGAAGAAAAACGCUCGCCUGCUCAAAUCUUGUUUACUUGCCCUUGACAUGAAGAUCUACCCCUUGAACAAAUGCAGAGAGAUAGCAUCUCUGAGCAGGGUUCAAUCUUACGUUUGUUUUACUACGUGCUAAUACAUUGCUCGAAAUUGUGACUGAGAUUUUACUCCUUCUGUUCUUGUUAUUCAUCAAAAACAGGUAAACCGAAGGUGAACGGAUUCAUUUGCAAGGAAAAUAUAACGGCUAAUGACUUCUUCACCACCAUCCUUGGCACCCCAGGAGCAACCAACAAUACCUUCGGGUCAGUGGUCACGGGAGCCAAUGUUGAGAAGGUCCCUGGUCUCAACACCCUAGGUGUGUCCCUGUCCAGGAUCGACUACGCCCCUGGUGGCCUGAAUCCACCCCACACCCACCCCCGUGCCACAGAAAUGGUGUUUGUAUUGGAAGGUGAACUAGAUGUUGGGUUCAUAACCACUGCCAAUGUCCUCAUUUCCAAGUCCAUCAAGAAAGGUGAAGUAUUCGUCUUCCCCAGAGGCCUAGUCCACUUCCAGAAGAAUAAUGGGAACCUGGCAGCAGCCGUUAUCUCGGCCUUCAACAGCCAAUUGCCUGGAACUCAAGGCAUUUCCGUAACAUUAUUUGCAUCUAAUCCACCAGUUCCGGAAAAUGUGUUGACCAUGGCAUUCCAAAUUGGUAGCAAAGAAGUUGAUAAAAUCAAAUCAAGGCUCGCCCCCAAGAAGUAGAUGAUACACUGAUUUAAAAGCAAGACGUCGUAUUCAUGUUGUUCUUCAAAAUAAAACAUAAAAAAAAAAAAGAAGUGGAUUCGAAGUUAGUUUGUCAUUUCAAAUUUAGUUUGUCAAAGUUAAUGUUGUAAGUAAAAUGCAUGUGAAUUUUGUCUUUGCUUGACAACACAAUAAAAUGUGAUUGUUCCAUCCAAGUAAGGUUCUUGAUGGGCAGAUUGCCUUGCUGCCAUGUCCAUUUGAUAUUCAACUCUUAGUUGAUUGCCUACAUUUGUGCAUGUCCAACAAUAUAUGUAUUUACAGAGAUAAAGUCCUUGUUUUUGGCGUUCAUACACGAAGAAGCCAAUUUACUUGAGAAACGCUAGAAGAGAAAAAUCUUCUUCUAACCUGCUGGUGAAGUGACUAUAUGUUCGACAAUUAUGGCUAUCCAACUCAAUUUCUCGAAUUAAAAUUAACAACAGUCCUGCAAUAUAAUGACAUACUUGUAAGAAUAACAAGGCUGCAAAGACAAACUAGUAACUUUUGCCCAGAACAAUUUUUUCCCAGUUUUAUUAAACAAAGAUCAAAAUUGCUCCCAAGAUGGUUAGUUAGCAGCUUUGGAGCCACUCCUCUUUCCUUCAUAAAACCAGAUCAACCGAAUGACUUAGCUUCCAAAUAUGGUAGCUAAUGAUAACUAGAGUUGAUUAUUGCUUGAUGCAUUCAAUGUAAGUUAAGUGAUUGGAGUUGAUGCAUUCAUGAACUGCAAAGUAAGUAAGUGAAUGAUAGAUAUAAGGCUGCUACCAAGUAAAUGAUUGGAGGGUAGGUGAAUCAUAAAGGUCUGGGCUACCUAACAGUUUAAAAGUUGAGCUCAAGUUUGCGGUCCUCCCUCACUAGGGUAGAGUGGGAAACAAUUCUUGAUUUUGCUUAAUUAGUACACAAAAGUGAUACUAAUACCACUAAUAGCCACAUUAUGGCACAAUCUAUCUCCUGGCUUAGAUGUGGACGCCAAUCCCCAGUUCCCCACACCCUCAUCUGCUGCAUUCAUGGGAGGAGCAAGUGAACCACUUGUGGUACUCCUAUUUUUCCUGGCUUGUUUGGUGGGGGUCUUUGAAGAGCUAAAUUUUGAUUGCGAUGCACUUUAAAAGGAGAGAGUUACUAAGGUUGAAAUUCUAAAACUUACAAAUUCUAUAUCCAAAUUCCAGUUUCCUCCUCUCCACUUUUUAAAUCUUACUAUUCCUUUGCUCUAGAGUAAAAAAAAGUGAAGAAAAAAAAAAAUAGAGGAGGAGGUGCUAAUGAACCACUGAUUAAUCAGUAAGCCUUAUCAGUUGGAUCAUUAUUUGCUUGUUAACAACUCUAGUAAAUCCAUACACUGAUUUAUUAGCAACAAUCCUAAUCAUCUGCUCGAACGUGUCAAUACAAUAAGCAAACCUGCAAUAAUUUUGCCCAUCUCUAUCAUCAAGCAGACAUUGAGGUCCCCGGGAUUAGUUUGCUCCACUUAGUUUAAUGGGUAAUAUUAGUUGUCAUCUGCUCUCACGCCUUCUUUUGCAACCGAUUUUAUAUGGAUUUGACAAUAAUAUAUCUAAGGGAUACACGUAGAUAUAUGAUCUCGAUUUAGCCUUGUUUGUGUUGUGAUUUUUUGCUUUUCAUGAAUACAUUUCUCGAUCGCCUCCUAAAAAUAGCAAUCCCAAUGGAUAGGAAUGAAACAUGGCACCACUAAUUUUUUAAGCAGUCCAAACGGGUAAAAGCAUGGCACUACAAAUUUUUUAAGCAAAGCUGUCAUUGCCAUGAUUUUCUAUUCUGCAUCUUUUUCCAGUCUACAUAAAAAAAUACUUGAAAAGGCAGAACAAGCCAAAAAGUGCCAACUACUAGUUCUAAGUUCCCAGCUCAGAUCCGUAUUCAACUAAUUCUACGGCUUCUAAAAUAUCCGGCCACGUUAAUUAUUGGCUCGCUCACUUGUCAUAUGAAUGGCACUGCUCUGCUCUGACCAAGACCAGUUCAACGGCUAUAUCUCGCCCAGCAAAUAGAAUAACGAAAGCUUGCACUAGUUUGGGAGACAUGGAAAAUAAAAGUGAGGAGAAAAGAGCUAAAGAUUGAGGAAGACUAAGGGAGGUUAAAAGUCGUCAAAAACGUUCAUAUGAUUCAGGUGAUCCUGAGCGCGUUGCAUGACACUACAAAAAUGAUAAUACAAGCAUCUUUAAGAAUCCAACAUACAAAAAAUAGAAAGGAAAAAGAAAAAAGAAAAUUGACUAGUAACUCGUGUAGUUUCACAGUCACAAAUUGGCUUACAACCAACAAUCCCACCAGUGGGCAGAAUAGAUAGCAUUCCCAAAGUUAAUGCAGAAUGACCUGUCUUAAGUUCUGAACUUCAUCACUGUGGUUUGCUUGCCAUCUGGGAUGGCAAACAGUACUAGGGGCUUUGAAGGUCUUAUGAAGGGAACAUCGCAUCUGAAGUACCCUUUUCUCUCCAGCUGUAUUAUGUCACCACGCUUCAAGUUCCUCAUGUUGGAAUCACCAAGAGCAGCAGUCUCCAUCUUGGUACAUGGAUUAACAACAUCCACGAAAUUUUCAUCCUCCUCAAGCUGCAAUUGAAACAUAUGCAAACUUCAAUCAGCCCCAAUUAGGACAGAUACAUUUAAAUGACAAUUGAUUCAACCAGUAACAAAGGAUUACCUUCUUUUUAGUGAUCAAAUAAUCAAAAUCCACCAAAGAGAGUGUAACAAGCUCGUUAGUAUCAGGCAACCACGUGAGCUUCAACUUUGUUGUUUUGACAGAUCCUUCAAGAUGCAAAACACCAGUUAAUUGUGUUACAUUGCCCUCUUGGUCCUUCUCGAUUUCCUUUACUAUAGCAUUGCCCCAAUCCAUUAAAGUCACUUCCUCAUUAGCUGCGAUUGAUCGGGCAUCAUCCUGGUCUAUCCAUAUUCUCUUGGUGUACGUAGUUGCUUUCUCCCCAGCACCUUCGUACUUUUUAUGCUUAGGUAUGGUUCGCACAAAUGGAUCCUCAGGACCAUCAGUUAGAGUCAACAAGACCCGUUGUUGGUCUAUAACAGCUGUAUGUCUGGGACAGACUGGAUCAAUAAUUUUCUUAUUAAUGGCCCAAAGCUUGUCCCAUUCCAUGAGAUUGAGAUUCUUGGAUGCCCCCUAAGAUCAUUACACCAAAAACAAGUUACAAGUCUAUUAGAUCAAGGAACUAACUAUUCUCUCCCCUGAUAUACCCUCCACCAUUCUGUUUUUGAAGCACAAAAAGAGUAGUAGAAAUGAAAAACUGAAGCAAGCAAGAUGGAAACUAAAGAAUGCACCAACACCCCAAAAAAACGAAUUUCAAGGAGCAACUAAUAGGAGGAAAUAUUAGAGAUGCAUUGCAUUGCCAGCCUCAUUCCAUCAAGUUGGAUGUUGAACGAAACAGACAUACUUGGAUUGUGGUCUUGAAAAAAUAUCUUACCUGUUCCAGCAUGAACUGUAUCAGUGCCUCAAUCUUCAGCCCCCUGCGUACUAUUCCCUGUACAGUAGGAAAACGAGGAUCAUCCCAGCCAUCAACCUUUCCAGUUUGAACAAACCAUAGCAGUUUACGCUUGCUAAGAAGUGUAUAGACCAGAUUCACCCUGCUAAAUUCAUAUAUAUGAACUUUUUGAAAACCCAUAUCCGUCUGGAUCCAGUAGUAUUGAUCAUUACGGUCGUGAUACUCACUAGAUCGAAGUGCAUGGGUAAUACCUUCCACGGCAUCAACAAACGGACAUGCAAAAUCAUAAGUAGGAUAGAUUUUAUAUUUAGCACCAAUCUUGUGGUGAGGAGUCAAAUUGCAACGGUAGUAUACUGGGUCACGAAGGGACUUGUUUGGAUCCUGCAUAUUCAGCUUGCCUCUGAGGCAACACAUCAAACCCCUUUCUGAUCCAGCAACCAUUUCCUUCCAUAAGCUCAGAUUCUCCUCCACGCUAUUACUUCUACACUUGGAUUCUAUCCCAUCCAUCCGUUCUUGCUGCAUUUUUUCCCGAGUUGUGUCAUCAACAUAGGCUUUACCCUCAUGAAUCAAUUUCUCGGCCAUUUCUAUCAUGUUGGGAAAGUAGUCUGAUGUGUAGGUUACAGCCUCAUAGGUAAUCCCCAAAGUUUCAAUAUCUUUGAGAAGAUUAUCUACGAAUUCACUGCUCUCCUUAUCAGGGUUCGUAUCAUCAAAGCGCACAAUCAGCUUACCGUCAUAUUUCUCAGCAAAAUACUUGUUUAACAGUGCUGCUUUAGAAUGACCAAUAUGUAGAUAACCACUAGGUUCUGGAGCAAAUCUCACCCGUACUUUUCCAACCUGUGCAUCUGGAAGAUGCACCUCAAAUACAGGUCGGUUCCCUCCCACACCCUUCUCACUUACAGCGCCAUUCACACUAUUGGAAGACGAAGUAGAAACCUGUUGAUCUCGGACUUUAGAAACUGCUUGAGUCCCUAAACCUUUUUUUCCAAUAUACAUUGCAGUCACUUCAUUCAGAGCUGCAUCAAAUUCGUCAUGUAUAGAGUUGAACCACCGUACUAGAUUUUGAUAUUUCUUGGAAUUGCGUAGACUUUGCCAUCUCUGCCCUGUUCCUGCAAAUGAACUAGUAUUGAGAACCCAUCCUGGUAUGCUAGCAGAAAAGGGUCUUUAUUUAGAACAAACUUCCAAAAGUGAGAAAUAAAGUGACAGGAGAAAAUGCAAAAUAGUGCUCCAACAAAAAAAAUGUACUUUACCAAAAACAGAUCAACCUUAAUCAUCCUCAUCCAAAUACAACUAAUAGGGGCUCAAAACCAGAUCAAUCUUUAUUGCUUACAUAUUAUUCUCCUGACUCACACUUCAGCAUCAAAUACAUAUUUGACCAAAAGCGGUUCACCAAGUCUAAAUUCUGGAGUGCCCUCCAAUGUCAGAAAAACUUUAACAUCUACAUAUACCUUUUUUUCUAUUUUAAAUUAUAUGGAAAUUCUUAAUUUGGAUUACAUUCACAUAUGGCCACUGAUUUCAAAGACAUUGAAGCAAUAAAAGGAGAGCAGUCGCGUGCUCAAUGAGAGGACUAAAAUAAUGUCUAUCCAAGGUUUCUACGAUGGGAACCUUAUACACCGAAUAAGUCCACCAGACUGCUUUCCGUCAUGAACAAUAAGCAAAACCAGAUAAAUUUCAACCUGGCAAAGGCUCAAAGAGUCUAAGUUAGGCCACACUUUCUGCCCAAAAAAACAAAAGAAGGGCAAAUCCAGGUGCUAUGUAGCCACCAAUCCAUCAAAUAAAUCAAACAAAUAAUUCAUUGUAUAUGCUAAAAAUAUCAAAUCACUUCUGUGCGUUUGAAGUAAAACAUAUGCUACUAUAGCUAGGAAAUAAAUUUAAGAUAAAAUCAACAGUUAACCAAAACUAAUAGGCAACUGCUGUUAUUUAUGCAAAGUUUGUACAUCGAACUCAACUGACACUAAAUCAAUGUAUAGGUUGAUAUCUACUUGUCCUUGAGGUAUUUAUGUAGCUAAUGUAUCAUAGCCAUAACACCUACAUCACUUGUAAUUUCAGUGCUCACGGAUGAUUUGGAUCCACCAAUUAGGAUAUGUUCAAUAAGGAGAGGAGGAAAACAGGACAAAUGUAAUCAACUGACUGAGCUCAUUACAACAAUUACGAAAAGAAGAUUAUAUUACUUGUACGAAUCAGAGAAAAUUUCUCCACUUAAAAUUCAUCCAUCCAGUUUAUGCUCCAUCUCCUGAUAUGCUGGCUUAGAGCGGAAUAUUUGAUUAAAAAAGAAUGAGGCUUAAUAGUCACUAAAUACAGAUGCACAAUUAACUAGGCAAACUAAUAACAACUGGAGACACAAUAUUUUACCUACAAGUGCUGACCAGAUUGCUAUAUCUGCAAUUGACAGACUAUGACCGACUAAAAAAGUAUGCUGCAGUAGAUAUCUGUCCACAUAGCCACAUGCCCCUUCAAAUUCAGAGCCAGAAGAGAAAACAGGGGCAUACUCAAGCCAUUCAUCAAUCUACAAGACAGAUAAAAGGACAAUUUAAACAACAAAGUAAAAUGGAAUUCUAGAUCUUCAUUUACCACAUUAGAACUAACAAGAACAAUUCAGUAGUCAAUAAACAAAAACUGCCACAAAUGUGUUUAUUGGACAUUCCAAACAGAGAAAUCAACACUCCUUUUUUUUUUUUCGUUUUGGUGAAUAUACAUAUACAUAUAUAUAUAUAUCUUUGUAGCAUGAUGGUUGUUACUGGUAGUAUCCUCUCAAAAGACGUUAACUGUAUGCUAAUUAAGCGUCACAAUAAAUAGCUUAUGCCACACAGGCGGAUGAAAAAGUUGCAAUUAAACACAUUUAAGCUGCAGGCAAGCAAUAAAAAGGCACCUGGGUGGACUCAAAUGCAUCCCUAUUGUAAAAAUCUGGAAUCUUUGCUACCCGGCCGAUGUAUCGCAGAAGCACAUACAGUCCCCGCAGUUUUCCACUGCAUCCAAAAAAUUGAGUUACUACAAAGCUCAAGCACCUCAUUGAGCUAUAUAAAGACGAUCGCAUCAUCUGUUAAUAUUAUAAGAAAAAAAAUGACAUUUCCAGAAUAACAGAAUAAUCGAAAUUUCAUCCCACCAAUAUGAUAGACAAAAAAUUCCUCAAGCUCACAGGGCAAAAGAAGGAACUUAAGAGUUGGAAAAAAAAAACUCACAAAUCCGACAGAAAGGGAAACAUUAAAACGGAGAAAUUACCCAUCCGAGAAGUGGAGGAUAGGGGUUGAGCCAGAAGGGAGGGAAGGAUCAGUAGGGAGAGAAAGACCGGCGAUUUUAGAAGCGACAAUGACGGCAAGUGGCGGAGCAUCCGCCGGAAAACACAGCAUCUGUAUCUCCAUUGGCGCCUAAUUUACUAAGAAAAAACAAAAAAAAAAUGAAAUGUAACGAGAGAGCAGAAGUGGAAGGGGUUUAGGGUUUUAUACAGUUAGAGAGAAUCAACGGCGCCAAACCAAAAACUGGGGGCUACCAAAAGCUGGAGCGCACGUAAGAUUCCCGUUGAGUUUAGCCAAUACUAUUCGACGACGACGAGACAACGAUUUGAGGUUUUUCUUUUUUUUUUUUUUAUUUAACUUAUUUGGGCCGGGAUCAGCACUGGUGCUGGGCCUUUGUGAUCAGAUCUUUUAUGUCCAAAGAGGGGAUCUGUGUGAUCAGAUCUUUUAUGAGAGCUUCCCUAAACCCAAAUUCAAUUGGCAGAGAGUAGUGAUUUAUUUCAUUCUUCUUUUAGUGAUUUUUCUAUGCGUUUGGUUUUUCUUGAGUGAAUUUGAUGAUCAACCAGUACGUUUUCUUGAUACUCUUGUAAUUGUUCGUUGUUUUAAAUUGGUGAUUAAUUUGUACGACCAUCGAGGGACUUUUUUGAUAAUUUCUUUUAUUUCAACAGAUUUUUUUGAAAUUUUUGAUCAAUGGAAUAGGUUUGAAUAACAUUCAAUAGAAAAUUUGAAAUUUUUUCUUUCUUUUUCAAAAGCUUCUCCUUUCCUUUCUUUUACGAAUUCGAGGACAAAGGGGGUUAAAUCUCAGAGGAUUGUGGCAACAAGGACUCAAACAAUCGUGUGGCAGCAAGGUUUAGAGUUUUUUCUUAAAUCAAAUAAAAUCCCUUUCCUUCCCUUUUCCUUAGAAAAAGAAGAAUUUGAUGAGUAUUAACUUACAUUUUCAGACUCGGACCAAGUAUCGAGUCAGCCGAGAUCAAAGGGCAGGGGUCAAUGGGUUCGACCGAAUUCGAUGGGGUUGAACCGGAUGAUGUCAUAAAUAAAAAUUAUUUAAAAAUUAAAAUAUUGUAUAUAAAAUCCCUAAAAGUAUGUUAAUAUGAAUAACGGUAUAUUCAUAUAUAUUUGAUAUUUCAAAUAUAUUUAACAAGAAAAUACAAAGAAAUUAGAACAAUCAAGUAGCAAUUUAUAUUAUUUAAUGAACUUUAACAAAUUUAGAAUUAAAAUUAUAGAUUUGAUUGAAAAAUAACAUCAAAUUUUAGGACAACAUUUAUAAAGUAUGAAAUAUUUGAGGUAUAUUAAUAAGUUUUAACAAUUUAGGGGUCAAAACAUAAUAUUGAAAAAGUUUAUCUUUUUUUAAAAAAAUGCUCUGAUUUUUUCGAUUUUUUUCCUGUCAAACCCGAUUUUUGACCGGAUUUUUUGUCUUCCAGUUUUGAAGAACAACUCGGACCGGACACUUGGCCGGUUCCCGGUUCUACCGGCCAGUCCGGUCCGAGUUAUAAAACACAGGUAUUAACUUGAUCUCUACAUGUGAAAGAAAAAGUUUACUUGUUAUUGUAGAAAUAGGAAGAAAGAAAAAAAUGGAAAAAAGAUUUAUUAGUGCAAGUGUCAAGAAAAAGCAAACAUGCCAGUCUUGAGAAUAAUAAGGAAAUAAAACGUUGGUGAAUAUCAUUGAUUUACCAAAUUGCAAGUUAAGUGGUGUAUGUAAACACAAAAAUCCCGUUCUUCUUUACAAAAUUCAAUUGAGAUGCAUUUCUCUAUUAUGCGCCUGGGCAUAAAGGAUUUGGACUGGCACCUCCUGUGUCCAAUAUUGGGUCCUAAAGCAUAAGCUUAUUAGCUUAAGAUGAUUUUUGAUAGGAAUCUUAUGAUACAUCCUUCUUCCAGGAGCCAUUUGUUGAAGUUUGUUUUGUAACUUUUGUUGCACCUGUCCUGUUCGGAUGGAAUUUGUAGCGUUUGUUUCAGAAGUAGACAGUUGAUGGUGGGCAGAUAAUUGACUGCAUGAACCAUGCAGUUAUACACACAAUAUGCUUCUGCAGAAAUAUUUGUGAGUUGCUCAGAAGUACCAAAUGGUUAAAAACGAUCAAAUAAGUUUGUAACAUCAAAUGAUCAUAUAUUAUACGCAAUGUGGCACUAGAGUUCUUUUCCUGCUUUCUCUGGUUUCCAACAGCAUAAUCCGUUGUACAGAGCAAAAGUUAGAUGGAUUGAAAGGGGGCUAAUCAUCAUCCAAUUGUUUCAAACGAGGCAAGGUACAAAAAUGGAAACCAGUUUUAUUCACAUCGCAGAAGUUAAAAACAACAGAAAUGUCUAAAGGAAAUUAGCCAAGCAAAUCAAACACAGACUAACUCAGGACUAUGAAUUCUUGUCCUCUUUGACUAUACACAUUUCAUUGGGAUCUUGUUAGACCUACAAGAUCACGUGAACAGCUUGCUGCAGGCUGAUUAGCAACUGCAAGUUCAACAGAUAUGAUAAAAGUCGAUCGCCCCGCCUCCCU
rnacentral:lncRNA from 1 species